GAUGCGGAGCAUCCUUCGGUCAUCCCCAUGGACCUUCCGUCGUCUCACCAAGCACCAAGAGGACCCAUGACUAGAGCACGAGCUCGAGCUCUCGAGACCGAGGUGACUUCUCUCCUUAGUGAUAUAUCAUAUGACCCUCUCGAGACAUGGCUACUACCUCAAUCCGGAAUGUUGUGCAUGAUUAGGUACCAAGAGGACCCUCCCAAGGAUGCACAUGAAGGUGGACAAGACCCCAAGUCCAAGGAAGAAAGGAACCAAUGGAAGAAGGCACAAGAAGCUUCCAGGCACCGGACAUCCGGCCAAGGCCCCGGACAUCCGGUCCCUGGAGAUCCACACGGCCAGCUCCUGCAGAAGAAGGCUACAACAAUCGGACAUCCGGCCUCCAGCCCGGACAUCCGGCCACCCACCGAAAAUCCGGCCUCCCGCCCGGAUAUCCGGCCCAGGCUUCCCGAAUACACUGAAGAUGGCCCCAACAGCCCGGACAUCCGGCCUACGCACCGGACAUCCGGCCUACGCACCGGACAUCCGGCCCCUCUGGAAGCACCGGACAUCCGGCACCCCCAGCCCGGACAUCCGGUCCCUCGUGAACCACCGGACAUCCGGCCCGACGCCCGGACAUCUGGCGCCCCUGCCUGCGCGCAGCCUCCUUUGGGCCUUGACCCAUGAUUCCUUCUCCCCCGGACUAUAUAUACUCCCUCCUCCCGUACGUUUUAGGGUUAGCGUUGAUUUAUCUCAGAUUAGAGAUAGAGCUUCGCUCAUCCAUCGGAUCUCCUCUUCGUGAGAGACCGCGGCCUCCUCGGAGAAGAUCCAAUCGGAUUCAAGGCCCCCUCGUGGGAAGAUCCCCUCGCGGAUUCAAGACCUCCUCACGGAAAAGAUCGGUUACCUAUGUAUCCUUACCUUUGUUGGCUUUGGAUCUCGUGUAUCUCUUUGUGUUCAGUGAUCUAGCACUCGUGUGAUUGAUUCUAUGUCGGUUUAGUGAUUCUCUCUCUCGUUUUCCCCGUGUUUCCCCUUUGUGCUUCCGUGUGUUCUUCGUGAUUCCCUGUAGGAUCCACUCCAAACAUGAAAGAUCGUCCACAUAGGGUUCCGCCCUAUAUCAUCUUGGUAUCAUGAGCCACGUUGAUCACGUUUUUGGAGCCCCUACCCCGUGUUUUCUAGCUUGAUUUUGUGUUUUUCGUCCUAAAUCCGAAAAUUCCCCACCAAAAAUAGCCCCAAAUGUUUUUUGUGAUUUGUUGGUGAGUUGAGAUUUUGUUGGAUUUGGUCCAUGGAUUAGUGUUGCUGCGUGUGGAUCUAGCUUUCCCCACCCUCCCCACCCUUUUCCAUCCACCAAUUCGUCCAAAUUUUGCCCCGGAGUUGCAAUUUUUUCCCGUGGAGUUCAUCGCGUUCGUCCCCGAUCAGGAGCCCGGACAGCCGCUGAGUUCACCGGACAUCCGGCUCACCGGACAUCCGGCGUCUGGCCCGGACAUCCGGCCCUGGCAGCAGCAGUUCCACCCUACACCACCAUCCACCAUACCCUCGCCCAAUUUUUCCCGGAGCCCACGGCUACUUCCGCAUACCAAUACCACCUUCCACAAACACCACCACCGAUCACCGCUACCUCCUAUGUCGAUUUUGACACGUUUUGGUCUUUGAGAGUUUGGGUUGUGGUUUCCCGUGUCCUGUUGUGUUUCGGCUAUAUAGGUACGGUUUGACGUCAACAUCACCACCGCUCAUCUCCACCGACUACUCAUCAUCGCCAAGGACGGUAACAUCAACGACAUCUUUGUCAUACCAUGCAAUUGCAUUGAUACCCACAUUGCCUCAUUUUGCGUAGCUUACCCAUCGAGACUAGCCGUUGAGUAUUGUUGGCAACGCGACUUGUGCACAUUAGUGAUCAUACUCCAUAGCAUACAUACCAUACCAUAGUGGUGCAUAUCUUGAGAUCAACUUGUGUGUCACAAAGUUGUCAUCGCAUACACAAUUGCUAUCUUGGUUCGUGAAGUUUUGCAUGAGAAAAGAGCUCAAAAGUGAAAGAGCCAACCAAGCUUUUAAGCAAAGAGGAAAGAUAAGCAAAGAGCUUAUAAGCGAGAACCAUAGCAUCAUACAACAUUAGGAUUGUCAUAUCCGAUCAUCUUGGAUCAUAGCACCGAAAUAUCAUACAUAUAGCAUACUUGGAAUAGAGAUCGUUGCAUUUUUGCCUAGUAGGUUGUGCACAAGUUUGCGUAUCCGCCUAUUGUGCAAUCGUGCUAGCGUCUCUCUAGUAUUGUGCAACAAGAGCAUUUUCGUGGUUUCCACAUUUUGGCUCACUUUUGGAUUGCACAAUCCCAUUUAUCUAUUUGCGUGUGUGUUUCCGUGUACCCAUACUUGCUUGGUCUACUUGUUGCAUUUGCAAAUUUGUGAAUCAUUUCCAACAUUAUUGAAGCUCACUUACUAUUGCAUCAAAUUUUGAGCCACCAUCCUAACCAAGCUCCACCAUAAGCUUUUAUGUGUGUAGGUGUGAGAACCGACAAGAAUUGGUACCAACAGUGCUAUUUCAUUGUCCGCAUUUGAGUGAACUUGAUUCAUCUUCAACUUCGGUCAAGGUACAUUUGGUAUACGUAUUUUCCUUCUACCAAUUACAUUUUGCUUGGAAUGAUGGAUAGGCCAAGUUCUUCUACCACUCCACCUCUCAUCGAGAACGACGAUGACAUGACAUCAUUUGUCACCAAGAGUCACCUAUUUGGAGCUCAAAAGGCAUUGCACCAAGAACAACAAGCAAUGAGGGACUACUUCGACAACAAAUUCGACGCUCACAAGCAAGAUGCAAGAAUGGACGAGAUCCGCGCCUUCAUGAGGAACCGGCAUCCUUCCACUUCUUCAUCCUAAAGACGGAGCCGCUCGAGUCGACACUCCGACGACACCUUCUCCGACUCAAGUACACCGUCAUCGAACACUCUUCGACAAGCUGCGCGUCAAGACCGGCAUGCAUCUCGGAACCCGCUACAUGACAAGCAUACAUAAUGAUAGAGGCAAAGGUGUCCCAUCUUUCGAUGAGAUGAUGGAUUUCGCUUUGGUGGAAGUUGACUUUGACGACCCGACUACGAACGUAGGAGGACGUCACGCCUUAGCAAUCGCUAAACCAACUCCGAGAGGUUAUUGACCACGCCGGAGCACGAUCAACCUGAUCACGAGGGUCUGUUUCCUACGAGCAAACGAAGAACAAGCAAGAAACUGAGAUUGCAAUCUGGAUAUUGCGAAUAUAAGAUGAAAGCUUUAUUGAUGAAGAUGGGGUUCUGUGACGCCUUUGUCUGGUCGUUGAACACAAACGAAGUACGCGAAGUUGCAGCUAUGGCGAACUUUUAAUCUAAACAAAACCCAAAGUCUAAACGAUGCCCUAAGGGCUGUAUAUAUGGACGAAGAGGGGGGAAUUUCGUGGCCCUUGGUGGAGGGGUCCAAAAUCAACCCUAUCUCUUGUUUCCCCACACAUACGGACUCUAAAAAUAGCCUAUACUUAGGUAUUUCGAAAUUACAUGGGCCUGGCCCAAUAAUAAGGUGACACGGCACCUAGAAUAGCCUCGCGACGAAAUUUAUGAAGUGGCAUCUUGUAUAUUUCGUCCAAGGCUUCAUGCACCCAUUAUGGUGGCUUCAAAGUCCUGAAAUCAUCACUUGUAACUCCGUUCUUGUUCCCCUUGCGCAUGCCAUCAUCUCCAUGCUUUUUCUUGCUCCAAUGUUCAUCCUUCUCUAAGCUAGGCCCUUCAUUUGUAAGCAAAACAAAUGUAUCCAAUUUAGGCAGCAUCAUAUUCUCAUGAACAUUAGAAUCAUUACCAAGAAACGAAAGUACUUGGUAAUUUAGUUGGCGUGCGCGAGCUCUAGUAAUUGGUCCAGUAUGUAUAGCAGCAGGGGCUGUGGGUGUAACAAUUGUAUUGAUGUCCUCAUCACACAAGAACAAGUCGAUGAGCAAAUCCCUCGUCCUCAAUCAAACCAAGUCGCUUUUGCACAAGCUCAAGAAUGACAACGACUACGACGCCAAGAAGAAGAGCGAGCGCGCCUACACCAAGAGGAACAAGAUGCCGAGGCUCAACGUCUUCAACAACAACAACGAGAAGCACAAGCUCUUGAGGCGCAACGUGCUCUUCAAGAUUCGAUCCGAGCCAUUGCCAACGGCAAUCGCGAGCGGCGCAAUCAAGAGUAAGCCCUUCGAUAAGAAAUCCAAGAGAGGAACUACCAACAGCGUGUGCAACGUCAAGCUCCACAAGCUCCUCCACAAGCUCGUCAAGCUCCACCUCAACCUCAAGUUCAACAAGAGCAAGUUGAUCAUGGACUUCAUCUGCGCCAAGAGCAACAUGAGGAUGACUAUCCUCCACGUCAAGGACAUCAUCAUCACCAUCGCCAACAACACAAUGAAGAGCAACGCUAUGGCAAGCUCAAGUUCACAAUGCCCAAGUUCAAUGGAAGCAAUGAUCCCGAAGAAUACCUCUCAUGGGCAUUGAAGGUCGACAAAACUUUUCGCUUGCACAACUACGAGGAAGAGAAGAAGAUCGCUAUGGCAUCACUUGAUGAUGAGGACAUCAAUACAAUUGUUACACCCACAGCCCCUGCUGCUAUACAUACUGGACCAAUUACUAGAGCUCGUGCACGCCAACUAAAUUACCAGGUACUUUCGUUUCUUGGUAAUGAUUCUAAUGUUCAUGAGAAUAUGAUGCUGCCUAAAUUGGAUACAUUUGUUUUGCUUACAAAUGAAGGGCCUAGCUUGGAGAAGGAUGAACAUUGGAGCAAGAACAAGCAUGGAGAUGAUGGCAUGCGCAAGGGAAACAAGAACGGAGUUACAAGUGAUGAUUUCAGGACUUUGAAGCCACCAUAAUGGGUGCAUGAAGCCUUGGACGAAAUAUACAAGUCGCCACUUCAUAAACUUCGUCCCGAGGCUAUUUUAGGUGCUGCGUCACCUUAUUAUUGGGCCAGGCCCAUGUAAUUUCGAAAUACAUAAGUAUAGGCUAUUUUUAGAGUCCGUAUGUGUGGGGAAACAAGAGAUAGGGUUGAUUUCGGACCCCUCCACCAAGGGCCACGAAAUUCUCCCCCUCUUCCUCCAUAUAUACAGCCCUUAGGGCAUCGUUUAGACUUUGGGUUUUGUUUAGAUUAAAAGUUCGCCAUAGCUGCAACUUCGCGUACUUCGUUUGUGUUCAACGACCAGACAAAGGCGUCACAGAACCCCACCUUGAUCAAUAAAGCUUUCAUCUUAUAUUCGCAAUAUCCAGAUUGCAAUCUUAGUUUCUUGCUUGUUCUUCAUUUGCUCGCAGGAAACAGACCCUCGUGGUCAGGUUGAUCGUGCUCCGGCGUGGUCAAUAACCUCUCGGAGUUGGUUUAGCGAUUGCUAAGGCGCGACGUCCUCGCACGUUCGUAGUCGGAUCGUCAAAGUCAUCUUCACCAAAUUGAUAGUUAUCAUCUCAUCGAAAGAUCGGGACACCCCGCCUCUAUCAAGUGGUAUCAGAUUUCCAGGUUGCUCGGUGAGAUUUUACAGUUUUUCGUAGUUUAGAUCGAGUCUGUUCUUCAUACCUAAAGUCCACGAAAAAGCCAAAAAAAAAUUAGGGUUAGUUCAUCCCAUCCGAACCAAUCUGAGCCUUGCAUAAUCUUUUCUGUAUUUGCUUUGUUGAAUUUGCGGUUGCAUCGUCGUGUUCAGUUGCUGGUCUUAGCGUCUAGUCUUUUAGAGUUUCGAGUUCUGUUCACAAGUUGUCACGCCGUCGCCGCACCAUCAUCAUCGCCCCUGCCAUCUACCACCACCGCUCCGAAUCCGUAUCCAUAUACCACCACCAAUCCGUGUCCAUAUACCACCACCGAUCCAUAUCCAAAUACUACCACCGCUGCCAUAUACCACCACCAUAUAUCCACCACCAAUCCGAGUUCCUUGCUUAUUAGGUUUGUUUUCGGGAUCACUCUAGAUUCCGAUUCGUGUUUCCUUGCCGGAGUAGGUUUCGGAAAAAAAAAAAAAAAAUUCGGGUAGCCACGCUCCGUUUAGGCCCAAAAUUUUUCGAAAACGCAUUUUUCGAAAAAAUUUCUGGCUAUCCUAUUUUUAGGUGUUUCUGAGUGUUUUGAGACAGGUGCCAUUAUAGGAAGUUUUUUUUGACCCGUUUCCAGUUUUUGGGUCCGGGCAGUCAAAAAAAAAAAAAAAUUGGUCAAAAAAAUUUCGUGCCCAUCCUGUCAGUUUGAGCUAAGAAGAGUUUUGAGACACUCGCCAUUAUAGUGAUUUUUCGCAAAAAAAANNNNNNNNNNNNNNNNNNNNNNNNNNNNNNNNNNNNNNNNNNNNNNNNNNNNNNNNNNNNNNNNNNNNNNNNNNNNNNNNNNNNNNNNNNNNNNNNNNNNNNNNNNNNNNNNNNNNNNNNNNNNNNNNNNNNNNNNNNNNNNNNNNNNNNNNNNNNNNNNNNNNNNNAAAAAAGAGCGCAAAAAAAAAAAAUUCCAGAGUGUGCUUUUCCCUUGUUUACGUGCCGCGCCGUGAUUUUGUUAGUGUUCUAGGCUCGCGUCUCUAGCACAGUCUAGCCUAGGACCAGCACAGUACCGUCGUUGAGCGUUUAUUCAACUUUGCAUCUCUGAAUUGAUUAUUGCUGACCCUUUUUGCUACCAUACUAUAAGCCUUCCCAGCUCCACAUACAUCUACGUCGUGUGUUCGACUCCCCCUGGUAAUCGCUCUAUCCAAGCUUUGAGAGUUUUUGACUACAACGGUUGCCGAUCACCGCCUGCUGCUGGGUAAGAACUGGUAAGAAUUUGAGAUUUGCUUGACGGAUUUGUGACACCCACCACCACCACUUGUUCGUAGUCUGUAAUAUCAUAUUCUUGUGUGUUUCCAUUGCUGCUAACCAUGCCAGGAUCACAAGCCGACGAGAUUGACUGGGAGAAUUUAUCGAACAAGGAGCUUCAUGAUAAGUUUCAGCAAAUGAUGACUGAACAGGUGCAAGAUGUGCUGAACAAUUUUGAAGAGGCCAUGGAGAAGAUCACUGGCUUUGAGAAGACGUUCGAAACAAAGCUCAAUAACAAGUUUAAUGAAUUGCUCGCGCGUCUUCCACCACCACCACCCGCUGUACCUAACGCACCUCUCCAACAACAACAACAACGACUACCUCCACGUCGCGAAGCAGACCUCCGCCGAGCAAGCCGUGUUCCUCUUGCGUUUGGCCAAACUGUUGGUGCUGCUGUUGAUACUUCUGUGGCUCCUGCUGCUGAUGCGGAGGAGGAUGAUUAUGUGGGAGAUUAUGAGGAUGAGGUUGAUCAAAAUCAACACUACGUGCAGCCACCUGUACCACCACCAGCAGGUCGACCUCAGGUAUAUAUUCGUAAUGGUAGGCCUGCACCACCACCUCAGGUACGCGAUGAUGUCCAUAUUCCUAAACUGAAAUUGAAUAUUCCACCAUUUGAGGGUAGAUAUGUUCCUGAUAUAUAUCUUACUUGGGAGUUAGAAACUGAACAACGAUUUACAUGUUUACAAUAUCCUGAGGAGAGACGAGUUGCCGCUGCUGUUUGUGCUUUCACUAGUUUUGCAUGUGUAUGGUGGUCUGAACAUUGUAGAUUAUAUCCUAUUCCAACUACUUGGGCUGCUUUGAAAACUGCUAUGCGUACGCGUUGGGUUCCACCAUAUUAUCAACGUGAAUUGCUUCAAAAAUUGCAGCGUUUAAGACAAGGAAAAAAUUCUGUAGAAGAAUAUUAUCAGGAAUUACAAACUGGCAUGAUUAGAUGUGGUAUUGUUGAGGAGAAUGAAGCUAUGCUUGCACGUUUUCUGGGUGGAUUAAAUAGAGAGAUUCAGACCAUUCUAGACUAUAAGGAGUAUACUAAUAUCACUCGUUUAUUCCAUCUUGCUUGUAAAGCUGAACGUGAAGUGCAGGAUCGACAAGCAUUGGGGUGAACUAACUUUUCUGCAGGCCGACCUUCAUCAUGGACACCACGUGCAUCUUCUACUUCAACUGCACCAGCACCUCCAUCAGGUGCCACCUCCAGCCGUGAUACAAGAAAACAGGCACAACCACCAUUAUCUGCCAAGAGCGCACCUGCGGGGCCUACACAGCGUUCUUCUUCUUCCAUAGCAUCAACAGGGCACACAAGUGAUAUUAUUUGUCGUCGUUGUAAGGGAGGAGGUCAUUAUGCGAGAGAAUGCAAAUCUCCACGUGUGAUGAUUGCUACCGCGGAUGGUGGAUAUGAGUCCGCUAGUGACUAUGAUGAGGAGACUUUGGCUCUUAUUACACGUGAAGAACAUGGUGGAGAUGAUUCUGAUAAUGAGACGCAAUACAUGGCUCCUGAAGACGCUGACAGGUAUGAAUGUUUAGUUGCUCAACGUGUUUUGAGUGUGAAGAUCACACAAGCUGAGCAAAAUCAGAGGCACAAUUUGUUCCAUACCAAGGGAGUUGUGAAGGAACGUUCUGUGCGCGUCAUCAUAGACGGAGGGAGCUGCAACAACUUGGCUAGCAUGGAGAUGGUCGAGAAGCUUUCUCUCACCACAAGACCACAUCCACAUCCUUACUACAUCCAAUGGUUCAACAACAGCGGCAAGGUUAAGGUAACACGUACUGUUCGUGUGCAUUUUAGUAUCUCUACAUAUGCUGAUUAUGUUGAUUGUGAUGUGGUACCUAUGCAAGCAUGUUCCUUAUUACUUGGUAGACCAUGGCAAUUUGAUAAAAAUUAUGUACACCAUGGUAGAAACAAUCACUAUACUCUUGUUCAUAAGGAUAAAAAUAUUACUUUGCUUCCUAUGACUCCUGAUUCCAUUUUGAAAGAUGAUAUUAAUAGAGCUAAUAAAGCACAACAGGAGAAGAAUAAGAGUGAAAAUCAGAUUGUGGCAAAAGAAUUUGAGCAACAAAUGAAGCAUAAUAAUAAACCAUCUAGUGUUGCUUCUGAAAUUAAAUUGAAAAGUGCAUGUUUAUUUGCCACCAAAUCUGAUAUUGAUGAGCUAGAUUUCAGCAAAUCUGUUUGCUAUGCUUUUGUGUGCAAAGAGGCAUUAUUUUCAUUCGAGGACGUGCCUUCCUCUUUGCCUCCUGCUGUCACUAACAUUUUGCAGGAGUUCGCUGACGUUUUUCCACAAGACGUGCCACCGGGAUUACCGCCUAUUCGAGGGAUUGAGCAUGAGAUUGACUUAAUUCCCGGUGCUUCACUGCCAAACCGUGCACCAUACCGUACCAAUCCAGAGGAGACGAAGGAGAUUAUGCGUCAAGUACAAGAGCUUCUCGACAAAGGUUAUAUACGCGAAUCCCUUAGUCCUUGUGCUGUUCCUAUUAUUCUAGUGCCGAAAAAGGAUGGUACAUCACGUAUGUGUGUUGAUUGUAGAGGCAUUAAUAAUAUUACUAUUCGUUAUCGUCAUCCUAUUCCUAGGCUAGAUGAUAUGCUUGAUGAAUUGAGUGGCUCUACAAUAUUCUCCAAAGUUGAUUUACGUAGUGGAUACCAUCAAAUUCGUAUGAAAUUGGGAGAUGAAUGGAAAACAGCAUUCAAAACUAAGUUUGGAUUAUAUGAGUGGUUAGUCAUGCCUUUUGGGUUAACUAAUGCACCUAGUACUUUCAUGAGAUUAAUGAACGAAGUUUUACGUGCUUUCAUUGGACGAUUUGUGGUUAACUAAAGCGAUGAUGCUGUUAAUGUUGCUGAUUUGUUCUUUCGUGAAAUUAUUCGCUUGCAUGGUGUGCCAAAUACUAUUGUUUCAGAUCGUGAUACUAAAUUUCUUAGCCACUUUUGGAGAUGUUUAUGGGCUAAGUUGGGGACUAAACUGCUUUUUAGUACUACUUGUCACCCCCAAACUGAUGGACAAACUGAAGUAGUCAAUAGAACGUUGUCUACUAUGCUUAGGGCUGUUUUGAAGAAUAAUAAGAAAAUGUGGGAGGAAUGCUUGCCUCAUAUUGAAUUUGCUUAUAAUCGUUCAAUGCAUUCUACUACUAAGAUGUGCCCUUUUGAAGUUGUGUAUGGUUUCCUACCUCGUGCACCUAUUGAUUUGUUGCCUCUUCCAUCUUCGGAGAAGGUUAAUUUUGAUGCUAAACAACGUGCUGAAUUGAUUUUAAAAAUGCAUGAGUUAACUAAGGAAAACAUUGAGCGCAUGAAUGCUAAAUAUAAACUUGCUGGAGAUAAGGGUAGAAAACAUGUUGUGUUUGCACCUGGAGAUCUUGUUUGGUUACAUUUGCGUAAGGAUAGAUUUCCUGAUUUGCACAAAUCAAAGUUAAUGCCACGUGCGGAUGGUCCCUUUAAGGUGUUAGAGAAAAUAAAUGAUAAUGCAUAUAAACUUGAGCUGCCUGCAGAUUUUGGGGUUAGUCCCACUUUUAACAUUGCAGAUUUGAAGCCUUAUUUGGGUGAGCAAGAUGAACUUCCGUCGAGGACGACUUCAUUUCAAGAAGGGGAGGAUGAUGAGGACAUCAAUACAAUUGUUACACCCACAGCCCCUGCUGCUAUACAUACUGGACCAAUUACUAGAGCUCGUGCACGCCAACUAAAUUACCAGGUACUUCCGUUUCUUGGUAAUGAUUCUAAUGUUCAUGAGAAUAUGAUGCUGCCUAAAUUGGAUACAUUUGUUUUGCUUACAAAUGAAGGGCCUAGCUUGGAGAAGGAUGAACAUUGGAGCAAGAACAAGCAUGGAGAUGAUGGCAUGCGCAAGGGAAACAAGAACGGAGUUACAAGUGAUGAUUUCAGGACUUUGAAGCCACCAUAAUGGGUGCAUGAAGCCUUGGACGAAAUAUACAAGAUGCCACUUCAUAAAUUUCGUCCCGAGGCUAUUUUAGGUGCUGCGUCACCUUAUUAUUGGGCCAGGCCCAUGUAAUUUCGAAAUACAUAAGUAUAGGCUAUUUUUAGAGUCCGUAUGUGUGGGGAAACAAGAGAUAGGGUUGAUUUCGGACCCCUCCACCAAGGGCCACGAAAUUUCCCCCCCUCUUCCUCCAUAUAUACAGCCCUUAGGGCAUCGUUUAGACUUUGGGUUUUGUUUAGAUUAAAAGUUCGCCAUAGCUGCAACUUCGCGUACUUCGUUUGUGUUCAACGACCAGACAAAGGCGUCACAGAACCCCACCUUGAUCAAUAAAGCUUUCAUCUUAUAUUCGCAAUAUCCAGAUUGCAAUCUUAGUUUCUUGCUUGUUCUUCGUUUGCUCGCAGGAAACAGACCUUCGUGGUCAGGUUGAUCGUGCUCCGGCGUGGUCAAUAACCUCUCGGAGUUGGUUUAGCGAUUGCUAAGGCGCGACGUCCUCGCACGUUCGUAGUCGGAUCGUCAAAGUCGACUUCCACCAAAGCAAAAUCCACCAUCUCAUCGAAAGACGGGACACCUUUGCCUCUAUCAAUUUGCUUCCCAUAAUUUUGAUGAACAUAAAAAGGUUAAGGUUGCGGUUGGUUCUUUCACUGGUUAUGCUUUGGUUUGGUGGAGUGAAUAUUGUCGGUUACACCCUGAUUAUAUACCUACUACUUGGGAUGAUUUGAAACUUGCCAUGCGACAUACUUUCGUCCCUGCUUAUUAUACUCGUGACAUGAUUAAGAAGUUGCAACACUUAAAACAAGGUAGUGAAACUGUAACAAAAUAUUAUGAUGAUUUACAAACUACCUUGUUGCAUUCCUCUUUAGAAGAAAGUGAAGAUGAUUUUAUGGAUAGAUUUUGGGGAGGAUUAAACCGUGAUAUUCAAGAGAUACUAAUUCAUGAAGAGUGUUAUCCUAUGGACCAUUUGUUUCAUCUUGCUUGCAAAGCUGAACAGGAAAUAAAACGACGUGUUGGCCACGAGGAGAACAAGCGCACGGUGCACAUUCCAAGAGUUGAUAUGAUUGUUCCUUCAACUACUAGGCAUACUAUGACAACCACAUCCGUUGUUGUCAGGACUACAUCACCUCCACCAUGUGACACAUCGCCCCCGAGAGUGGCUACAUCAUCUGAGUUGAUCAUAAGGCGAUUGCUAAGGCGCAACGUCGUGCACGUUUGUAGUCGGAUCGUCAAAGUCAUCUUCACCAAAUCGAUAGUUAUCAUCUCAUCGAAAGAUCGGGACACCCCCGCCUCUAUCAAGUGGUAUCAGAGCCGACGAGAUUGACUGGGAGAAUUUAUCGAACAAGGAGCUUCAUGAUAAGUUUCAGCAAAUGAUGACUGAACAGGUGCAAGAUGUGCUGAACAAUUUUGAAGAGGCCAUGGAGAAGAUCACUGGCCUUGAGAAGACGUUCGAAACAAAGCUCGAUAACAAGUUUAAUGAAUUGCUCGCGCGUCUUCCACCACCACCACCCGCUGUACCUAAUGCACCUCUCCAACAACAACAACAACGACUACCUCCACGUCGCGAAGCAGACCUCCGCCGAGCAAGCCGUGUUCCUCUUGCGUUUGGCCAAACUGUUGGUGCUGCUGUUGAUACUUCUGUGGCUCCUGCUGCUGAUGCGGAGGAGGAUGAUUAUGUGGGAGAUUAUGAGGAUGAGGUUGAUCAAAAUCACCACUACGUGCAGCCACCUGUACCACCACCAGCAGGUCGACCUCAGGUAUAUAUUCGUAAUGGUAGGCCUGCACCACCACCUCAGGUACGCGAUGAUGUCCAUAUUCCUAAACUGAAAUUGAAUAUUCCACCAUUUGAGGGUAGAUAUGUUCCUGAUAUAUAUCUUACUUGGGAGUUAGAAACUGAACAACGAUUUACAUGUUUACAAUAUCCUGAGGAGAGACGAGUUGCUGCUGCUAUUUGUGCUUUCACUAGUUUUGCAUGUGUAUGGUGGUCUGAACAUUGUAGAUUAUAUCCUAUUCCAACUACUUGGGCUGCUUUGAAAACUGCUAUGCGUACGCGUUGGGUUCCACCAUAUUAUCAACGUGAAUUGCUUCAAAAAUUGCAGCGUUUAAGACAAGGAAAAAAUUCUGUAGAAGAAUAUUAUCGGGAAUUACAAACUGGCAUGAUUAGAUGUGGUAUUGUUGAGGAGAAUGAAGCUAUGCUUGCACGUUUUCUGGGUGGAUUAAAUAGAGAGAUUCAGACCAUUCUAGACUAUAAGGAGUAUACUAAUAUCACUCGUUUAUUCCAUCUUGCUUGUAAAGCUGAACGUGAAGUGCAGGAUCGACAAGCAUUGGGGCGAACUAACUUUUCUGCAGGCCGACCUUCAUCAUGGACACCACGUGCAUCUUCUACUUCAACUGCACCAGCACCUCCAUCCGGUGCCACCUCCAGCCGUGAUACAAGAAAACAGGCACACCCACCAUUAUCUGCCAAGAGCGCACCUGCGGGGCCUGCACAACAUUCUUCUUCUUCCAUGGCAUCAACAGGGCACACAAGUGAUAUUAUUUGUCGUCGUUGUAAGGGAGGAGGUCAUUAUGCGAGGGAAUGCAAAUCUCCACGUGUGAUGAUUGCUACCGCGGAUGGUGGAUAUGAGUCCGCUAGUGACUAUGAUGAGGAGACAUUGGCUCUUAUUACACGUGAAGAACAUGGUGGAGAUGAUUCUGAUCAUGAGACGCAAUACAUGGCUCCUGAAGACGCUGACAGGUAUGAAUGUUUAGUUGCUCAACGUGUUUUGAGUGUGCAGGUCACACAAGCUGAGCAAAAUCAGAGGCACAAUUUGUUCCAUACCAAGGGAGUUGUGAAGGAACGUUCUGUGCGCGUCAUAAUAGACGGAGGGAGCUGCAACAACUUGGCUAGCAUGGAGAUGGUGGAGAAGCUUUCUCUCACCACAAGACCACAUCCACAUCCUUACUACAUCCAAUGGUUCAACAACAGUGGCAAGGUUAAGGUAACACGUACUGUUCGUGUGCAUUUUUGAUGAGGACAUCAAUACAAUUGUUACACCCACAGCCCCUGCUGCUAUACAUACUGGACCAAUUACUAGAGCUCGUGCACGCCAACUAAAUUACCAGGUACUUUCGUUUCUUGGUAAUGAUUCUAAUGUUCAUGAGAAUAUGAUGCUGCCUAAAUUGGAUACAUUUGUUUUGCUUACAAAUGAAGGGCCUAGCUUGGAGAAGGAUGAACAUUGGAGCAAGAACAAGCAUGGAGAUGAUGGCAUGCGCAAGGGAAACAAGAACGGAGUUACAAGUGAUGAUUUCAGGACUUUGAAGCCACCAUAAUGGGUGCAUGAAGCCUUGGACGAAAUAUACAAGUCGCCACUUCAUAAACUUCGUCCCGAGGCUAUUUUAGGUGCUGCGUCACCUUAUUAUUGGGCCAGGCCCAUGUAAUUUCGAAAUACAUAAGUAUAGGCUAUUUUUAGAGUCCGUAUGUGUGGGGAAACAAGAGAUAGGGUUGAUUUCGGACCCCUCCACCAAGGGCCACGAAAUUCUCCCCCUCUUCCUCCAUAUAUACAGCCCUUAGGGCAUCGUUUAGACUUUGGGUUUUGUUUAGAUUAAAAGUUCGCCAUAGCUGCAACUUCGCGUACUUCGUUUGUGUUCAACGACCAGACAAAGGCGUCACAGAACCCCACCUUGAUCAAUAAAGCUUUCAUCUUAUAUUCGCAAUAUCCAGAUUGCAAUCUUAGUUUCUUGCUUGUUCUUCAUUUGCUCGCAGGAAACAGACCCUCGUGGUCAGGUUGAUCGUGCUCCGGCGUGGUCAAUAACCUCUCGGAGUUGGUUUAGCGAUUGCUAAGGCGCGACGUCCUCGCACGUUCGUAGUCGGAUCGUCAAAGUCAUCUUCACCAAAUUGAUAGUUAUCAUCUCAUCGAAAGAUCGGGACACCCCGCCUCUAUCACUUGAGUUCCAAGACUAUGUGCUCAUAUGGUGGGAACAAGUAUUUGAACGCCGUCAAGCAAGAGGUGAACCACCAAUCACCACUUGGUCUCAAAUGAAGGAUGUCAUGCGGGCACGCUUUGUACGAACCUACUACAACCGCGAUCUCUUCAAGAAGCUACAACUCCUCAAGAAAGGAACAAAGAGUGUUGAAGAAUACUACAAGGAAAUGGAGAUAGCCAUGAUUCGAGCCAAUGUCACGGAAUAUGAUGAGGAAACUAUGGCACGUUUCUUGAAUGGACUCAAUCAUCCCAUCAAGAAGAUUGCCGACUUCCAACCCUACUCCAACCUCAUUGAGCUCGUACAUCAAGCAACCAAGGCCGAACGUCAAGUGCAAGAUGACCUCAAGUACGCCAAGUACUCAUCCAAGAUCUAUGGCUUCUCCAACAUCCAAGCUUCAACGACUCCUUCAACAUCUACAUCAACCAAGCCUUCUCCAAGCACUGACGACAAGUCAAGUUACAAGAAAACCUCGGCAAGUUCAAGUCGUCUUCCUCCUACUACAAGCAACUUCAAGCCGCGUGCUUCAUCAUCUACGCCAACCGAUGAGACCGUCAAAACAAGCUCCUUCAAGUGUUUCACUUGCGGCGGCCGAGGCCACAAGUCCUUCCAAUGCACGAACAAGCGCACCAUGAUCCUCAACGACGAUGGCACAUAUGACUCAAUGAGUGAAGAGGAGAUGGAAGCCCUUGAGCAAGUAGCCAUGCACCGGCGCGUGAACGAGGAUGAAGAUGAUCAAGUCUUUUGUGAUGAGGAUUCGAGCCCUGCUCUCGUUGUCUCCAAUGUCUUGACACUUCAACAUCAACAAGAAGAAGACCAACGAUGCCACAUAUUCCACGCUAAAGCUGGCAUCAAUGGAAGGUCCGUCAAGCUCAUCAUCGAUGGAGGUAGUUUCCACAACUUGGCAAGUGAAGAACUAUGCUCCAAGCUUCAAUUAGUCAAGAGGAAGCACCCGCACCCCUACAAAGUUCAAUGGCUAACUGACUUCGGCACUAUACGAGUCGAGCAUACGGUCCAAGUCUCCUUCAAAAUUGGUGCUUAUGAAGACACUUUGGAGUGUGAUGUGGUCCCAAUGACCGUUUGCCACCUCCUCCUUGGUCGACCAUGGCAAUUCGACCAUGGUGUCAUCCACAAUGGGCGCACCAAUCACUAUAGCUUCAAAAUGAAAGGGAAGGAAUAUGUACUACGACCUAUGUCUCCUAGUCAAGUGAUAGCCGACAAGCAAACCACCAAUCAUGGAGAGAAGAGUGAAAAAGUGAUCCACCCAAAAGUGAGUGAGAGCCACAAGCCAAAUUUGAGCGCCUCUUCGCCUAGAGAGAAAAACCUCAUCCUAUUUGCCACCAAAAGUGAGAUGAGAGAAGUGUGUGAGAACCCAUCGAGUGUGACGCACUUUGUACUUGUGUGCAAAGAUGGAGAGCCAACAACUAACACUUCUCACGAGCUACCUUUAGUGUUUCAACCUCUUUUGCAGGAAUUCCAAGAUGUUUUCCCCGAUGAGCUACCUCCGGGUCUACCUCCACUACGAGGCAUUGAACAUCGAAUCGACCUCAUCCCCAGAGCGCCACUUCCAAACAAAGCUCCUUACCGUGUCGACCCCGAAGAAACCAAGGAGAUUCAACGGCAAGUACAACAACUCAUCGACAAUGGUCAUGUACGUGAAAGCUUAAGCCCUUGCGCCGUUCUAGUUAUACUUGUGCCUAAGACCGAUGGAAGUUUCCGCUUGUGUUCCGAUUGUAGACCCAUAAAUGCUAUUACCGUUCGAUAUAGGCAUCCCAUUCCUCACUUAGAUGAUAUGCUUGAUAAACUUAGUGGAGCCAACUUUUUCUCCAAAAUUGAUCUUAAAAGUGGCUAUUAUCAAAUCCGCAUUCAAGAAGGUGAUGAAUGGAAAACCUCUUUCAAAACCAAAUUUGGCUUAUAUGAGUGGUUAGUAAUGCCUAUGGGUUUGUCGGAAGCCCUCGGUACUUUCGUGCGUCUUAUGCAUCAUGUGCUUAGACCUUACAUUGGAAUCUUCGUUGUGGUUUACUUUGAUAAUAUUCUUGUGUUUAGCAAAACCAUGAGAGAGCACAUUAAUCAUGUUAAAUUUGUGUUGCAAACCCUUCGCAAGGAAAGCCUUUAUGCGAACUUGAAAAAAUGCACUUUUGGCGUUGACAAAGUGGUUUUCUUGGGUUUUGUUGUCUCUUCCAAGGGUGUCCACGUUGAUGAAACUAAGAUUAAGGCAAUUAGAACUUGGCCCCAACCCACCAAUUUGCAACAAGUGCGUAGUUUUCUUGGUCUUGCAGGAUUUUAUCGCCGCUUUCUGAAAAACUUUAGCACAAUUGCCGCUCCUUUGCAUGCCUUGAGUAAGAAGAAUGCUCCUUUUGUUGGGGAUCUUUACAAUCCAUCACUUUUGAUGAGCUCAAGUCUUUGCUUACUCAUGCUCCGAUUCUUGCUUUGCCCAACUUUGACAAAACUUUUGAGGUUCAUUGUGAUGCAAGUGGUACCGGAAUUGGCGGAGUUUUGAUGCAAGAAAAACGAGCAAUUGCUUAUUUUAGUGAAAAACUCUCCGGUGCUCAACUUAAUUAUCCCAUCUAUGACAAAGAAUUGUAUGCUUUAGUGCGUGAUGAGGACAUCAAUACCAUUGUUACACCCACAGCCCCUGCUGCUAUACAUACUGGACCAAUUACUAGAGCUCGCGCACGCCAACUAAAUUACCAGGUACUUUCGUCUCUUGGUAAUGAUUCUAAUGUUCAUGAGAAUAUGAUGCUGCCUAAAUUGGAUACAUUUGUUUUGCUUACAAAUGAAGGGCCUAGCUUGGAGAAGGAUGAACAUUGGAGCAAGAACAAGCAUGGAGAUGAUGGCAUGUGCAAGGGGAACAAGAACGGAGUUACAAGUGAUGAUUUCAGGUCUUUGAAGCCACCAUAACGUGCAUGAAGCCUUGGACGAAAUAUACAAGAUGUCACUUCAUAAAUUUCGUCCAGAGGCUAUUAUAGGUGCUGCGUCACCUUUUUAUUGGGCCAGGCCCAUGUAAUUUCGAAAUACAUAAGUAUAGGCUAUUUUUAGAGUCUGUAUGUGUGGGGAAACAAGAGAUAGGGUUGAUUUCGGACCCCUCCACCAAGGGCCACGAAAUUCCCCCUCUCUUCCUCCAUAUAUAGAGCCCUUAGGGCACCGUUUAGACUUUGGGUUUUGUUUAGAUUAAAGUUCGCCAUAGCUGCAACUUCGCGUACUUCGUUUGUGUUCAACGAGCAGACAAAGGCGUCACAUAACCCCACCUUGAUCAAUAAAGCUUUCAUCUUAUAUUCGCAAUAUCUAGAUUGCAAUCUCAGUUUCUUGCUUGUUCUUCGUUUGCUCGCAGGAUACAGACCCUCGUGGUCAGGUUGAUCUGCUCCGUCGUGGUCAAUAACCUCUCGAAGUUGGUUUAGCGAUUGCUAAGGCGCGACGUCCUCGCACGUUCGUAGUCGGAUCGUCAAAGUCGACUUCCACCAAAGCAAAAUCCAUCAUCUCAUCGAAAGACAUGACACCUUUGCCUCUAUCAAGUGGUAUCAGAUUUUCAGGUUGCUCGGUGAGAUUUUACAGUUUUUCGUAGUUUAGAUCGAGUCUGUUCUUCAUACCUAUAGUCCACAAAACAACCACAAAAUAAAAUUAGGGUUAGUUCAUCAUAUCCGAACCAAUCUGUGCCUUUGCAUAAUCUUUUUAGGGUUUUGCUUUGUUGAAUUUGCGGUUGCAUCGUCGUGUCUAGUUGCUGGUCUUAGCGUCUAGUCUUUUAGAGUUUCGAGUUCUGGUCAUAAGUUGUCACGCCGCCACCGCACCAUCAUCAUCGCCCCUGCCACCUACCACCACCGCUCCGAAUCUGUAUCCAUAUACCACCACCAAUCCGUGUCCAUAUACCACCACCGAUCCAUAUCCAUAUACUACCACUACUACCACCGCUACCACCACCGCUGCCAUAUACCACCACCAUAUAUCCACCACCAAUCCGAUUCCUUGCAUAUUAGGUUUGUUUUCGAGAUUCAUCUAGUUUCCGAUUCGUGUUUCUUCGCCGGAGUAGGUUUCGGAAAAAAAACGCACUUGUCGAAAACGCACCCUCCGUUUAGGCCCAAAAUUUUCCGGAAACCACCCUCCGUUUAGGCCCAAAAUUGUCCGAAAACGCACUUGUCAAAAAAAAUUCUGGCUAUCCUAUUUUUAGGUGUUUCUAAGCGUAUUGAGACAGUCGCCGUUAUAGAAAGUUUUUUUUGACCCGUUUCCUGUUUUUGGGUCCGGGCAGUCGAAAAAACAAAAAAAAAAUUGGUCGAAAAAACUUCGUGCCCAUCCUGUCAGUUUGACCUGGGAAGAGUUUUGAGACACUCGCCAUUAUAGUGAUUUUUCGCAAAAAAAAGAACAACGCAAAAAAAAAGAGCGAUUUUUUUCCAGAGUGUGCUUUUUCCUUGUUUCCGUGCAGCGCCGUGAUUUUGUUAGUGUUCUAGGCUCGCAUCUCUAGCACGGUCUAUCCUAGGACCAGCACAGUACCGUCGUUGAGCGUUUAUUCAACUUUGCAUCUCUGAAUUGAUUAUUGCUGACCCUUUUUGCUACAAUAUUAUAAGCCUUCCCAGCUCCACAUACAUCUACGUCGUGCGUUUUACUCUCCCUGGUAAUCGCUCUAUCCAAGCUUUGAGAGUUUUGACUACAACGGUUCCCGGUCACCGCCUGCUGUUGGGUAAGAACUCGUAAGAAUCUGAGAUUUGCUUGACGGAUUUGUGACACCCACCACCACCUCUUGUUAGUAGUCUGUAGGAUCAUAUUCUUUUGUGUUUCUAUUGCUGCUAACCAUGCCAGGAUCACAAGGCGACGAGACUGACUGGGAGAACAUGACGAAUAAGGAGUUGCAUGAUAAAUUUCAGCAAAUGAUGAGUGGACAGGUGCAAGAUGUGUUAAACAGAUUUGAAGAGGCCAUGGAGAAGAUAGAUGGCAUGGAGAAGACGUUCGAAACAAAGCUCGAUAACAAGUUUAAUGAAUUGGUCACGUGUCUUCCACCACCACCACCCGCUGCACCUAACGCACCUCUCCAACAACAACAACAUCGACUACCUCCACGUCGCGAAACAGACCUCCACCGAGCAAGUCAUGUCCCUCUUGUGUUUGGCCAAACUGUUGGUGCUGCUGUUGAUACUUCUGUGGCUCCUUCUGCUGAUGCAGAGGAGGAUGACUAUGUGGGAGAUUACGAGGAUGAGGUUGAUCAAAAUCAGAACUACGUGCAACCACCUGCACCACAACCACCAGGUCGUCCACAUGCAAAUAUUCGCAAUGGUAGGCCUGCACCACCACCUCAGGUACGAGAUGAUGUCCAUAUUCCUAAACUGAAAUUGAAUAUUCCACCAUUUGAGGGUAGAUAUGUUCCUGAUAUAUAUCUUACUUGGGAGUUAGAAACUGAACAACGAUUUACAUGUUUACAAUAUCCUGAGGAGAGACGGGUUGCUGCUGCUGUUUGUGCUUUCACUAGUUUUGCAUGUGUGUGGUGGUCUGAACAUUGUAGAUUAUAUCCUAUUCCAACUACUUGGGCUGCUUUGAAAACUGCUAUGCGUACGCGUUGGGUUGCACCAUAUUAUCAACGUGAAUUGCUUCAAAAAUUGCAGCGUUUAAGACAAGGAAUUUUUUUUGUAGAAGAAUAUUAUCAGGAAUUACAAACUGGCAUGAUUAGAUGUGGUAUUAUUGAGGAGAAUGAAGCUAUGCUUGCACGUUUUCUGGGUGGAUUAAAUAGAGAGAUUCAGACCAUUCUAGACUAUAAGGAGUAUACUAAUAUCACUCGUUUAUUCCAUCUUACGUGUACAGCUGAACGUGAAGUGCAGGAUCGACAAGCAUUGGCGCGAACUAACUUUUCUGCAGGUCGAUCUUCAUCAUGGACACCGCGUGCAUCUUCUACUUCAACUGCACCAGCACCGCAAUCAGGUGCCUCCUCCAGCCGUGAUACAAGAAAACAGGCACAACCACCAUUAUCUGCCAAGAGCGCACCUGCCGGGCCUACACAGAGUUCUUCUUCUUCCAUGGCAUCAACAGGGCACACAAGUGAUAUUAUUUGUCGUCGUUGUAAGGGAGGAGGUCAUUAUGUGAGAGAAUGCAAAUCUCCGCGUGUAAUGGUUGCUACCGAGGAUGGUGGAUAUGAGUCCGCUAGUGACUAUGAUGAGGAGACUUUGGCUCUUAUUACACGUGAAGAGCAUGGUGGAGAUGAUUCUGAUCAUGAGACACAAUACGUGGCUCCUGAAGACGCUGACAGGUAUGAAUGUUUAGUUGCUCAACGUGUUUUGAGUGUGCAGGUCACACAAGCUGAGAAAAAUCAGAGGCACAAUUUGUUCCAUACCAAGGGAGUUGUGAAGGAAUGUUCUGUGCGCGUCAUCAUAGACGGAGGGAGUUGCAACAACUUGGCUAGCAUGGAGAUGGUGGAGAAGCUUUCUCUCACCAUAAGACCACAUCCACAUCCUUACUACAUCCAAUGGUUCAACAACAGCGACAAGGUUAAGGUAACACGUACUGUUCGUGUGCAUUUUAGUAUCUCUACAUAUGCUGAUUAUGUUGAUUGUGAUGUGGUACCUAUGCAAGCAUGUUCCUUAUUACUUGGUAGACCAUGGCAAUUUGAUAAAAAUUCUGUACACCAUGGUAGAAACAAUCACUAUACUCUUGUUCAUAAGGAUAAAAAUAUUACUUUGCUUCCUAUGACUCCUGAUUCCAUUUUGAAAGAUGAUAUUGAUAGAGCUAAUAAAGCAAAACAUGAGAAGAAUAAGAGCGAAAAUCAGAUUGUGGCAAAAGAAUUUGAGCAACAAAUGAAGCCUAAUAAUAGACCAUCUAGUGUUGCUUCUGAAAUUAAAUUGAAAAGUGCAUGUUUAUUUGCCACCAAAUCUGAUAUUGAUGAGCUAGAUUUCAGCAAAUCUGUUUGCUAUGCUUUUGUGUGCAAAGAGGCAUUAUUUUCAUUCGAGGACGUGCCUUCCUCUUUGCCUCCUGCUGUCACUAACAUUUUGCAGGAGUUCGCUGACGUCUUUCCACAAGACGUGCCACCGGGAUUACCGCCUAUUCGAGGGAUUGAGCAUCAGAUUGACUUAAUUCCCGGUGCUUCACUGCCAAACCGUGCACCAUACCGUACCAAUCCAGAGGAGACGAAGGAGAUUAUGCGUCAAGUACAAGAGCUUCUCGACAAAGGUUAUAUACGUGAAUCCCUUAGUUCUUGUGUUGUUCCUAUUAUUCUAGUGCCGAAAAAGGAUGGUACAUCACGUAUGUGUGUUGAUUGUAGAGGCAAUAAUAAUAUUACUACUCGUUAUCGUCAUCCUAUUCCUAGGCUAGAUGAUAUGCUUGAUGAAUUGAGUGGCUCUUCAAUAUUCUCCAAAGUUGAUUUGCGUAGUGGAUACCAUCAAAUUCGUAUGAAAUUGGGAGAUGAAUGGAAAACAGCAUUUAAAACUAAGUUUGGAUUAUAUGAGUGGUUAGUCAUGCCUUUUGGGUUAACUAAUGCACCUACUACUUUCAUGAGAUUAAUGAACGAAGUUUUACGUGCUUUCAUUGGACGAUUUGUGGCAGUUUACUUAGAUGACAUAUUGAUUUAUAGCAGAUCUUUGGAAGAACAUUUGGAACAUUUACGUGCUGUUUUUAUUGCUCUACGUGAUGCACGUUUGUUUGGUAACCUUGGGAAGUGCACCUUUUGCACAGACUUAGUAUCUUUUCUUGGCUAUGUUGUUACUCCACAGGGAAUUGAAGUUGAUAAAGCCAAGAUUGAAGCUAUUGGACGAUUUGUGAGGAGUUUUCUUGGCCUCGUUGGAUUCUAUAGGCGUUUUGUGAGAGAUUUCAGCACCAUUGCUGCACCUCUCAAUGAGCUUACAAAGAAAGAUGUGCCUUUUCUUUGGGGUACCGCACAGGAAGAUGCCUUCACGAUAUUGAAAGAUAAGUUGACACAUGCUCCUUUACUCCAACUUCCUGAUUUUAAUAAUACUUUUGAGCUUGAAUUUGAUGCUAGUGGAAUUGGAUUAGGAGGUGUGUUAUUACAAGAUGGCAAACCUGUUGCAUACUUUUCUGAAAAAUUGAGUGGGCCUAGUCUGAAUUAUUCUACUUAUGAUAAAGAAUUAUAUGCUCUUGUUCGGACUUUAGAAACAUGGCAACAUUAUUUAUGGCCCAAAGAAUUUGUUAUACAUUUUGAUCAUGAAUCUUUGAAAAUUAUUAAAAGUCAAGCUAAACUGAAUCGUAGACAUGCUAAAUGGGUUGAAUUCAUUGAGACUUUCCCUUAUGUCAUUAAACACAAGAAGGGAAAAGAAAAUGUUAUUGCUGAUGCAUUGUCUCGUCGCUAUACUAUGCUUUCACAACUUGACUUCAAAAUAUUUGGUUUGGAGACCAUCAAAGAUCAAUAUGUGCAUGAUGCUGAUUUUAAAGAUGUAAUGCAGAAUUGUAAAGAAGGAAGAAUGUGGAACAAGUUUGUCGUUAACGAUGGAUUUGUGUUUCAUGCUAACAAGCUAUGCAUUCCAGCUAGCUCCAUUCGUCUUUUGUUGUUGCAGGAGGCGCAUGGAGGAGGAUUAAUGGGACACUUUAGCGUUAAGAAGACGGAGGACGUACUUGCUACACAUUUCUUUUGGCCAAAGAUGAGACGGGAUGUUGAGCGUUUUAUUGCUCGCUGCACUACAUGUCAAAAAGCUAAGUCACGACUCAAUCCUCAUGGUUUAUAUAUGCCUUUGCCUGUACCUAGUGUUCCUUGGGAGGAUAUAUCUAUGGACUUUGUUUUAGGUUUACCUCGAACAAAGAAGGGGAGGGAUAGCAUAUUUGUUGUCGUGGAUAGAUUCUCGAAAAUGGCACACUUUAUACCAUGUCAUAAAAGCGAUGAUGCUGUUAAUGUUGCUGAUUUGUUCUUUCGUGAAAUUAUUCGCUUGCAUGGUGUGCCAAAUACUAUUGUCUCAGAUCGUGAUACUAAAUUUCUUAGCCACUUUUGGAGAUGUUUAUGGGCUAAGUUGGGGACUAAACUGCUUUUUAGUACUACUUGUCACCCCCAAACUGAUGGACAAACUGAAGUAAUCAAUGGAACAUUGUCUACUAUGCUUAGGGCUAUUUUGAAGAGUAAUAAGAAAAUGUGGGAGGAAUGCUUGUCUCAUAUUGAAUUAGCUUAUAAUCGUUCAUUGCAUUCUACUACUAAGAUGUGCCCUUUUGAAGUUGUGUAUGGUUUCCUACCUCAUGCACCUAUUGAUUUGUUGCCUCUUCCAUCUUCGGAGAAGGUUAAUUUUGAUGCUAAACAACAUGUUGAAUUGAUUUUAAAAAUGCAUGAGUUAACUAAGGAAAACAUUGAGCGUAUGAAUGCCAAAUACAAACUUGCUGGAGAUAAGGGUAGAAAACAUGUUGUGUUUGCACCUGGAGAUCUUGUUUGGUUACAUUUGCGUAAGGAUAGAUUUCCUGAUUUGCGCAAAACAAAGCUCAUGCCACGUGCUGAUGGUCCCUUUAAGGUGUUAGAGAAAAUAAAUGAUAAUGCAUAUAAACUUGAGUUGCCUGCAGAUUUUGGGGUUAGUCCCACUUUUAACAUUGCAGAUUUGAAGCCUUAUUUGGGUGAGGAAGAUAAGCUUCCGUAGAGGACGACUUCAUUUCAAGAAGGGGAGGAUGAUGAGGACAUCAAUACCAUUGUUACACCCACAGCCCCUGCUGCUAUACAUACUGGACCAAUUACUAGAGCUUGCGCACACCAACUAAAUUACCAGGUACUUUCGUUUCUUGGUAAUGAUUCUAAUGUUCAUGAGAAUAUGAUGCUGCCUAAAUUGGAUACAAUUGUUUUGCUUACAAAUGAAGGGCCUAGCUUGGAGAAGGAUGAACAUUGGAGCAAGAACAAGCAUGGAGAUGAUGGCAUGCGCAAGGGGAACAAGAACGGAGUUACAAGUGAUGAUUUCAGGUCUUUGAAGCCACCAUAAGGAGUGCAUGAAGCCUUGGAAGAAAUAUACAAGAUGUCACUUCAUAAAUUUCAUCCAGAGGCUAUUAUACGUGCUGCGUCACCUUUUUAUUGGGCCAGGCCCAUGUAAUUUCGAAAUACAUAAGUAUAGGCUAUUUUUAGAAUCCGUAUGUGUUGGGAAACAAGAGAUAGGGUUGAUUUCGGACCCCUCCACCAAGGGCCACGAAAUUCCCCCUCUCUCCUACAUAUAUACAGCCCUUAGGGCACCGUUUAGACUUUGGGUUUUGUUUAGAUUAAAGUUCGACAUAGCUGCAACUUCGCGUACUUCGUUUGUGUUCAACGACCAGACAAAGGCGUCACAGAACCCCACCUUGAUCAAUAAAUCUUUCAUCUUAUAUUCGCAAUAUCCAGAUUGCAAUCUCGGUUUCUUGCUUGUUCUUCGUUUGCUCGCAGGAUAUAGACCCUCGUGGUCAGGUUGAUCGUGCUCCGGCGUGGUCAAUAACCUCUCGAAGUUGGUUUAGCGAUUGCUAAGGCGCGACGUCCUCGCACUUUCGUAGUCAGAUCGUCAAAGUCGACUUCCACCAAAGUGAAAUCCAUCAUCUCAUCGAAAGAUGGGACACCUUUUCCUCUAUCAGUGCGUGUGCUACAUGUUUGGGAACAUUACCUUAGACCUCAUGAAUUUGUCAUCCAUACCGAUCAUGAAACACUUAAGUACUUAAAAGGUCAAACUAAGUUGAACAAGCGUCAUGCCAAAUGGAGUGAAUUUAUUGAAUCUUUUCCUUAUGUGAUCAAGUACAUUAAGGGCAAGGAAAAUGUAGUUGCGGACGCACUUUCACGCAUAUGCACACUUGUCACUCAACUUGAGUUGAAUGUUAUUGGUUUUGAGCAUAUAAAAGACUUGUAUGAGCAUGAUCCUUCUUUUGCUAGUCCUUAUGCUAAGUGUUUGACACACACGUCUUGGGAACACUACUACAUAAAGAAUGAUUAUCUUAUGAGAGAUAACAAACUAUGCAUUCCCGAGUCUUCUCUUCGUUUGCUCCUUUUGCAAGAGGCUCAUGAAGGUGGACUCAUGGGACAUUUUGGACGCGACAAGACUUUCGCCAUGCUCUCCAAGAACUACUUUUGGCCCAAGAUGUACCGUGACGUCUCACGCUUCACCAACCGUUGCUCUACAUGUCGCAAAGCUAAGUCUAAAGCUCAAUCCCAUGGUCUUUACAUGCCACUUCCUAUUCCUUAUCAACCUUGGGAAGACAUUAGCAUGGAUUUUAUACUUGGUUUGCCUAGAACUCAAAAUGGCAAGGAUUCCGCCUUUGUUGUUGUGGACCGAUUUUCUAAGAUGGCACAUUUCAUUCCUUGCAACAAGACAGACGAUGCUUCACACGUUGCAAAUCUCUUUUGUAGGGAAAUCUUGCAUCUCCAUGGAGUCCCAAAGACAAUCGUCUCCGACCGCGACGUCAAGUUCUUGAGUUACUUUUGGAAGACCCUAUGCACCAAGCUCGACAUCAAGCUAUUAUUCUAUUUGGCAUACCAUCCUCAAACCGAUGGCCAAACGGAGGUGACGAACCGUACACUCUCCACUGUACUUCACGUGUUGAUCAAGAGGAACAUCAAGGAGUGGGAGGCGUGUCUACCCAUCGCCGAGUACGCCUACAACCAUGCAAGACAUUCGACGAUCGGCAAGUCCCCCUUCGAGGUCGUCUACGGCUUCAACCCGUUGUCCCCAUUGGACAUUCUACCUCUUCCUCUAAAAGAGCGCACCAACCUUGACGCAAGUGCCCGUGCAAGCUACAUCAAGAAGAUGCAUGAAGAUACAAGGCACACCAUCGAGCGCCAAGUACAACGACUAGCGACCAAGCUCAACUUCAACAAGCAUCCCAUGAUAUUCAACAUUGGAGACCUCGUGUGGCUACACCUUCGCAAGGACCGCUUCCCCAACAAACGCAAGUCCAAGCUUCUCCCUCGAGCCGACGGACCCUUCAAGGUGCUAGCACGCUACAACAACAAUGCUUACAAGAAUGAAUACACUGAAGAUGGCCCCAACAGCCCGGACAUCCGGCCUACGCACCUGACAUCUGGCCCCUCCGGAAGCACCGGACAUCCGGCACCUCCGGCCCGGACAUCCGGUCCCUCGUGAACCACCUUUGGGCCUUGACCCAUGUAUCCCUUCGCCCCCGGACUAUAUAUACUCCCUCCUCCCGUACGUUUUAGGGUUAGCGUUGAUUUAGCUCAGAUUAGAGAUAGAGCUUCGCUCAUCCAUCGGAUCUCCUCUUCGUGAGAGACCGCGGCCUCCUCGGAGAAGAUCCAAUCGGAUUCAAGGCCCCCUCGUGGGAAGAUCCCCUCGCGGAUUCAAGACCUCCUCACGGAGAAGAUCGGUUACCUAUGUAUCCUAACCUUUGUUGACUUUGGAUCUCGUGUAUCUCUUUGUGUUCGGUGAUCUAGCACUCGUGUGAUUGAUUCUAUGUCGGUUUAGUGAUUCUCUCUCUCUCGUUUUCCCCGUGUUUCCCCUUUGUGCUUCCGUGUGUUCUUCGUGAUUCCCCGUAGGAUCCACUCCAAAUGUGAAAGAUCAUCCACAUAGGGUUCCGCCCUACAUCAUCAAGUCUUCUUCCCCUUCAUCAUCUUCAAGGCGGCGACAUUCAAGCCACAAGUCUUCGGAGCGCGGAAACGAUGAAAGUGCAAAUUGUCCUCAUCCACAUCUACAUGGCGACCACCAUCACGUUCGUGAUCCACAUCGUCAUGAAGGGCAAGUCACCUCAAAGCAUCAUGUGCACGACGACGACGAACGCCUACGAGCUCAAGCACGACAACGACAUCAUCAUCAUGAAGAUGCUCCACAAGCACAAAUGGACAACUCCCAACAAGCCCUACUUCACACCAAGUCGAAGCUUCAUAAGCACAAGAGAGACCGCGAGACGAGCACCACCAAGACGGUGCUACGACUACAACAACCACUUCGGCAUCUUCGCCAAGUGCUAGCAAGGCAUCUUCGCCUUUGGACGUAUGGCAUCUUCGCCUACUUCCCACGAGUACGCCUACUACGACUUCAUCAAGUCCAAGGCGACUACCUACGAGCGAGGGCGACACUUCCAUCUUCGGAAGCCUCCCAAGGAAGAUGGCCGAGCAUGGGAAACUCCCUUCGGUCAUGGAGACGAGCUAUGGUGCCACAUCAUAUGGACCUCCAACACCAAGACGGCGACAAGACGGUCGAGCAAGGGCCAUCCCCUUCGACUACGGCGACAAGCGCGAACCUCUUCAACAACAUGAAGAUGGUGCCCAUAUUGGACUCAUCCUCCGAGUCAAGCUACGAGACCGCGCAUGGAGACAUUUGCACCUACAUCUCUCCGACACCCACAAAUGUCGAGAUGCCCCAUUUGUCAUGUGAGGAGAGCCACCACCACAUGAGUGACAUGAGUGACUCCACCAUAUGUGACAUUGAGAGCAUUUCCUAUGAGAGGAUGAGUGUGACCACCACUAGCCCGACACAUGAGAGAAUGCCACACAUCCUAUGUCAGGUUGAGCGCCAUUUGAGUGACUCCACCAACCAUAUGAGUGAGAGCAUCUUUGAGGGAGUGAGUGAGCCACUACACUUAGUGAGUGAGGUAGUUGACACGGCAUGUGAGGCCACUAUGAUUUCUAACGACUUAACCUCUACUCCUAGUGUGUUUUCUUCUUUGGUGCUAGGUCUCCUACAUGACGACAUACCUAUUCUCGAUGAGUCCAUUCCUCCAAUGGACAAUAUGAUGGCCAUGGUGGACGAUGAUGCACCUCCCACAUGGUUCCAUCAACAUGAAGAUGACAACGAGAGAUCUUCAACACCUCACCUACAACACAUGAGUGACGCUCCAAAGGUAACAUAUGUGAUGGUGUUUCUCUUGUCCCACUAGUGGACUCUCUUGACAUCGAUUGCUCCCAUGAUGUUGACACACCUAUUGCCAUUCUUCAUGCUAGUGAAACUUUGUCAUGCCUUGACUUACCUAUUUAUGAUGAAUAUGAUGAUGAGCAUGUUGAGUUGCCUAGUUAUGAUGCUAUGCUCCAUAUGAUAUCAUGUGAAAAUUCUAUUGGUCACAUCAUGUUUGACAAUCCAUUGAACUUGUCAUAUGCUAUGAGUGAGAUCAACCAUAUUGCAUCUUUACAAUCUCAACAUAGUAACUAUGCAUGCCCCAUUAAAAUCAACCCCAUUUGCACCUAUGGCACAGAUGACGAGAUGAUGGUCAUUGGAUUUUGCUUCUCUUGUGAUGAUAUUGCCAUGCUUCCUUUACAUGAUUUGUGCAAUUCAUCUACUAUGCCAUGCCAUGAUCACAUUGAACCACAUAUACUUUGUUUUGGAUGUUGUCAAUAUUCUCCAUGUGAUGUUUCCACUAAUGCUCAUGAGGUGACCCCCAUAGUUUCCUCAAACAUAUUAGGAGAUUUUGAUGCAUUUCAUACUUUCCAUGAUUCCCACAAUUGCGUGCACCAGAUGCAUUCCAUGAAUAACAAAGCUCUAGAUAUUUCCCAUGAUGCAUUACACAAUUUGAGUCUCCAUUAUGCUAUACAUAAUAACAAACCUCUCAUGAUGGAUGACAUGUUUCUAUAUCACGCAUCUCAUUUAUUUGAGCAUUGGCUAUUUUGUGCUAACCGACACAUGCACGUGCGCAUCAUGAUGGAUGAUUUGUACAUAUACCAUGCACACACAAAUUUUCCUUUGUCUUUGUUUUGUGUAGGUACUCAUGUAUACUCGUCAACCUCUCAAUCCCAAGAGUUGACGAAACGAGCUCGUGAGAGCAACGAUGCUUUGGGAUCCCAUGGACUAUCCUUACCACCGUUCCCUCCACGCAAGGACUACGCGCAUCUCUUCUACUUUGCUCCCACACGGCUAUGGGCCAUUUACCACUUGUCACCUUAUGCUCAUUUUAUCGUGUUCACUUUGCAUGCUAUGCUUGCUUCUAUGCCUUUGCCAUGCAAUUGUGACCCUUGUUUGCAUCUACCCAUGAUUCUCCAUUAUGAAAUUCCUAUGUGUAUUUGCAUGCUUGGUGGAGAUCCUUGUUGCUUUUGCCAUGUUUAUCAUGUGCCUCAUGCUAUUUUACUCAUAUCUUGCUUUCAUGCUUGUGAUAUGUCAUGUGCAUUAUUCAUGACCACUAUUUGCACACAUGACAUGCUUGCCAUGAUUCCUCCUAGUAUGUUGCAUCUUCGCACUACUAGCUUGCUUGACUUGAUUGCUAUGAUUGCUUGCUUGGUUGCAUCCCCCAUGUGAUGAGGACAUCAAUACAAUUGUUACACCCACAGCCCCUGCUGCUAUAAAUACUGGACCAAUUACUAGAGCUCGCGCACGCCAACUAAAUUACCAGGUACUUUCGUUUCUUGGUAAUGAUUCUAAUGUUCAUGAGAAUAUGAUGCUGCCUAAAUUGGAUACAUUUGUUUUGCUUACAAAUGAAGGGCCUAGCUUGGAGAAGGAUGAACAUUGGAUUAAGAACAAGCAUGGAGAUGAUGGCAUGCGCAAGGGGAACAAGAACGGAGUUACAAGUGAUGAUUUCAGGACUUUGAAGCCACCAUAAUGGGUGCAUGAAGCCUUGGACGAAAUAUACAAGAUGCCACUUCAUAAAUUUCGUCCCGAGGCCUUAUUAUUGGGCCAGGCCCAUGUAAUUUCGAAAUACAUAAGUAUAGGCUAUUUUUAGAGUUCGUAUGUGUGGGGAAACAAGGGAGAUAGGGUUGAUUUCGGACCCCUCCACCAAGGGUCACGAAAUUCCCCCCUCUUCCUCCAUAUAUACAGCCCUUAGGGCAUCGUUUAGACUUUGGGUUUUGUUUAGAUUAAAAGUUCGCCAUAGCUGCAACUUCGCGUACUUCGUUUGUGUUCAACGACCAGACAAAUGCGUCACAGAACCCCACCUUGAUUAAUAAAGCUUUCAUCUUAUAUUCGCAAUAUCCAGAUUGCAAUCUUAGUUUCUUGCUUGUUCUUCGUUUGCUCGCAGGAAACAGACCCUCGUGGUCAGGUUGAUCGUGCUCCGGCGUGGUCAAUAACCUCUCGGAGUUGGUUUGGCGAUUGCUAAGGCGCGACGUCCUCGCACGUUCGUAGUCGGAUCGUCAAAGUCGACUACCACCAAAGCGAUAUCCAUCAUCUCAUCGAAAGACGGGACAGCUUUGCCUCUAUCAAGUGGUAUCAGAUUUCCAGGUUGCUCGGUGAGAUUUUACAGUUUUUCGUAGUUUAGAUCGAGUCUGUUCUUCAUACCUAUAGUCCACGAAAAAGCCACAAAAAAACUAGGGUUAGUUCAUCAUAUCCGAACCAAUCUGAGCCUUUGCAUAAUCUUUUUAGGGUUUUGCUUUAUUGAAUUUGCGGUUGCAUCGUCGUGUCUAGUUGCUGGUCUUAGAGUCUAGUCUUUUAGAGUUUCGAGUUUUGGUCAUAAGUUGUCACGCCGCCGCCGCACCAUCAUCAUCGCCCCUGCCAUCUACCACCACCGCUUAUCCGCCACCGCUUCGAAUCCGUAUCCAUAUACCACCACCGCUAUCAUAUACCACCACCGCUGCCAUCUACUACCAUAUAUCCACCACCAAUCCGAGUUCUUGUCAUAUUAGGUUUGUUUUCGAGAUCCAUCUAGAUUCCGAUUCGUGUUUCCUUGUCGGAGUAGGUUUCGGAAAAAAAGAGUCCGGAAACCACCCUCCGUUUAGGCCCAAAAUUUUUCGAAAACGCAUUUUUCGAAAAAAAUUCUAGCUAUCCUAUUUUUAGGUGUUUCUGAGUGUUUUGAGACAGGUGCCAUUAUAGGAAGUUUUUUGACCCGUUUCCAGUUUUUGGGUCCAGGCAGUCGAAAAAAAAUAGUCAAAAAAAAUUUCGUGCCCAUCCUGUCAGUUUGACCUAGGAAGAGUUUUGAGACACUCGCCAUUAUAGUGAUUUUUCGCAAAAAAAAGCAGCGCAAAAAAAAACAGCGCAAAAAAAAAGAGCGAAAAAAAAUCCAGAGUGUGCUUUUCCCUUGUUUACGUGCCGCGCCGUGAUUUUGUUGGUGUUCUAGGCUCGCGUCUCUAGCACAGUCUAGCCUAGGACCAGCACAGUACCGUCGUUGAGCGUUUAUUCAACUUUGCAUCUCUGAAUUGAUUAUUGCUGACCCUUUUUGCUACCAUAUUAUAAGCCUUCCCAGCUCCACAUACAUCUACGUCGUGCGUUUGACUCUCCCUGGUAAUCGCUCUAUCCAAGCUUUGAGAGUUUUUGACUACAACUGUUGCCGAUCACCGCCUGCUGUUGGGUAAGAACUGGUAAGAAUUUGAGAUUUGCUUGACGUAUUUGUGACACCCACCACCACCUCUUGUUAGUAGUCUGUAGGAUCAUAUUCUUGUGUGUUUCUAUUGCUGCUAACCAUGCCAGGAUCACAAGCCGACGAGACUGACUGGGAGAACAUGACGAAUAAGGAUUUGCAUGAUAAAUUUCAGCAAAUGAUGAGUGGACAGGUGCAAAAUGUGCUAAACAGAUUUGAAGAGGCCAUGGAGAAGAUAGAUGGCAUGGAGAAGACGUUCGAAACAAAGCUCGAUAACAAGUUUAAUGAAUUGCUCGCGCGUCUUCCACCACCACCACCCGCUGCACCUAACGCACUGAUGAGGACAUCAAUACCAUUGUUACACCCACAGCCCCUACUGCUACAUAUACGGGACCAAUUACUAGAGCUCGCGCACGCCAAUUAAAUUAUCAGGUACUUUCGUUUCUUGGUAAUGAUUCUAAUGUUCAUGAGAACAUGAUGCUGCCUAAAUUGGAUACAUUUGUUUUGCUUACAAAUGAAGGGCCUAGCUUGGAGAAGGAUGAACAUUGGAGCAAGAACAAGCAUGGAGAUGAUGCCAUGCGCAAGGGGCACAAGAACGGAGUUACAAGUGAUGAUUUCAGGACUUUGAAGCCACCAUAAUGGGUGCAUGAAGCCAUGGACGAAAUAUACAAGAUGUCACUUCAUAAAUUUCGUCCCGAGGCUAUUUUAGGUGCUGCGUCACCUUAUUAUUGGGCCAGGCCCAUGUAAUUUCGAAAUACAUAAGUAUAGGCUAUUUUUAGAGUCCGUAUGUGUGGGGAAACAAGAGAUAGGGUUGAUUUCGGACCCCUCCACCAAGGGCCACGAAAUUCCCCCCUCUUCCUCCAUAUAUACAGCCCUUAGGGCAUCGUUUAGACUUUGGGUUUUGUUUAGAUUAAAAGUUCGCCAUAGCUGCAACUUCGCGUACUUCGUUUGUGUUCAACGACCAGACAAAGGCGUCACAGAACGCCACCUUGAUCAAUAAAGCUUUCAUCUUAUAUUCGCAAUAUCCAGAUUGCAAUCUCAGUUUCUUGCUUGUUCUUCGUUUGCUCGCAGGAAACAGGCCCUCGUGGUCAGGUUGAUCGUGCUCCGGCGUGGUCAAUAACCUCUUGGAGUUGGUUUAGCGAUUGCUAAGGCGCGACGUCUUCGCACGUUCGUAGUCGGAUCGUCAAAGUCGACUACCACCAAAGCGAUAUCCAUCAUCUCAUCGAAAGACGGGACACCUUUGCCUCUAUCAAGUGGUAUCAGAUUUCCAGGUUGCUCGGUGAGAUUUUACAGUUUUUCGUAGUUUAGAUCGAGUCUAUUCUUCAUACCUAUAGUCCACGAAAAAGCCACAAAAAAAUUAGGGUUAGUUCAUCAUAUCCGAACCAAUCUGAGCCUUUGCACAAUCUUUUUAGGGUUUUGCUUUAUUGAAUUUGCGGUUGCAUCGUCGUGUCUAGUUGCUGGUCUUAGAGUCUAGUCUUUUAGAGUUUCGAGUUCUGGUCAUAAGUUGUCACGCCGCCGCCGCACCAUCAUCAUCGCCCCUGCCAUCUACCACCGCCGCUUAUCCGCCACCGCUUCGAAUCCGUAUCCAUAUACCACCACCGCUAUCAUAUACCACCACCGCUGCCAUCUACUACCAUAUAUCCACCACCAAUCCGAGUUCUUGUCAUAUUAGGUUUGUUUUCGAGAUCCAUCUAGAUUCCGAUUCGUGUUUCCUUGUCGGAGUAGGUUUCGGAAAAAAAGAGUCCGGAAACCACCCUCCGUUUAGGCCCAAAAUUUUUCGAAAACGCAUUUUUCGAAAAAAAUUCUGGCUAUCCUAUUUUUAGGUGUUUCUGAGUGUUUUGAGACAGGUGCCAUUAUAGGAAGUUUUUUUUGACCCGUUUCCAGUUUUUGGGUCCAGGCAGUCGAAAAAAAAUGGUCGAAAAAAAUUUCGUGCCCAUCCUGUCAGUUUGACCUAGGAAGAGUUUUGAGACACUCGCCAUUAUAGUGAUUUUUCGCAAAAAAAAAGCAGCGCAAAAAAAAACAGCGCAAAAAAAAAAGAGCAGAAAAAAAAUCCAGAGUGUGCUUUUCCCUUGUUUACGUGCCGCGUCGUGAUUUUGUUGGUGUCCUAGGCUCGCGUCUCUAGCACAGUCUAGCCUAGGACCAGCACAGUACCGUCGUUGAGCGUUUGUUCAACUUUGCAUCUCUGAAUUGAUUAUUGCUGACCCUUUUUGCUACCAUAUUAUAAGCCUUCCCAGCUCCACAUACAUCUACGUCGUGCGUUUGACUCUCCCUGGUAAUCGCUCUAUCCAAGCUUUGAGAGUUUUUGACUACAACGGUUGCCGAUCACCGCCUGCUGUUGGGUAAGAACUGGUAAGAAUUUGAGAUUUGCUUGACGUAUUUGUGACACCCACCACCACCUCUUGUUAGUAGUCUGUAGGAUCAUAUUCUUGUGUGUUUCUAUUGCUGCUAACCAUGCCAGGAUCACAAGCCGACGAGACUGACUGGGAGAACUUAUCGAACAAGGAGCUUCAUGAUAAGUUUCAGCCAAUGAUGACUGAACAGGUGCAAGAUGUGUUGAACAAUUUUGAAGAGGCCAUGGAGAACAUUACUGGCCUUGAGAAGACGUUCGAAACAAAGCUCGAUAACAAAUUUAAUGAACUGCUUGCGCGUCUUCCACCACCGGCUGCACCUGUCGCACCUCUACAACAACAACAACUACACCCCCUUCCGAAUCAGUAUGGACGAGCACAGCGUGUUCCUAUUGAGCCAGGACAAAAUUCUGGUGCCGCUGCUACUGCUGUUGGUGCUUCUUUGGCUCCUGCUACUGCUGCUGCUGGUACCCAGGAGGAUGAUGUGUAUGCGGGCGAUUAUGAGGAUGAGGUUGAUCAAAAUCAGAUCUACGAGCAGCCACCAGCACCACCACCAGCAGGUCGACCUCAGGUAUAUAUUCGUAAUGGUAGGCCUGCACCACCACCUCAGGUACGAGAUGAUGUCCAUAUUCCUAAACUGAAAUUGAAUAUUCCACCAUUUGAGGGUAGAUAUGUUCCUGAUAUAUAUCUUACUUGGGAGUUAGAAACUGAACAACGAUUUACAUGUUUACAAUAUCCUGAGGAGAGACGAGUUGCUGCUGCUGUUUGUGCUUUCACUAGUUUUGCAUGUGUAUGGUGGUCUGAACAUUGUAGAUUAUAUCCUAUUCCAACUACUUGGGCUACUUUGAAAACUGCUAUGCGUACGCGUUGGGUUCCACCAUAUUAUCAACGUGAAUUGCUUCAAAAAUUGCAGCGUUUAAGACAAGGGAAAAAUUCUGUAGAAGAAUAUUAUCAGGAAUUACAAACUGGCAUGAUUAGAUGUGGUAUUGUUGAGGAGAAUGAAGCUAUGCUUGCACGUUUUCUGGGUGGAUUAAAUAGAGAGAUUCAGACCAUUCUACACUAUAAGUAGUAUACUAAUAUCACUCGUUUAUUCCAUCUUGCUUGUAAAGCUGAACGUGAAGUGCAGGAUCGACAAGCAUUGGGGCGAACUAACUUUUCUGCAGGCCGACCUUCAUCAUGGACACCACGUGCAUCUUCUACUUCAACUGCACCAGCACCUCCAUCCGGUGCUACCGGUGCCACCUCCAGCCUUGAUACAAGAAAACAGGCACAACCACCAUUAUCUUCCAAGAGCGCACCUGCGGGGCCUGCACAGCGUUCUUCUUCUUCCAUGGCAUCAACAGGGCACACAAGUGAUAUUAUUUGUCGUCGUUGUAAGGGAGGAGGUCAUUAUGCGAGGGAAUGCAAAUCUCCGCGUGUGAUGAUUGCUACCGCGGAUGGUGGAUAUGAGUCCGCUAGUGACUAUGAUGAGGAGACAUUGGCUCUUAUUACACGUGAAGAACAUGGUGGAGAUGAUUCUGAUCAUGAGACGCAAUACAUGGCUCCUGAAGACGCUGACAGGUAUGAAUGUUUAGUUGCUCAACGUGUUUUGAGUGUGCAGGUCACACAAGCUGAGCAAAAUCAGAGGCACAAUUUGUUCCAUACCAAGGGAGUUGUGAAGGAACGUUCUGUGCGCGUCAUAAUAGAUGGAGGGAGCUGCAACAACUUGGCUAGCAUGGAGAUGGUGGAGAAGCUUUCUCUCACCACAAGACCACAUCCACAUCCUUACUACAUCCAAUGGUUCAACAACAGCGGCAAGGUUAAGGUAACACGUACUGUUCGUGUGCAUUUUAGUAUCUCUACAUAUGCUGAUUAUGUUGAUUGUGAUGUGGUACCUAUGCAAGCAUGUUCCUUAUUAGUUGGUAGACCAUGGCAAUUUGAUAAAAACUCUGUACACCAUGGUAGAAACAAUCACUAUACUCUUGUUCAUAAGGAUAAAAAUAUUACUUUGCUUCCUAUGACUCCUGAUUCCAUUUUGAAAGAUGAUAUUAAUAGAGCUAAUAAAGCACAACAGGAGAAGAAUAAGAGUGAAAAUCAGAUUGUGGCAAAAGAAUUUGAGCAACAAAUGAAGCCUAAUAAUAAACCAUGUAGUGUUGCUUCUGAAAUUAAAUUGAAAAGUGCAUGUUUAUUUGCCACCAAAUCUGAUAUUGAUGAGCUAGAUUUCAGCAAAUCUGUUUGCUAUGCUUUUGUGUGCAAAGAGGCAUUAUUUUCAUUCGAGGACGUGCCUUCCUCUUUCCCUCCUGCUGUCACUAACAUUUUGCAGGAGUUCGCUGACGUUUUUCCACAAGACGUGCCACCGGGAUUACCGCCUAUUCGAGGGAUUGAGCAUCAGAUUGACUUAAUUCCCGGUGCUUCACUGCCAAACCGUGCACCAUACCGUACCAAUCCAGAGGAGACGAAGGAGAUUAUGCGUCAAGUACAAGAGCUUCUCGACAAAGGUUAUAUACGCGAAUCCCUUAGUCCUUGUGCUGUUCCUAUUAUUCUAGUGCCGAAAAAGGAUGGUACAUCACGUAUGUGUAUUGAUUGUAGAGGCAUUAAUAAUAUUACUAUUCGUUAUCGUCAUCCUAUUCCUAGGCUAGAUGAUAUGCUUGAUGAAUUGAGUGGCUCUACAAUAUUCUCCAAAGUUGAUUUGCGUAGUGGCUACCAUCAAAUUCGUAUGAAAUUGGGAGAUGAAUGGAAAACAACAUUUAAAACUAAGUUUGGAUUAUAUGAGUGGUUAGUCAUGCCUUUUGGGUUAACUAAUGCACCUAGUACUUUCAUGAGAUUAAUGAACGAAGUUUUACGUGCUUUCAUUGGACGAUUUGUGGUAGUUUACUUUGAUGACAUAUUGAUUUAUAGAAGAUCUUUGGAAGAACAUUUGGAACAUUUACGUGCUGUUUUUAUUGCUCUACGUGAUGCACGUUUGUUUGGUAACCUUGGGAAGUGCACCUUUUGCACCAACCGAGUAUCUUUUCUUGGCUAUGUUGUUACUCCACAGGGAAUUGAAGUUGAUAAAGCCAAGAUUGAAGCUAUUGAGAGUUGGCCGCAGCCCAAAAUGGUCACACAACUGAGGAGUUUUCUUGGCCUCGCUGGAUUCUAUAGGCGUUUUGUGAGAGAUUUCAGCACCAUUGCUGCACCUCUCAAUGAGCUUACAAAGAAAGAUGUGCCUUUUCUUUGGGGUACCGCACAGGAAGAAGCCUUCACGGUAUUGAAAGAUAAGUUGACACAUGCUCCUUUACUCCAACUUCCUGAUUUUAAUAAGACUUUUGAGCUUCAAUGUGAUGCUAGUGGAAUUGGAUUAGGAGGUGUGUUAUUACAAGAUGGCGAACCUGUUGCAUACUUUUCUGAAAAAUUGAGUGGGCCUAGUCUGAAUUAUUCUACUUAUGAUAAAGAAUUAUAUGCUCUUGUUCGGACUUUAGAAACAUGGCAACAUUAUUUAUGGCCCAAAGAAUUUGUUAUACAUUCUGAUCAUGAAUCUUUGAACCAUAUUAAAAGUCAAGCUAAACUGAAUCGUAGACAUGCUAAAUGGGUUGAAUUCAUUGAGACUUUUCCUUAUGUCAUUAAACACAAGAAGGGAAAAGAAAAUGUUAUUGCUGAUGCAUUGUCUCGCCGCUAUACUAUGCUUUCACAACUUGACUUCGAAAUAUUUGGUUUGGAGACUAUCAAACAUCAAUAUGUGCAUGAUGCUGAUUUUAAAGAUGUAAUGCAGAAUUGUAAAGAAGGAAGAAUGUGGAACAAGUUCGUCGUUAACGAUGGAUUUGUGUUUCGUGCUAACAAGCUAUGCAUUCCAGCUAGCUCCGUUCGUCUUUUGUUGUUGCAGGAGGCGCAUGGAGGAGGAUUAAUGGGACACUUUGGCGUGAAGAAGACGGAGGACGUACUUGCUACACAUUUCUUUUGGCCAAAGAUGAGACGGGAUGUUGAGCGUUUUAUUGCUCGAUGCACUACAUGUCAAAAAGUAAGUCACGACUCAAUCCUCAUGGUUUAUAUAUGCCUUUGCCUGUACCUAGUGUUCCUUGGGAGGAUAUAUCUAUGGACUUUGUUUUAGGUUUACCUCGAACAAAGAAGGGGAGGGAUAGCAUAUUUGUUGUCGUGGAUAGAUUCUCGAAAAUGGCACACUUUAUACCAUGUCAUAAAAGCGAUGAUGCUAUUAAUGUUGCUGAUAUGUUCUUUCGUGAAAUUAUUCGCUUGCAUGGUGUGCCAAAUACUAUUGUUUCAGAUCGUGAUACUAAAUUUCUUAGCCACUUUUGGAGAUGUUUAUGGGCUAAGUUGGGGACUAAACUGCUUUUUAGUACUACUUGUCACCCCCAAACUGACGGACAAACUGAAGUAGUCAAUAGAACAUUGUCUACUAUGCUUAGGGCUGUUUUGAAGAAUAAUAAGAAAAUGUGGGAGGAAUGCUUGCCUCAUAUUGAAUUUGCUUAUAAUCGUUCAUUGCAUUCUACUACUAAGAUGUGCCCUUUUGAAGUUGUGUAUGGUUUCCUACCUCGUGCACCUAUUGAUUUGUUGCCUCUUCCAUCUUCGGAGAAGGUUAAUUUUGAUGCUAAACAACGUGCUGAAUUGAUUUUAAAAAUGCAUGAGUUAACUAAGGAAAACAUUGAGCGUAUGAAUGCUAAAUAUAAACUUGCUGGAGAUAAGGGUAGAAAACAUGUUGUGUUUGCACCUAGAGAUCUUGUUUGGUUACAUUUGCGUAAGGAUAGAUUUCCUGAUUUGCGCAAAUCAAAGCUAAUGUCACGUGCUGAUGGUCCCUUUAAGGUGUUAGAGAAAAUAAAUGAUAAUGCAUAUAAACUUGAGCUGCCUGCAGAUUUUGGGGUUAGUCCCACUUUUAACAUUGCAGAUUUGAAGCCUUAUUUGGGUGAGGAAGAUGAGUUUCCGUCGAGGACGACUUCAUUUCAAGAAGGGGAGGAUGAUGAGGACAUCAAUACCAUUGUUACACCCACAGCCCCUACUGCUACAUAUACGGGACCAAUUACUAGAGCUCGCGCACGCCAAUUAAAUUAUCAGGUACUUCCGUUUCUUGGUAAUGAUUCUAAUGUUCAUGAGAACAUGAUGCUGCCUAAAUUGGAUACAUUUGUUUUGCUUACAAAUGAAGGGCCUAGCUUGGAGAAGGAUGAACAUUGGAGCAAGAACAAGCAUGGAGAUGAUGCCAUGCGCAAGGGGAACAAGAACGGAGUUACAAGUGAUGAUUUCAGGACUUUGAAGCCACCUUAAUGGGUGCAUGAAGCCAUGGACGAAAUAUACAAGAUGCCACUUCAUAAAUUUCGUCCCGAGGCUAUUUUAGGUGCUGCGUCAGCUUAUUAUUGGGCCAGGCCCAUGUAAUUUCGAAAUACAUAAGUAUAGGCUAUUUUCAGAGUCCGUAUGUGUGGGGAAACAAGAGAUAGGGUUGAUUUCGGACCCCUCCACCAAGGGCCACGAAAUUCCCCCCUCUUCAUCCAUAUAUACAGCCCUUAGGGCAUCGUUUAGACUUUGGGUUUUGUUUAGAUUAAAAGUUCGCCAUAGCUGCAACUUCGCGUACUUCGUUUGUGUUCAACGACCAGACAAAGGCGUCACAGAACCCCACCUUGAUCAAUAAAGCUUUCAUCUUAUAUUCGCAAUAUCCAGAUUGCAAUCUCAGUUUCUUGCUUGUUCUUCGUUUGCUCGCAGGAAACAGGCCCUCGUGGUCAGGUUGAUCGUGCUCCGGCGUGGUCAAUAACCUCUUGGAGUUGGUUUAGCGAUUGCUAAGGCGCGACGUCUUCGCACGUUCGUAGUCGGAUCGUCAAAGUCGACUGCCACCAAAGCGAUAUCCAUCAUCUCAUCGAAAGACGGGACACCUUUGCCUCUAUCACGCACCUCUCCAACAACAACAACAACAACGACUACCUCCACGUCGCGAAGUAGAUCUCCGCCGAGCGAGCCGUGUUCCUCUUGCGUUUGGCCAAACUGUUGGUGCUGUUGUUGAUACUUCUGUGGCUCCUGCUGCUGAUGCGGAGGAGGAUGAUUAUGUGGGAGAUUACGAGGAUGAGGUUGUUCAAAAUCAGAACUACGUGCAACCACCUGCACCACAACCACCAGGUCGUCCACAUGCAAAUAAUCACAAUGGUAGGGCUUUCCCUCAGGUACGAGAUCAUGACCAUCUUCCUAAACUGAAAUUGAAUAUUCCACCUUUCGAGGGUAGAUAUGUUCCUGAUAUAUAUCUUACUUGGGAGUUAGAAACUGAACAACGAUUUACAUGUUUACAAUAUCCCGAGGAGAGACGGGUUGCCGCUGCUGUUUGUGCUUUCACUAGUUUUGCAUGUGUAUGGUGGUCUGAACAUUGUAGAUUAUAUCCUAUUCCAACUACUUGGGCUGCUUUGAAAACUGCUAUGCGUACUCGUUGGGUUCCACCAUAUUAUCAACGUGAAUUGCUUCAGAAAUUACAAUGCUUAAGACAAGGAAAAAAUUCUGUAGAAGAAUAUUAUCAGGAAUUACAAACUGGCAUGAUUAGAUGUGGUAUUGUUGAGGAGAAUGAAGCUAUGCUUGCACGUUUUCUGGGUGGAUUAAAUAGAGAGAUUCAGACCAUUCUAGACUAUAAGGAGUAUACUAAUAUCACUCGUUUUUCCAUCUUGCUUGUAAACCUGAACGUGAAGUGCAGAAUCGACAAGCAUUGGCGCGAACUAACUUUUCUGCAGGCCGACCUUCAUCAUGGACACCGCGUGCAUCUUCUACUUCAACUGCACCAGCACCUCACUCAGGUGUCUCCUCCAGUCGUGAUACAAGAAAACAGGCACAACCACCAUUAUCUGCUAAGAGCGCACCUGCUGGGCCUGCACAGAGUUCUGCUUCUUCCAUGGCAUCAACAGGGCACACAAGUGAUAUUAUUUGUCGUCGUUGUAAGGGAGGAGGUCAUUAUGCGAGAGAAUGCAAAUCUCCGUGUGUGACGAUUGCUACCGCGGAUGGUGGAUAUGAGUCCGCUAGUGACUAUGAUGAGGAGACUUUGGCUCUUAUUACACGUGAAGAACAUGGUGGAGAUGAUUCUGAUCAUGAGACGCAAUACAUGGCUCCUGAAGACGCUGACAGGUAUGAAUGUUUAGUUGCUCAACGUGUUUUGAGUGUGCAGGUCACACAAGCUGAGCAAAAUCAGAGGCACAAUUUGUUCCAUACCAAGGGAGUUGUGAAAGAACGUUCUGUGCGCGUCAUCAUAGAUGGAGGGAGCUGCAACAACUUGGCUAGCAUGGAGAUGGUGGAGAAGCUUUCUCUCACCACAAGACCACAUCCACAUCCUUACUACAUCCAAUGGUUCAACAACAGCGGCAAGGUUAAGGUAACACGUAUUGUUCGUGUGCAUUUUAGUAUCUCUACAUAUGCUGAUUAUGUUGAUUGUGAUGUGGUACCUAUGCAAGCAUGUUCCUUAUUAGUUGGUAGACCAUGGCAAUUUGAUAAAAAUUCUGUACACCAUGGUAGAAACAAUCACUAUACUCUUGUUCAUAAGGAUAAAAAUAUUACUUUGCUUCCUAUGACUCCUGAUUCCAUUUUGAAAGAUGAUAUUAAUAGAGCUAAUAAAGCAAAACAGGAGACGAAUAAGAGUGAAAAUCAGAUUGUGGCAAAAGAAUUUGAGCAACAAAUGAAGCCAAAUAAUAAACCAUCUAGUGUUGCUUCUGAAAUUAAAUUGAAAAGUGCAUGUUUAUUUGCCACCAAAUCUGAUAUUGAUGAGCUAGAUUUCAGGAAAUCUGUUUGCUAUGCUUUUGUGUGCAAAGAGGCAUUAUUUUCAUUCGAGGACGUGCCUUCCUCUUUGCCUCCUGCUGUCACUAACAUUUUGCAGGAGUUCGCUGACGUCUUUCCACAAGACGUGCCACCGGGAUUACCGCCUAUUCGAGGGAUUGAGCAUCAGAUUGACUUAAUUCCCGGUGCUUCACUGCCAAACCGUGCACCAUACCGUACCAAUCCAGAGGAGACGAAGGAGAUUAUGCGUCAAGUACAAGAGCUUCUCAACAAAGGUUAUAUACGCGAAUCCCUUAGUCCUUGUGUUGUUCCUAUUAUUCUAGUGCCGAAAAAGGAUGGUACAUCACGUAUGUGUGUUGAUUGUAGAGGCAUUAAUAAUAUUACUAUUCGUUAUCGUCAUCCUAUUCCUAGACUAGAUGAUAUGCUUGAUGAAUUGAGUGGCUCUACAAUAUUCUCCAAAGUUGAUUUGCGUAGUGGAUACCAUCAAAUUCGUAUGAAAUUGGGAGAUGAAUGGAAAACAGCAUUCAAAACUAAGUUUGGAUUAUAUGAGUGGUUAGUCAUGCCUUUUGGGUUAACUAAUGCACCUAGUACUUUCAUGAGAUUAAUGAACAAAGUUUUACGUGCUUUCAUUGGACGAUUUGUGGUAGUUUACUUUGAUGACAUAUUGAUUUAUAGCAGAUCUUUGGAAGAACAUUUGGAACAUUUACGUGCUGUUUUUAUUGCUCUACGUGAUGCAUGUUUGUUUGGUAACCUUGGGAAGUGCACCUUUUGCGCCGACCGAGUAUCUUUUCUUGGCUAUGUUGUUACUCCACAGGGAAUUGAAGUUGAUAAAGCCAAGAUUGAAGCUAUUGAGAGUUGGCCGCAACCCAAAACGGUCACACAAGUGAGGAGUUUUCUUGGCCUCGCUGGAUUCUAUAGGCAUUUUGCGAGAGAUUUCAGCACCAUUGCUGCACCUCUCAAUGAGCUUACAAAGAAAGAUGUGCCUUUUCUUUGGGGUACCGCACAGGAAGAAGCCUUGUCGGUAUUGAAAGAUAAGUUGACACAUGCUCCUUUACUCCAACUUCCUGAUUUUAAUAAGACUUUUGAGCUUGAAUGUGAUGCUAGUGGAAUUGGAUUAGGCGGUGUGUUAUUACAAGAUGGCAAACCUGUUGCAUACUUUUCUGAAAAAUUGAGUGGGCCUAGUCUGAAUUAUUCUACUUAUGAUAAAGAAUUAUAUGCUCUUGUUCGGACUUUAGAAACAUGGCAACAUUAUUUAUGGCCCAAAGAAUUUGAUAUACAUUCUGAUCAUGAAUCUUUGAAACACAUUAAAAGUCAAGCUAAACUGAAUCGUAGACAUGCUAAAUGGGUUGAAUUCAUUGAGACUUUUCCUUAUGUCAUUAAACACAAGAAGGGAAAAUAAAAUGUUAUUGCUGAUGCAUUGUCUCGCCGCUAUACUAUGCUUUCACAACUUGACUUCAAAAUAUUUGGUUUGGAGACCAUCAAAGAUCAAUAUGUGCAUGAUGCUGAUUCUAAAGAUGUAAUGCAGAAUUGUAAAGAAGGAAUAAUGUGGAACAAGUUUGUCAUUAACGAUGGAUUUGUGUUUCGUGCUAACAAGCUAUGCAUUCCAGCUAGCUCCGUUCGUCUUUUGUUGUUGCAGGAGGCGCAUGGAGGAGGAUUAAUGGGACACUUUGGCGUGAAGAAGACGGAGGACGUACUUGCUACACAUUUCUUUUGGCCAAAGAUGAGACGGGAUGUUGAGCGUUUUAUUGCUCGCUGCACUACAUGUCAAAAAGCUAAGUCACGACUCAAUCCUCAUGGUUUAUAUAUGCCUUUGCCUGUACCUAGUGUUCCUUGGGAGGAUAUAUCUAUGGACUUUGUUUUAGGUUUACCUCGAACAAAGAAGGGGAGGGAUAGCAUAUUUGUUGUCGUGGAUAGAUUCUCGAAAAUGGCACACUUUAUACCAUGUCAUAAAAGCGAUGAUGCUGUUAAUGUUGCUGAUUUGUUCUUUCGUGAAAUUAUUCGUUUGCAUGGUGUGCCAAAUACUAUUCUUUCAGAUCGUGAUACUAAAUUUCUUAGCCACUUUUGGAGAUGUUUAUGGGCUAAGUUGGGGACUAAACUGCUUUUUAGUACUACUUGUCAUCCCCAAACUGAUGGACAAACUGAAGUAGUCAAUAGAACAUUGUCUACUAUGCUUAGAGCUGUUUUGAAGAAUAAUAAGAAAAUGUGGGAGGAAUGCUUGCCUCAUAUUGAAUUUGCUUAUAAUCGUUCAUUGCAUUCUACUACUAAGAUGUGCCCUUUUGAAGUUGUGUAUGGUUUCCUACCUCGUGCACCUAUUGAUUUGUUGCCUCUUCCAUCUUCGGAGAAGGUUAAUUUUGAUGCUAAACAACAUGCUGAAUUGAUUUUAAAAAUGCAUGAGUUAACUAAGGAAAACAUUGAGCGCAUGAAUGCUAAAUAUAAACUUGCUGGAGAUAAGGGUAGAAAACAUGUUGUGUUUGCACCUGGAGAUCUUGUUUGGUUACAUUUGCGUAAGGAUAGAUUUCUUGAUUUGCGCAAAUCAAAGUUAAUGCCACGUGCUGAUGGUCCCUUUAAGGUGUUAGAGAAAAUAAAUGAUAAUGCAUAUAAACUUGAGCUGCCUGCAGAUUUUGGGGUUAGUCCCACUUUUAACAUUGCAGAUUUGAAGCCUUAUUUGGGUGAGGAAGAUGAACUUCCGUCGAGGACGACUUCAUUUCAAGAAGGGGAGGAUGAUGAGGACAUCAAUACAAUUGUUACACCCACAGCCCCUGCUGCUAUACAUACUGGACCAAUUACUAGAGCUCGUGCACGCCAACUAAAUUACCAGGUACUUUCGUUUCUUGGUAAUGAUUCUAAUGUUCAUGAGAAUAUGAUGCUGCCUAAAUUGGAUACAUUUGUUUUGCUUACAAAUGAAGGGCCUAGCAUGGAGAAGGAUGAACAUUGGAGCAAGAACAAGAAUGGAGUUACAAGUGAUGAUUUCAGGACUUUGAAGCCACCAUAAUGGGUGCAUGAAGCCUUGGACGAAAUAUACAAGAUGCCACUUCAUAAAUUUCGUCCCGAGGCUAUUUUAGGUGCUGCGUCACCUUAUUAUUGGGCCAGGCCCAUGUAAUUUCGAAAUACAUAAUUAUAGGCUAUUUUUAGAGUCCGUAUGUGUGGGGAAACAAGAGAUAGGGUUGAUUUCGGACCCCUCCACCAAGGGCCACGAAAUUCCCCCCCUCUUCCUCCAUAUAUACAGCCCUUAGGGCAUCGUUUAGAAUUUGGGUUUUGUUUAGAUUAAAAGUUCGCCAUAGCUGCAACUUCGCGUACUUCGUUUGUGUUCAACGACCAGACAAAGGCGUCACAGAACCCCACCUUGAUCAAUAAAGCUUUCAUCUUAUAUUCGCAAUAUCCAGAUUGCAAUCUUAGUUUCUUGCUUGUUCUUCGUUUGCUCGCAGGAAACAGACCCUCGUGGUCAGGUUGAUCGUGCUCCGGCGUGGUCAAUAACCUCUCGGAGUUGGUUUAGCGAUUGCUAAGGCGCGACGUCCUCGCACGUUCGUAGUCGGAUCGUCAAAGUCGACUUCCACCAAAGCGAAAUCCACCAUCUCAUCGAAAGACGGGACACCUUUGCCUCUAUCACUACAUGUCAAAAAGCUAAGUCACGACUCAAUCCUCAUGGUUUAUAUAUGCCUUUGCCUGUACCUAGUGUUCCUUGGGAGGAUAUAUCUAUGGACUUUGUUUUAGGUUUACCUCGAACAAAGAAGGGGAGGGAUAGCAUAUUUGUUGUCGUGGAUAGAUUCUCGAAAAUGGCACACUUUAUACCAUGUCAUAAAAGCGAUGAUGCUGUUAAUGUUGCUGAUUUGUUCUUUCGUGAAAUUAUUCGCUUGCAUGGUGUGCCAAAUACUAUUGUUUCAGAUCGUGAUACUAAAUUUCUUAGCCACUUUUGGAGAUGUUUAUGGGCUAAGUUGGGGACUAAACUGCUUUUUAGUACUACUUGUCACCCCCAAACUGAUGGACAAACUGAAGUAGUCAAUAGAACAUUGUCUAUUAUGCUUAGGGCUGUUUUGAAGAAUAAUAAGAAAAUGUGGGAGGAAUGCUUGCCUCAUAUUGAAUUUGCUUAUAAUCGUUCAUUGCAUUCUACUACUAAGAUGUGCCCUUUUGAAGUUGUGUAUGGUUUCCUACCUCGUGCACCUAUUGAUUUGUUGCCUCUUCCAUCUUCGGAGAAGGUUAAUUUUGAUGCUAAACAACGUGCUGAAUUGAUUUUAAAAAUGCAUGAGUUAACUAAGGAAAACAUUGAGCGUAUGAAUGCUAAAUAUAAACUUGCUGGAGAUAAGGGUAGAAAACAUGUUGUGUUUGCACCUGGAGAUCUUGUUUGGUUACAUUUGCGUAAGGAUAGAUUUCCGGAUUUGCGCAAAUCAAAGUUAAUGCCACGUGCUGAUGGUCCCUUUAAGGUGUUAGAGAAAAUAAAUGAUAAUGCAUAUAAACUUGAGCUGCCUGCAGAUUUUGGGGUUGGUCCCACUUUUAACAUUGCAGAUUUGAAGCCUUAUUUGGGUGAGGAAGAUGAACUUCCAUCGAGGACGACUUUAUUUCAAGAAGGGGAGGAUGAUGAGGACAUCAAUACAAUUGUUACACCCACAGCCCCUGUUGCUAUAAAUACUGGACCAAUUACUAGAGCUCGCGCACGCCAACUAAAUUACCAGGUACUUUCGUUUCUUGGUAAUGAUUCUAAUGUUCAUGAGAAUAUGAUGCUGCCUAAAUUGGAUACAUUUGUUUUGCUUACAAAUGAAGGGCCUAGCUUGGAGAAGGAUGAACAUUGGGUUAAGAACAAGCAUGGAGAUGAUGGCAUGCGCAAGGGGAACAAGAACGGAGUUACAAGUGAUGAUUUCAGGACUUUGAAGCCACCAUAAUGGGUGCAUGAAGCCUUGGAUGAAAUAUACAAGAUGCCACUUCAUAAAUUUCGUCCCGAGGCUAUUAUAGGUGCUGCGUCACCUUAUUAUUGGGCCAGGCCCAUGUAAUUUCGAAAUACAUAAGUAUAGGCUAUUUUUAGAGUCUGUAUGUGUGGGGAAACAAGGGAGAUAGGGUUGAUUUCGGACCCCUCCACCAAGGGCCACGAAAUUCCCCCUCUCUCCUACAUAUAUACAGCCCUUAGGGCACCGUUUAGACUUUGGGUUUUGUUUAGAUUAAAGUUCGACAUAGCUGCAACUUCGCGUACUUCGUUUGUGUUCAACGACCAGACAAAGGCGUCACAGAACCCCACCUUGAUCAAUAAAGCUUUCAUCUUAUAUUCGCAAUAUCCAGAUUGCAAUCUUAGUUUCUUGCUUGUUCUUCGUUUGCUCGCAGGGAACAGAACCUUGUGGUCAGGUUGAUUGUGCUCCGGCGUGGUCAAUAACCUCUCGGAGUUGGUUUAGCGAUUGCUAAGGCGCGACGUCCUCGCACGUUCGUAGUUUGAUCGUCAAAGUCGACUGCCACCAAAGCGAUAUCCAUCAUCUCAUCAAAAGACGGGACACCUUUGCCUCUAUCACCAUGUUCCACUAUUACUUGCUUUCUUGGGUUGAUGACAUAUAUGCUCAUGCCUCUCACAUGAUAUAUCUUGAUCAGUGUCUCUUGUGUCCAUUAGUUGCCUCUUUCAUAUCCACUUGUAUUGAGUGCAACCAUACUAUGCUUAUUGAUCUUGGAGACUUUGACUCCUUAUUUGUGAUGCAUGCUUCUUUCCUUGAGCCUCUUAUAUUUGGUUGUUCUUGCAUCAUAUGCCUACAUACUAUGAAAUGCUCCCUUGUACCUUCUUAUGAUGAGCUUGAUGCAUACACUUGUUGGGUAUCUUACCACUUGAAUGAUAGGUUUUGCAUCUCUGGUAACCUCAUUUGUUUUUCCGAGUGUUUAUCAUGUUCUUUCAUUUUGGAGGAUUCACAAGGCGGUGCCGUUAGGCGACAUAUUGGUUAUGUGAAGGCAUACAUGAUGUACGACUCCAACAUCUUUGGGAACUUUCUUGAGGUGAACUCCUUCUCUUUGAGCCAUCCUCAAUUACGCAUAUUGGAUGGGUCACUCUUUCAUUGUUGUUUCCUUCUUGUUGUCUACAUGAUACAUCUCGUGAACGGAGGAGCGACAUUGGAGAUUGGCUACAUGGACCUUCACAUUGAGGAGCGCUCGCACUUAUUGGAUGCACCUUCGGCACUCCACUCAUGCCUCGACAUCGAGCUUUGGUACACCAACAUCUCCAUAUUUGUUGAUUGUGCUCAUACAUGUCAUGCUCGAUGGACAUAUCAUAGUCACCAGAAGUUUGCACCCCAUACAUGGAUUGACUCAUAUUAUGCUUGUCUUGUUUCAUCUAUUUUCAUGUCAUCUAUGAUAUAUGAACUCGUUCACUUCCUUAGCAAAUUUGUUGUGAUCUUCCUUGAUGGCAUAUUCAUACAUCAUGAUCAUAUUGCCAAUUAUCAAUUGCGUGACAACAUAAUCACAUUGAACACCAAUUACCAUGUUCAUGCUCUUGAUAAACCAUCCCAUUAUGACAUCAUUUUGCACAAUGGUCUCAUUAGUCACAUUCACCACACCUUUGUGCAUAUGACAAAUGAAUUUGCUCACGCGAAUGCUUUACAUCUAAUUCUACAUCUUUUGGAUAAGCCUCUUGUGCCUUGUCACGCACUAUCUUGCCGCACGGACUCAUUCUUACAUGAUGGACACUUUGUGUGCGCUAACCAUUGUAUUUUCGAGUGUUGCUUGUGUUUGAUCUUUUUGCAUGUCUAUCACUCUGGUGACACCUUGGACUACUUGGAUUGCGCCAUGUCUUCAACUUCGACCAACUACAAGUCCGUCUACGACAACCGUUUCCAUGGUGAUGAGGAUCACGAUCCGAUGUCGGAUCUUUCCCAAUGGGGGGGGGGAGAUGAUGCGGAGCAUCCCACGGUCAACCCCAUGUACACUCCAACUACUCUCCAUACCCCAAGAGGACAUAUGACGAGACCUCGAACAUACGCCAUUGGAAUCAAGGUGAACCCGAUCUUCUUCAAGAACAUCAUGAAUAUCCAUUGGACUUGCUUGCUACUUCACCAAAGUGCUCUAUGUGUCCUUAGGUACGAAUACCGACGACCACAAGCUGGUGAGGGACACCCCAAAGGAGUUGGAGAAGGACCACAAGGCCACAAGGAGGAAGAAGGUGUGCAACAAGAGCAACACUGCACCUCCCAGGCGACCCCGUGCCCACAGGCCUCGAAGACCCUAUGCACACGGACUACUCAGGAAGUUGGCGCUGGAGCACCCCGUGCGCACGGGCCUGUACCGUGCCCACGGGACCCGUGCACACGGGCCUGUACCGUGCCCACGGGACCCCGUGCCCACGGGCCCAACUUACCCCGUGCGCACGGGCCCUACAGGAUGGACGGCUGGGAUUGCUGUUUGGGCCUCCUCUUCAUCCACUUCGUCCCCAUGCCUAUAUAUUUCGUACCUAGACCAUCUGUUAGGGGAGGCAAAGUAGUUGAUACACAUUGUGAGCUUUGCUCCAUGGAUCCACUCCUCUAGGAGAUCAAGACCUCCUCUUGGAGUGACCAAACAUCAAGACCUCCUCUUUGGGGAAGGAUCCCAAUCAUAGGAUCAUCAAGCCCUCAUCUCCUUCAUAGGAUUUGGGAUGAACUCUACCACGUAUCUUAUUUCCCUUUGUUGUUCAUGUACCUUGUGGAUCUUGUGUGUUUCAUUUUCUAGUGGAUGUGUGAUUGGACUUGUUCUUGAGUGUUAAUCUUGUUUCCCUCUUCUGUUCAUCUUGUUCUUGGGGAUUCCCCUUCCAAUUCAUGAAAGAUCUCCCCAUAGGGUUCCACCCUAUAUCAAUACUCCACAGGGAACUGAAGUUGAUAAAGCCAAGAUUGAAGCUAUUGAGAGUUGGCCGCAGCCCAAAACGAUCACACAAGUGAGGAGUUUUCUUGGCCUUGCUGGAUUCUACAGGCAUUUUGUGAGAGAUUUCAGCACCAUUGCUGCACCUCUCAAUGAGCUUACAAAGAAGGAUGUGCCUUUUGUUUGGGGUACCGCACAAGAAGAAGCCUUCACGGUAUUGAAAGAUAAGUUGACACAUGCUCCUUUACUCCAACUUCCUGAUUCUAAUAAGACUUUUGAGCUUGAAUGUGAUGCUAGUGGAAUUGGAUUAGGAGGUGUGUUAUUACAAGAUGGCAAACCCAUUGCAUAUUUUUCUGAAAAAUUGAGUGGGCCUAGUCUGAAUUAUUGUACUUAUGAUAAAGAAUUAUAUGCUCUUGUUCGGACUUUAGAGACAUGGCAACAUUAUUUAUGGCCCAAAGAAUUUGUUAUACAUUCUGAUCAUGAAUCUUUGAAACAUAUUAAAAGUCAAGCUAAACUGAAUCGUAGACAUGCUAAAUGGGUUGAAUUCAUUGAGACUUUCCCUUAUGUUAUUAAACACAAGAAGGGUAAAGAAAAUGUUAUUGCUGAUGCAUUGUCUCGUCGCUAUACUAUGCUUUCACAACUUGACUUCAAAAUAUUUGGUUUGGAGACCAUCUGAUACGGGGCUAACCCGAUGUAGGCCAAUCUUUCACGUUUGGAGUGGGAUCCCUCGAAGAACACGAUGAACACGGGUAAGAACGGGGAGAAAUCACAAGGGGAAACACUCGAGAACAAGUCCAAUCACACAUCCACUAGACAAUCAAACACACAAGAUCACAAGGUACAUGAACAACAAAGAGAAAGAUACAAGGUAGAGUUCAUCCCAAAUCCUAUGAAGGAGAUGAGGGCUUGAAUCCUAGAAGGAUCUUCCCACGAAGGGGGUCUUGAAUCCCGCGGGAUCUUCUCGCAUGGAGGUCUUGAACUCCAUGGGAGUGGUAGUAUCUCUCUCUCAAGAGUAGAGGUAGGAGCAAAGCUCACCUAAGAAUGAGCUAUCAUAUUUGCUAACCCGAGAAAGGACGAGGGGGAGGUCUAUUUAUAGUCUAAGCCACGAAGGGGUAAGUGGGAGAGAUAUACAAGGCCAAAAGGCCCGGCUGCACACACAGGCAGCGGACGUCCGGUCCUUACCGGUCGUCCGGUCGCUCGCGGAGGUCCGGACGUCCUGAGGGGCUCGGACUUCCGCAAAUUCGUCUCGGAUGAAGUUGCACCGGUCGUCCAGAGAUGGCGGUUGUCCGGUUGCCGGUCGUCUGGUCUUGGACGGACGUCCGACCGCUGUAGCUUUCGUCGGCUGGCCGUCUAGGAUGCGUUCGGUAGCGGACAUCCGGUGGGCGCCGGUCGUCCGGGCGCUGUAGAGGGUCGGACGUCCGAUGGCUUCCGGUCGUCCGGUCGCUGUAGACUCCGCAGCUCCUUCUUCUUCCGUCUUCUCUUCCAUGCUUCCCUCGCGGAUGGUGUAGGUGUUCCUUGGCGCUUGCACUCCUCCUCGUCGUCCGUGAAGCUCCGGCAAUACAUAUGCAUGCACACAAGUGGAGUGUCAAGUAGUAUACCAUCCACGAAGGGGUCAAGUGAACACGUGUAAAGGAGAAGAUUCACCUUUAUGUAUGAGAAGUGGAGGUCGCACGUGUCACUUGCCAAACGGACUCUUGACAUGGUGAUGACCGUAGGAUGCUCCGCAUCAUCCCCUCCCCCUUGGAAAAGAUCUGACCUCGGAUCAAAAACCAAAUCACCAUGGGAAAGAGAUGGCGGUGCCGUGUUGAAGUUACCGAUCACCAAGCACUCAUCGUCUAGUAGCUCGAAAUGGGCACUCUCCAAUGUCGCACCGUCUUGUGAUUCCUUCAAAAGGAGCAAAUAGGACAAACACUUGGAAAAACAAAUGUGGUUAGCGUUAGUGCAAAACCAAGCAUUGAAGAGGUGAUUCACCAAACAAGUGUUGUCAUCAAGCAUAGCAUAUGGUUUGACAAGGGAUUGUGACAUGGCAUGUAAGCAUAUCAAUCGAGCACAAGCAAAGAUAUCAUGGGGACAAGUAUGCAAAUGUGAGGUAGAGAUGCAAAUAUGUGUGACAGGAGAAUAAGCAUCUACCUCAAGAUCAUAGCAAUCAUGCAUAAAGCGCUCGACAAAUGGUCGAUGGUAGGCAUAGGAAUCAUUCACAACACCAAAUAAGAUGAGAUGUCUAAACACAUGGGUCAAGUGCAAGACAAUCCAAGCAUAAUGUGCAUAGGGUGUAGUGAAUAUAGUGUGGCACUCAACACAAUAGAAAGAGCAAUUGUUCAUCAUGUGUGAGGCAAUCAAGUGAAUCAUGUGACAAGUAAAGGGACAUGGCAUAUGUGAAGAAAUGAUAUUGGUGCAACCAACCAUAUGAUAGUAGCAAGUAGUCCAAGAAUUGGAUGCAACACACAAGGUAUAUAUGUCAUGAAGCAUGGAAAUGUGGCAAUCAUGGUUGAAAGUAAUAUCUCGAACUUGCGUGCAAAUGGUGCAAGCAACACAUGAAGUAUGAUCCGCAAUAUCCAAGCUCAAGAAGGAUGUCACCUUAAAAGUGUGUCCUUGUGCAUUCUUCACAAUGCCGAAGUGGAAGCAAAUACGGUGUAGAAGCAAGUCAUGGUAGAAUGUAUGAGGCUCGCUCUCAAGAGCUCGAAUGGUCAACUCACGUGAAGUGGAAGUCGACACAAAGUCCAAGUAUCCUACACAUGCACAAAACAAAACAAAGAUAGUAUGCGCAUGGUAGACAAACACAUCAUCCAUCGUGAUGGUUCUCAUCUUUUGCAUAAAACCAUUAGAAGCACAAGUGCAUGAAUAAUAUGAUGCAACAAUGGCUAAAUUCAUGGCACUAGGUAUAUGGUGCAAAGAAGUAAGACAAGCAUGCUUCACAAGAAUUAUGUCAAAAUCUCCAAAUAUAUGCGAGAAUGCUAUGGGGGCAAUCUCAUGAGCAAGAAGAGAAUCAUUGUUGCACUCAAUGCAUGGCAAAUCAUCUAGCAUGAGAGAGGCAACACAUGGAUAUAUAUGACAAGAAGCAAUAUGAGUCAUAUGCAAAGCAUAUAGAUGGUUUUCAUCAACCGCAUGAAAUGGUGAUGCAAUAUAAGCAAGCAUAGUAAUCAAGUCGUGCAAACUAGUGGAGCGAAGAUGCAACACACUAGAGUAAAUCAUGGCAAUCAUGUCAUGUGAGCAAAUAAUAGGCAUAGGGAAUGCACAUGACAUAUCACAAACACGAACACAAAGCAAGAUCAUAGUAUCAUCAUAGGGGUGGGUCACAAGUGGAACAUGGCAACAACAAGCAAUAUCUCCACCAAGUUUGCAAAUACACAUAAAGGUACUAGAAUCAAUGAUCAUGUGUAAUGCAAAGCAUGGGUCACAAAUGCAUGUCAAAGGCAUAGGAAAGGGCAUAUCAUGGAAAGUGAACAUGGCAAGAUGGGCAUAUAAUAUGUAAUGGACAACAACCCAUAGCCAAGUGAGAGAGAUGUAGAAUGAACGUGCGACGUCUAUGCGCGAAGAGAGCGGUGGGAAAGACAAUCCAUGGGAUCCCAAAUCAUCCUUGCUCUCUAGAGCUCGUUUUGUCAACUCAUGGGAUUGCGAGGUUGACAAGUAUUCAUGGGUACCUACACAAAAGAGACACAAACGAAAGAAAUUGUGCGCGUGGUAAAUGUACACAUCAUCCAUCAUGAUGUGUAUGUGCACAUUAGAGUUAGCACAAGAUAAGCAUUGCUCAAAGAAAUUUGAUGCAUGGCAUAAGAACAUGUCAUCCAUCAUGAAAGAAUAGUUAUUAUGUAUGACACGAUGGGGACACAAAUUGAGAAUGCAAGUAUAUGGCACAUCAAAAGCAUUUUCAUUCAAGGGAAACAUAUGGUGCACAUAAUUAUUGGGAUCAUGCAAUGGAUGGGAUAGAUAAAAAUAUCCUAACAUGUAUGAGGAAACUAUGGGGGUCUCCUCAUGAGCAAUAUCGGAAACGUCACAUGGAGAAAAUGGACAACAUCCAAAACAAUGCAUAUCCAAAGCUAGGUGGGCAUGGCAUGGCAUAUGAGAUAAAUGAUGCAAAGGGAGCAUAUCAAUAUCAUCACAAGAAAAACAAAUGCCAAUAACCAUGGGCUUGUCAUCUAUGCCAUACGUGCAAAUUGGGUUUAUUUUAAUGGCAUAUGCAUAGUCACUAUGAAGAGAUUGCAAAUAAGACAUAUGGUUGAUCUCAUGCAUAGCAUAUGACAAGUCAAACAGAUUAUCAAACAUGAUGUGACCAAGGGAAUUGUCACAAGAAAUCCUAUGUAACAUGGCAUCACUACUAGUAGACUCCACAUGAGAAUCAUUAUAUUCAUAAUAAAUGGGCAAAUCAUCGCAUGGGGAAAUCAUACUAGCAUGAAGCAUGGUACUAGGUGGAUCAACAUCAUGCAAGCAAUCAAUGUCAAGAAUGUCCACUAGUGGGACUAGAGCAUCACCGUCACCUUUGUUACCUUUGUCAUUCCACUCAAGUGGUGUAGGUGAGGUGGGAAAGACCAAAUGGUGGUCAUCUUCAUCUUGAUGUAACCAUGUGGGGGGGUGCAUCAUAUUCCACCAUGGCCAUCGUCUUGUCCAAAGGGAGGACGAAGUCGUCGAGGAUCGGCGCGUCAUCAUAAAUGGGACCUAGCACCAAAUGAGAAGACACAAUAGAGGUAGAGGUCAAGUUGUUAGAAUUGCAAAUGGCCUCACGAGACCUAUCCGCUAUCUCACUCUCUCUAUGUGGUGGUUCAGUCACUCCCUCAAAGUAGGUGCACUCAAAGUCACAUAUGGUGGAGUCACUCAUCUCACUCAAGUGGUGGGGGUUGUGGAUCUCCUCACAUGGAAAGUGGGGCAACUCAUCAUAUAUGGGGCUAGUGGUGAAGUCACUCUCACUCUCAAUAUGGUGGCAGAAGUCACUCAAGUCAUCAUACGUCGCCGUGGUUGAAGGGAUAAUCCCCUGUUCAACCAUCUCGUCAUCGUCGCCGUGGAUGAAGGCCGAAGAUGGCACAUCAUCACUCUCGCCUCCUAAGAUGGAAGCAUCAUCCUUGCUCGCCACCUUGUCGCUUGCCUCCAAAGCUUGGUCCUUGAGGGUCUCCGUAGUCGUACUCGUCGUCGCACCCUCUUGAAAAAGAGUCAAGGUAGACUCGGCACCAUCAAUGUCACAAAGAGGGAUGGCGGUGAAGUCGAACUUGGGAGCAUCGUCUUGGAGCUCGUCGGGCUUGGACAUCUUGGUGGUUCUCAUGCUCGUUCUCAUGGAGCUUGGUCGCCGCGAAGUUUGCUUGGGGUGGAGAAGCCUUGGCCUUCAUGACUUCUUGUUCCGCCUUGAGAGCACCAAUGUAGUUGUCGUCGAGGGACUUGUAGUUCUCGAGGAAGAUUGUCUUGGAGAUGUCAUUGUGCAAUCCCAUCAUGAAGUGGAACUUCAUCCAAAUGGGGUCGUCCACGUCGGCUCGUCGCAAGGCAUGCUUCAUCUCCUUGAAGUACGCGUCGACGGACUUGGAUCCUUGGAUGGUGUUCUCCAAUUGGCAUUGAAGUUGUUCCGUGUAGGUUGGAGGCACAAACUCUCUCCGCAAAGCUCUCUUCAUCUUGGGCCAACUCGUCUUGUAUCUCUCCGAAGGUGUGUGAAGCCACCAUGCCGAUGCGUAGUCGUGGAAGUUUUUUGUGGCGCACUUGACUUGAUCUUCGGAAGGGACUUGAUGUAGCUUGAGGUAGUUGUCCAUCAAACACUCCCACUCGAGGUACUCCUCGGGUUCUUGAGUCCCAUAGAAAGGAAUCUCGUGGUCGAUGUCGAGAUCGUAGUAGCUUGUGGAAGUCGCGGACUUGAGCUUGGGGAGCUUCUCUUGAGCGUAGUCUUGGGGUGCUUGUUGCCGAAGAUGCCGUAUGUCCGUAGGCGAAGAUGCCUUGAAGUCGCUUGGCGACGAUUCCAAGGGAGAUGGUGAAGUCAUUGAGCGGUUGUCGAUGUAGAGAUCUUGACCUUCACGUACUUGAUGGUGAUGGUGUCGAUGCCGAUGUGAUCUUGCCGGAGAUGGUAGCUUGGAAGAAUGUGCUCUUGAGCGUCUUCUCGAAGAUGAGGAAGAUCGCUUGUAGGACUUGAUGAGGGCUUUGAUCUCCUCCAUUUUAGCUUGCAUCUUGGCGUCGUAGUUGUUUUUCGUGGCAUCGAACUCGUCGUUGUUGUUGUAGACCGAUUGUGAAAUGCCUUGCCUAUCCAUCACAAGACUCGAGCAAAGGUGAGUAGGAAAUGAGAUAAACAAUACCAAGUUACCUUUUCCCAAAGUUGAGGAUGUAUCCCGUUUCACUCAAUGUGACAUGAAAGAAUAGUGGAAUUGGUACCGGACUUGUUCACUACACCUAUCAAGUAAAGUUUAUGGUAGAGCUCGGUGAGGAUAGUGGCACAAAAAUUUAAUGCAAAAUGUUAGCAAGAGUCAAUAAUGUUGAAAGAGAUUCACAAAUUUACAAGCGAAACAAGUAGAUCAAUAGCAAUAUGUGGCACACGGAAACACACACAUGGAUAGAUAAAUGGGGUCGUGCAACCAAGGAAUGAGCACAAAAUGUGGAAUCCACAGAAAAUGCUCGUGUUGCACAACUCAAGAGAGACGCUAGCAUGAUUGCUCAAUAGGCGGAUACGACACUUGUGCACAACCUAUAAGAUGCAAAAUGGAUAAACUUUCUAUCCCAAGUAUGCUAUAUAUGUAUGGUUCCCGGUGUUUCACACACAAUGAUCCAAAAUGAUCAAGUAUGAUACCGUAAGACAUAUUUUGAUGCUAUGGCUAUUGCUUACAAGCUCUUUGCUCUCUUUCUUUUGCUUAAAACCUUUAUUUCUUUUUUUUGAUAUGGCCACUUUUGCAUAAUGCACAAACCAAGAUAGCAAUUGUGUAUAUGCGGGAACAAACUUGUGACACAAGAUAUGAUACCAAUAUAUGCACCACGAUGAUAUGGUAUAUAUGCUAUGGGAAGUAUGAUCACUAAUGUGCACAAGUGACGUUGCCGGCAAUACUCAAAUGGCUAGUCUCGAUAGGCAAGUAACGCAAAAUGGGCUAUAGUUUAUCAAUGUAAUUGCAAGGGAAUAUACAAUGGUGUCGUCGAGGUUACCGUCCUUGGUGAUGAUGAGAGGCGGUGUUGCCGAUGUUGACCCAUUCCUAGUUAGCCAAAACACCCUAGGAAACGGAAAAACCACAAACUCAAAAUCUCCAAAGGCAAAGGUCAAAUGGUAGUAGCGGAAAGCGGUGGUGGUUUGCACUUGGCAAUGCGGAAGUGGAGGUGGUGGUUGAUGAAGAAGCAAUCGUUCCUAAGUAGCCGAAACACCUUAGGAGACUUGAUGAGGACAUGACUACCUUGGAUAUGACCAAAAAUAUUGCAUAUAUGCAUAUUUGUCAGGUGAUUUCUAGUGCAAACUAUUCAAUAAUCUAUUUAUGUUAUCCAGAACAAAAAUACUUCACACACUUUUGUGUUUUGUCUAAUUGCAGGUGUAUGGGACAUUUGUACAAUCCACAUAUGAAGAUAAGGAAGAAAGAGAUGUUUAUUUGCUGUCCAAAAAGUUCUCUCACGUCACUUUUGGCCCAAGAGAAGAUAGAGUCCAAGUCUCUCACGUUCUGGAUUCAGAUUCGGACUGCACAGACACACCUGACUCAAAACGCACACAAGUUUUUCAUACGGACUCCGAAUUGGGUGAUUCUUUUUUUGUUGGAAACUAGAUUUCGUGCACUUUCCAACCCAAUUGGAAUCACCUUCAAAUGCGUCCGGAGCGUUGAGUUGUGGACGAAACAAUCUGAUGCUGCAGCAGAAUCCGAGUCAAACUACAAGUCCAAAGGUGUUACAUCACCUCCACUUGGGCCCAUUGGCCUUGUACGACCUAGAUUUAGUUUUAGGCUGCCUUGGGACGUCCUCCCACCUCCUUGGCCGCCACCCCUUGCUCCUAUAUAAGUAGAUCCAUCUAGUAGCUUUUCCUUAGGGUUUUGUUUAGAUUAAAAGUUCGCCAUAGCUGCAACUUCGCGUACUUCGUUUGUGUUCAACGACCAGACAAAGGCGUCACAGAACCCCACCUUGAUCAAUAAAGCUUUCAUCUUAUAUUCGCAAUAUCCAGAUUGCAAUCUUAGUUUCUUGCUUGUUCUUCGUUUGCUCGCAGGAAACAGACCCUCGUGGUCAGGUUGAUCGUGCUCCGGCGUGGUCAAUAACCUCUCGGAGUUGGUUUAGCGAUUGCUAAGGCGCGACGUCCUCGCACGUUCGUAGUCGGAUCGUCAAAGUCGACUUCCACCAAAGCGAAAUCCACCAUCUCAUCGAAAGACGGGACACCUUUGCCUCUAUCACUCUUUGCCUCCUGCUGUCACUAACAUUUUGCAGGAGUUCGCUGACGUUUUUCCACAAGACGUGCCACCGGGAUUACCGCCUAUUCGAGGGAUUGAGCAUCAGAUUGACUUAAUUCCCGGUGCUUCACUGCCAAACCGUGCACCAUACCAUACCAAUCCAGAGGAGACGAAGGAGAUUAUGCGUCAAGUACAAGAGCUUCUCGACAAAGGUUAUAUACGCGAAUCCCUUAGUCCUUGUGCUGUUCCUAUUAUUCUAGUGCCGAAAAAGGAUGGUACAUCACGUAUGUGUGUUGAUUGUAGAGGCAUUAAUAAUAUUACUAUUCGUUAUCGUCAUCCUAUUCCUAGGCUAGAUGAUAUGCUUGAUGAAUUGAGUGGCUCUACAAUAUUCUCCAAAGUUGAUUUGCGUAGUGGCUACCAUCAAAUUCGUAUGAAAUUUGGAGAUGAAUGGAAAACAGCAUUUAAAACUAAGUUUGGAUUAUAUGAGUGGUUAGUCAUGCCUUUUGGGUUAACUAAUGCACCUAGUACUUUCAUGAGAUUAAUGAACGAAGUUUUACGUGUUUUCAUUGGACGAUUUGUGGUAGUUUACUUUGAUGACAUAUUGAUUUAUAGCAGAUCUUUGGAAGAACAUUUGGAACGUUUACGUGCUGUUUUUAUUGCUCUACGUGAUGCACGUUUGUUUGGUAACCUUGGGAAGUGCACCUUUUGCACCGACCGAGUAUCUUUUCUUGGCUAUGUUGUUACUCCACAGGGAAUUGAAGUUGAUAAAGCCAAGAUUGAAGCUAUUGAGAGUUGGCCGCAGCCCAAAACGGUCACACAAGUGAGGAGUUUUCUUGGCCUCGCUGGAUUCUAUAGGCGUUUUGUGAGAGAUUUCAGCACCAUUGCUGCACCUCUCAAUGAGCUUACAAAGAAAGAUGUGCCUUUUCUUUGGGGUACCGCACAGGAAGAAGCCUUCACGGUAUUGAAAGAUAAGUUGUGAUGAGGACAUGACUACCUUGGAUAUGACCAAAAAUAUUGCAUAUAUGCAUAUUUGUCAGGUGAUUUCUAGUGCAAACUAUUCAAUAAUCUAUUUAUGUUAUCCAGAACAAAAAUACUUCACACACUUUUGUGUUUUGUCUAAUUGCAGGUGUAUGGGACAUUUGUACAAUCCACAUAUGAAGAUAAGGAAGAAAGAGAUCUUUAUUUGCUGUCCAAAAAGUUCUCUCACGUCACUUUUGGCCCAAGAGAAGAUAGAGUCCAAGUCUCUCACGUUCUGGAUUCAGAUUCGGACUGCACAGACACACCUGACUCAAAACGCACACAAGUUUUUCAUACGGACUCCGAAUUGGGUGCUUCUUUUUUUGUUGGAAACUAGAUUUCGUGCACUUUCCAACCCAAUUGGAAUCACCUUCAAAUUCGUCCGGAGCGUUGAGUUGUGGACGAAACAAUCUGAUGCUGCAGCAGAAUCCGAGUCAAACUACAAGUCCAAAGGUGUUACAUCACCUCCACUUGGGCCCAUUGGCCUUGUACGACCUAGAUUUAGUUUUAGGCUGCCUUGGGACGUCCUCCCACCUCCUUGGCCGCCACCCCUUACUCCUAUAUAAGUAGAUCCAUCUAGUAGCUUUUCCUUGGGAUUUGUUUAGUUAAAAGUUAGCCAUUGCAACUUCGUGUACUUCGUUUGUGUCCAACGACCAGACCAAGACCGCUUCCGGAUCCCCACCAUUAUCAAUACUUCAUAUAUAUUUGCAAUAUUCAGAUUGCUUUAUCAUAUUCUUGCUCGUUCUUCGAUUGCUUGCAGGAAUAGACCUUCGUGGUCAGGCUGACCGUGCUUCCAGCAUUGUCAGUAACCUCAGGAGAUUGGUUUAGCGAUUGCUAAGGCGCAACGUCGUGCACGUUUGUAGUCGGAUCGUCAAAGUCGUCUCCACCAAAUCGAUAGUUAUCAUCUCAUCGAAAGAUCGGGACCCUCGCCUCUAUCAAGUGGUAUCAGUUUUCAGGUUGCUCGGUGAGAAUUUCCAGUUUUCCUAGAUUAGAUUUAUUUUCUUACCUAUUGUCCAAGAAAAAGCCACAAAAAAGAGUUAGAUCUACUCAUCCUUGGUCCAAGCCAAUCAGAGCCUUUGCAAUUUUCUUUUCAUUGCUUGCAUAGUUGAAUUAUCGGUUGCAUCGUCGUGUCGAGUUGCUGGUCUUAGUGUCUAGUUCGUUUAGAGUUUCGAGUUUCUGUUCACAUUAGUCACGCAGCCGCUGCAUCAUUAUCCUAUCCGCUGUCCACCAUCCCAUCCACCAAUUUCCACCACGUGCUACGCACUGUUUAUUGUCAUAAUCAUAGUUGAGGUCACUCACAUCUUCGCCUGAUCGAAUCUGCAUCUUAUCUAGUUUGUCUUGGAAAGAGGGAGAAAAAGAAUAUAAAGAAAAAAAAAGAGAGAAAAAAUGAAAGAAAAAAAAAGAAAAAGAGGGAGAAAAAAAAGAAAAAAAAGCGUGAGAAAAAAAAGAGAGAAAAAAAAUUGGAUCUAUCUAGAAUCAAUCUCAUACCUGAAUUUGGAUUGGAAUCUGUUUUGCGCACUGUUCAGUAAAACAGGUGUAUCUUCCUCAUUCGAAGUCCGUUUUGGCUCCGUGAGUACACAAAUUGAAGAUAGCGACGAGCCGCAUCUAAAUAGUUGCAGAAGCAAGUUCAAUAUUUGACACCUCAAAAUCGGCUUCUAAAUAGGUAUUUUUGCCCUCCGAAGUUCGUGAACACAACUUGUUCCAAUUUUUUAGGCCAGUUUUAGAAUUCUUUGACUCCUCAUAUCAACUCGGAAUUGAGUGGUUCUUUUUGCAUUGGAAAGCUUGAGUUAGUAGCAUUCUUUGAAAGAAUUUAUCAGAAAAUUGUCUCAAACUUUUCAAGAGGAAAGUUGGAGAGAGAGUUGUUGUAUAUCCUGCUUGGCAGUUGUUUUUCAUCAUUAUCUUCACUGCCGUUGUGAUCUUCACUUAUAUCUUGCUGUCAAGAGCUACUUAGUAUCCUUCAUUGAUGCUAGUUGUGCUACGCCGUGACCUCAUUAGUGUUUUAGGCUCGCGUCUCUAGUCCGGUCUAGCCUAGGACCAGCACAGUACCGUCGUUGAGCGUUUAUUCAACAUUGCAUCUUUGAAUUGAUUAUUGCUAAUCUUUUGCUACCAUAUAUAGCCAACCCAGCUCCACAUAUUUCUACACCGUGUAUACGUACGCUCCCCUGACAAUUUCUUUACUCAAUAUUCGGAGUUACUUGACACCGCUGGUUGCCGAUCACCGCUUGCUGCAUGGUAAGAACUUGUAAGACAUUGAUAUUUGCUUUACUGUGAGCGUUUUACCACCACAUCCUAGUAGUUAUAGGAACAUUAUUUUUGGGUUUUGCUUCUUGUUCUACUAAUCAUGACAGGAUCCAGAGUCAAUUCAUGGGCUUUAUCGAUCGCGGGAGACGUGCCACCACCUUUGCAAAUACCACAACCGUCACGAGAGGUGCACAAACAUCCAAAUGCACAUGAUCAGGUUAAUGUAUCUAUACCACCAUUUAAUGGCCGUUUUAAACCUACUUUAUAUAUUGAAUGAGAGUUCGACAUAAAAAAUAUAUUUGCUUCCCAUAAUUUCGAUGAACAUAAAAAGGUUAAGGUUGCGGUUGGUUCUUUCACUGGUUAUGCUUUGGUUUGGUGGAGUGAAUAUUGUCGGUUACACCCUGAUUAUAUACCUACUACUUGGGAUGAUUUGAAACUUGCCAUGCGACAUACUUUCGUCCCUGCUUAUUAUACUCGUGACAUGAUUAAGAAGUUGCAACACUUAAAACAAGGUAGUGAAACUGUAACAAAAUAUUAUGAUGAUUUACAAACUACCUUGUUGCAUUCCUCUUUAGAAGAAAGUGAAGAUGAUUUUAUGGAUAGAUUUUGGGGAGGAUUAAACCGUGAUAUUCAAGAGAUACUAAUUCAUGAAGAGUGUUAUCCUAUGGACCAUUUGUUUCAUCUUGCAUGCAAAGCUGAACAGGAAAUAAAACGACGUGUUGGCCACGAGGAGAACAAGCGCACGGUGCACAUUCCAAGAGUUGAUAUGAUUGUUCCUUCAACUACUAGACAUACUAUGACAACCACAUCCGUUGUUGUCAGGACUACAUCACCUCCACCAUGUGACACAUCGCCCCCGAGAGUGGCUACAUCAUCUGAGUUGAUCAUAAGAGGUAAUGACAAAGGUACUGAUCUUCCAUCUCUACAUGAGAAUGAUGAAUGCCUUGUCAAUUUGAAUGCACCAUCUGAUGAGCUACCCAGUACUUUGAUCACACCACCUAUUUUAGAGGACUACGUUGAUAAUUUGACUUUGCCAUGUGAUCAAACAACUGAAAUACCAACAAUUUUGAGUGCACCCAUUGAAUUAACUAUUGAUGCAAAAGAACCAAUGUUUAAUCAUUUUGAUAUGACCUCUAAUCUUGGUGAUGAUUCUGUGUUGAAUGACUUAUUGCAUGUUUGCUUAUUUAAGCAUGUUGUAACAUGUAAAUUUGAUGCAAGUAAGGUUUAUUCACCAAUGUUGGGAUGGUUUAAUGAUGAACAUUGUCAAUCUUUUGAAAUGAAUAAGAGCUUCACUUAUAUGUGCAAACUGAGUUGCAAUAUUUUCAUGCCUUCUACCUCUUGUGCUAAUUUUUUGGCUUUAGAUUUUAUGAACUAUGCAAGUUACUCAUCUAUUCAUGUGUCAUAUAUGCAAAAAUCAAGGGAAGUAAAAAUGGAUGACAUAUACAUAUACAACAUGUACACCUUGUCUCUUUUGUUAGCCACAUUUCAGAUUAAGCAAUGCCGAGGACGGCUUUAUUUUCAAGAAGGGGAGGAUGAUGAGGACAUGACUACCUUGGAUAUGACCAAAAAUAUUGCAUAUAUGCAUAUUUGUCAGGUGAUUUCUAGUGCAAACUAUUCAAUAAUCUAUUUAUGUUAUCCAGAACAAAAAUACUUCACACACUUUUGUGUUUUGUCUAAUUGCAGGUGUAUGGGACAUUUGUACAAUCCACAUAUGAAGAUAAGGAAGAAAGAGAUGUUUAUUUGCUGUCCAAAAAGUUCUCUCACGUCACUUUUGGCCCAAGAGAAGAUAGAGUCCAAGUCUCUCACGUUCUGGAUUCAGAUUCGGACUGCACAGACACACCUGACUCAAAACGUACACAAGUUUUUCACACGGACUCCGAAUUGGGUGAUUCUUUUUUUGUUGGAAACUAGAUUUCGUGCACUAUCCAACCCAAUUGGAAUCACCUUCAAAUUCGUCCGGAGCGUUGAGUUGUGGACAAAACAAUCUGAUGCUGCAGCAGAAUCCGAGUCAAACUACAAGUCCAAAGGUGUUACAUCACCUCCACUUGGGCCCAUUGGCCUUGUACGACCUAGAUUUAGUUUUAGGCUGCCUUGGGACGUCCUCCCACCUCCUUGGCCGCCACCCCUUGCUCCUAUAUAAGUAGAUCCAUCUAGUAGCUUUUCCUUGGGAUUUGUUUAGUUAAAAGUUAGCCAUUGCAACUUCGUGUACUUCGUUUGUGUCCAACGACCAGACCAAGACCGCUUCCGGAUCCCCACCAUUAUCAAUACUUCAUAUAUAUUUGCAAUAUUUAGAUUGCUUUAUCAUAUUCUUGCUCGUUCUUCGAUUGCUUGCAGGAAUAAACCUUCGUGGUCAGGCUGACCGUGCUUCCAGCAUUGUCAGUAACCUCAGGAGAUUGGUUUAGCGAUUGCUAAGGCGCAACGUCGUGCAUGUUUGUAGUCGGAUCGUCAAAGUCGUCUCCACCAAAUCGAUAGUUAUCAUCUCAUCAAAAGAUCGGGACCCUCGCCUCUAUCAAGACUCGAAUCACUACUCAAGCAACCACUAAUGCUAUGGCAAGCAAAAUGGGUUAGGUUGCGGAAGUCGGUGGUGGCUAUGCGGAUGAUGUGGUGGAAGGCCUAGGCAAACUUGCCAAAUUUUCGAAAAUUUGAUGGAGUCAAAUUGUGUUGGUGGUAUUUUUGUGGGAUGGGGGAUGUCAAUAGCUUCAAAACGAGCUAAAGAAUGUCAAAAUCGGAGUUCAGAUGAAUUAGUUAUGGCCGAAACAAGAAUCAGCCGAAGUCAAAACCUACAGGUUACGGACGUCCGGAAAGGUCGGAUGUCUGGGGCGUCGGACGUCCGGAAAAGUCGGAAAUCCGUAAAUUUCGUUUGGGUUAUGGGUUCCGGUCGUCCGGAAAAGGUCGGACGUCCGGUGCUUCGUGGGGGUCCGGACGUCCGUAAAACGCCGGUCGUCCUGUGGGUCGGGGUCAACGCGAGAAUUGAGUUCCGAGACGCGAUUUUGGGGUCAAAAUGAACGAGAUUUUGUGGAUGGAAGAUGGAGAAACUUGGGGAAAUGCUAGAUCCACUCGAAACCAAGCAAAUCCAUGGAUCAAAAUCAACAAAACAUCAUCAAACCAACAAAUCACAAAAAAAAUUUGGGCUAUUUUUGGUGAGGAUUUUCGGAUUUUGUGGAAGAACAAAACAAAACAAGGCUAGAAAACGGUGGGAGGGACUCCAAAUACGUGAUCAACAUGGCUCUGAUACCAUAUGAUACGGGGCUAACCCGAUGUAGGCCGAUCUUUCAUCGUGUUCUUCGAGGGAUCCCACUCCAAACGUGAAAGAUCGGCCUACAUCGGGUUAGCCCCGCAUCACCAUCAAAGAUCAAUAUGUGCAUGAUGCUGAUUUUAAAGAUGUAUUGCAGAAUUGUAAAGAAGGGAGAACAUGGAACAAGUUCGUCGUUAAUGAUGGAUUUGUGUGUCAUGCUAACAAGCUAUGCAUUCCAGCUAGCUCUAUUCGUCUUUUGUUGUUGCAGGAGGUGCAUGGAGGGGGAUUAAUGGGACACUUUGGCGUGAAUAAGACGGAGGACGUACUUGCUACACAUUUCUUUUGGCCAAAGAUGAGACGGGAUGUUGAGUGUUUUAUUGCUCGCUGCACUACAUGUCAAAAAGCUAAGUCACAACUCAAUCCUCAUGGUUUAUAUAUGGCUUUGCCUGUACCUAGUGUUCCUUGGGAGGAUAUAUCUAUGGACUUUGUUUUAGGUUUACCUCGAACAAAGAAGGGGAGGGAUAGCAUAUUUGUUGUCGUGGAUAGAUUCUCGGAAAUGGCACACUUUAUACCAUGUCAUAAAAGCGAUGAUGCCGUUAAUGUUGCUGAUUUGUUCUUUCGUGAAAUUAUUCGCUUGCAUGGUGUGCCCAAUACUAUUGUUUCAGAUCGUGAUACUAAAUUUCUUAGCCAUUUUUGGAGAUGUUUAUGGGCUAAGUUGGGGACUAAACUGCUUUUUAGUACUAAUUGUCACCCCCAAACUGAUGGACAAACUGAAGUAGUCAAUAGAACAUUGUCUACUAUGCUUAGGGCUAUUUUGAAGAAUAAUAAGAAAAUGUGGGAAGAAUGUUUGCCUCAUAUUGAAUUUGCUUAUAAUCGUUCAUUGCAUUCUACUACUAAGAUGUGCCCUUUUGAAAUUGUGUAUGGGUUCCUACCUCGUGCACCUAUUGAUUUGUUGCCUCUUCCAUCUUCGGAGAAGGUUAAUUUUGAUGCUAAACAACGUGCUGAAUUGAUUUUAAAAAUGCAUGAGUUAACUAAGGAAAACAUUGAGCGUAUGAAUGCUAAAUAUAAACUUGCUGGAGACAAGGGUAGAAAACAUGUUGUGUUUGCACCUGGAGAUCUUGUUUGGUUACAUUUGCGUAAGGAUAGAUUUCCUGAUUUGCGCAAAUCAAAGUUAAUGCCACGUGAUGAUGGUCCUUUUAAGGUGUUGGAGAAAAUAAAUGAUAAUGCAUAUAAACUUGAGCUGCCUGCAGAUUUUGGGGUUAGUCCCACUUUUAUCAUUGCAGAUUUGAAGCCUUAUUUGGGUGAGGACGAUGAGCUUUCGUCGAGGACAACUUCAUUUCAAGAAGGGGAGUGAUGUAGGGCGGAACCCUAUGGUGACGAUCUUUCACGUUUGGAGUGGAUCCUACGGGGAAUCACGAAGAACACGCGGAAGCACGAAGGGGAAACACGGGGAAAACAAGAGAGAAACACGAAACCGACAAGGAAUCAAUCACACGAGUGCUAGAUCACCGAACAUAAAGAGUAACAUAUGAUCCACAAUCAACAAAGGUAAGGAUACAAAGGUAACCAAUCUUCUCCGCGAGGAGGUCUUGAAUCCGCGAGGGUAUCUUCCCUUAGAGGGGUCUUGUAUCCAAGUGGAUCUACUCCGAGGAGGUCGCGGUCUCUCACAAAGAGGAGAUCCGAUGGAUGAGGGAGGCUCUAUCUCACAAAUGAGCUAAAUCAACGCUAACCCUAAAACGUACGGGAGGAGGGAGUAUAUAUAGUCAAAGGGGUGAACGGAUACAUGGGUCACGGCCCAAAGGAGCUGCACGCAGGCAGGGGGCACCGGAUGUCCGGUGGCUAGAUAGGUGCUGGAUGUCCUGGCUGGAGGUGUCGGAUGUCCGGUGCAUCCGGAGGGGCUGGAUGUCCAGUGCGUAGGCUGGAUGUCCGGGCUGUCGGGGCCAUCUUCAGUGCAUUCGGGACGCCUUGUCCGGAUAUUCGGGCGGGAGGCCGGAUUUCCGGUGGGAGGCCGGAUGUCCGGUCGCUGUAGCUUUCUUCUGCAGGGGCUGGCCGGGUAUAUCUCCAGGGGCCGGAUGUCCGGGGUCCUGGCCGGAUGUCCGGUGCCUGGAGGCUACUUUUGCCUUCUUCCAUUGGUUCCUUUCUUCCUUGGACUUGGGGUCUUGUUCAUCUUCAUGUGCAUCCUCGGGAGGGUCCUCUUGGUACCUAAUCAUGCACAACAUUCCGGAUUGAGGUAGUAGCCAUGUCUCGAGAGGAUCAUAUGAUAUAUCAUUAAGGAGAGAAGUCACCUCGGUCUCGAGAGCUCGAGCUCGUGCUCUAGUCAUGGGUCCUCUUGGUGCUUGGUGAGAUGACGGAAGGUCCAUGGGGAUGACCGAAGGAUGCUCCGCAUCAUCUCCCCCCCCCCUUGUGAAGGAUCCGACCUUGGAUCGAAAUCCUCAUCACCAUGGUACGGGGAGAGAUUGGAGUCGUUGAAGAUGUCGCUCACGUUGUACUUGUCGUGUGGGAGAUCGAUCUUGUAAGCAUUGUUGUUGUAGCGUGCUAGCACCUUGAAAGGUCUGUCGGCUCGAGGGAGAAGCUUGGACUUGCGUUCGUUGGGGAAGCGGUCCUUGCGAAGGUGUAGCCACACGAGGUCUCCAAUGUUGAAUAUCAUGGGAUGCUUCUUGACGGUGAGCUUGGUCGCGAGUCGUUGUACUUGGCGCUCGAUGGCGUGCCUUGUAUCUUCAUGCAUCUUCUUGAUGUAGCUUGCACGGGUACUUGCAUCAAGGUUGGUGCGCUCUUGUAGAGGAAGAGGUAGAAUGUCCAAUGGGGACAACGGAUUGAAGCCGUAGACGACCUCGAAGGGGGACUUGCCGGUCGUCGAAUGUCUUGCACAGUUGUAGGCGUACUCGGCGAUGGGUAGACAUGCCUCCCACUCCUUGAUGUUCUUCUUGAUCAACACGCGAAGUAGAGUGGAGUGUGUAUGGUUCGUCACCUCCGUUUGGCCAUCGGUUUGAGGAUGGUAUGCCGAAGAGAACUUGACGUCGCGGUCCGAGACAAUCGUCUUUGGCACUCCAUGAAGUCACAAGAUUUCCCUACAAAAGAGAUUGGCAAUAUGUGAAGCAUUGUCUGUCUUGUUGAAAGGAAUAAAUUGUGCCAUCUUAGAAAAUCGGUCGACAACAACAAAGACGGAAUCCUUGCCAUUUUGAGUUCUAGGCAAACCAAGUACAAAAUCCAUGCUAAUGUCUUCCCAAGGUUGAUAAGGAAUAGGAAGGGGCAUGUAAAGACCAUGGGAUUGAGCUUUAGACUUAGCUUUGCGACAUGUAGAGCAACGGUUGGUGAAGAGUGAGACGUCACGGAACAUCUUGGGCCAAAAGUAGUUCUUGGAGAGCAUGGCAAAAGUCUUGUCGCGUCCAAAGUGUCCCGUGAGUCCGCCUCCAUGAGCCUCUUGCAGAAGUAGCAAACGAAGAGAAGACUCGGGAAUGCAAAGUUUGUUAGCUCUCAUAAGAUAAUCAUCCUUUAUGUAGUAUUGUUCCCAAGACGUGUGUGUCAAACACUUAGCAUAAGGAGUAGCAAAAGAAGGAUCAUGAUCAUACAAGUCUUUUAUAUGCUCAAAACCAAUAACAUUCAACUCAAGUUGUGAUAGAGGCAGAGGUGUCCCGUCUUUCGAUGAGAUGAUGGAUUUCGCUUUGGUGGAAGUCGACUUUGACGAUCCGACUACGAACGUGCGAGGACGUCGCGCCUUAGCAAUCGCUAAACCAACUCCGAGAGGUUAUUGACCACGCCGGAGCACGAUCAACCUGACCACGAGGGUCUGUUUCCUGCGAGCAAACGAAGAACAAGCAAGAAACUGAGAUUGCAAUCUGGAUAUUGCGAAUAUAAGAUGAAAGCUUUAUUGAUCAAGGUGGGGUUCUGUGACGCCUUUGUCUGGUCGUUGAACACAAACGAAGUACGCGAAGUUGCAGCUAUGGCGAACUUUUAAUCUAAACAAAACCCAAAGUCUAAACGAUGCCCUAAGGGCUGUAUAUAUGGAGGAAGAGGGGGGGAAUUUCGUGGCCCUUGGUGGAGGGUUCCGAAAUCAACCCUAUCUCUUGUUUCCCCACACAUACGGACUCUAAAAAUAGCCUAUAAUUAUGUAUUUCGAAAUUACAUGGGCCUGGCCCAAUAAUAAGGUGACGCAGCACCUAAAAUAGCCUCGGGACGAAAUUUAUGAAGUGGCAUCUUGUAUAUUUCGUCCAAGGCUUCAUGCACCCAUUAUGGUGGCUUCAAAGUCCUGAAAUCAUCACUUGUAACUCCGUUCUUGUUCUCCUUGCGCAUGCCAUCAUCUCCAUGCUUGUUCUUGCUCCAAUGUUCAUCCUUCUCCAAGCUAGGCCCUUCAUUUGUAAGCAAAACAAAUGUAUCCAAUUUAGGCAGCAUCAUAUUCUCAUGAACAUUAAAAUCAUUACCAAGAAACGAAAGUACCUGGUAAUUUAGUUGGCGUGCACGAGCUCUAGUAAUUGGUCCAGUAUGUAUAGCAGCAGGGGCUGUGGGUGUAACAAUUGUAUUGAUGUCCUCAUCACUAGAUGAUAUGCUUGAUGAAUUGAGUGGCUCUACAAUAUUCUCCAAAGUUGAUUUGCGUAGUGGAUACCAUCAAAUUCGUAUGAAAUUGGGAGAUGAAUGGAAAACAGCAUUCAAAACUAAGUUUGGAUUAUAUGAGUGGUUAGUCAUGCCUUUUGGGUUAACUAAUGCACCUAGUACUUUCAUGAGAUUAAUGAACGAAGUUUUACGUGCUUUCAUUGGACGAUUUGUGGUAGUUUACUUUGAUGACAUAUUGAUUUAUAGCAGAUCUUUGGAAGAACAUUUGGAACAUUUACGUGUUGUUUUUAUUGCUCUACGUGAUGCACGUUUGUUUGGUAACCUUGGGAAGUGCACCUUUUGCACCGACCGAGUAUCUUUUCUUGGCUAUGUUGUUACUCCACAGGGAAUUGAAGUUGAUAAAGCCAAGAUUGAAGCUAUUGAGAGUUGGCCGCAACCCAAAACGGUCACACAAGUGAGGAGUUUUCUUGGCCUCGCUGGAUUCUAUAGUCGUUUUGUGAGAGAUUUCAGCACCAUUGCUGCACCUCUCAAUGAGCUUACAAAGAAAGAUGUGCCUUUUCUUUGGGGUACCGCACAAGAAGAAGCCUUCACGGUAUUGAAAGAUAAGUUGACACAUGCUCCUUUACUCCAACUUCCUGAUUUUAAUAAGACUUUUGAGCUUGAAUGUGAUGCUAGUGGAAUUGGAUUAGGAGGUGUGUUAUUACAAGAUGGCAAACCUGUUGCAUACUUUUCUGAAAAAUUGAGUGGGCCUAGUCUGAAUUAUUCUACUUAUGAUAAAGAAUUAUAUGCUCUUGUUCGGACUUUAGAAACAUGGCAACAUUAUUUAUGGCCCAAAGAAUUUGUUAUACAUUCUGAUCAUGAAUCUUUGAAACAUAUGAAAAGUCAAGCUAAACUGAAUCGUAGACAUGCUAAAUGGGUUGAAUUCAUUGAGACUUUCCCUUAUGUCAUUAAACACAAGAAGGGAAAAGAAAAUGUUAUUGCUGAUGCAUUGUCUCGUCGCUAUACUAUGCUUUCACAACUUGACUUCAAAAUAUUUGGUUUAGAGACCAUCAAAGAUCAAUAUGUGCAUGAUGCUGAUUUUAAAGAUGUAAUGCAGAAUUGUAAAGAAGGAAGAAUGUGGAACAAGUUUGUCGUUAACGAUGGAUUUGUGUUUCGUGCUAACAAGCUAUGCAUUCCAGCUAGCUCCGUUCGUCUUUUGUUAUUGCAGGAGGCGCAUGGAGGAGGAUUAAUGGGACACUUUGGCGUGAAGAAGACGGAGGACGUACUUGCUACACAUUUCUUUUGGCCAAAGAUGAGACGGGAUGUUGAGCGUUUUAUUGCUCGAUGCACUACAUGUCAAAAAGCUAAGUCACGACUCAAUCCUCAUGGUUUAUAUAUGCCUUUGCCUGUACCUAGUGUUCCUUGGGAGGAUAUAUCUAUGGACUUUGUUUUAGGUUUACCUCGAACAAAGAAGGGGAGAGAUAGCAUAUUUGUUGUCGUGGAUAGAUUCUCGAAAAUGGCACACUUUAUACCAUGUCAUAAAAGCGAUGAUGCUGUUAAUGUUGCUGAUUUGUUCUUUCGUGAAAUUAUUCGCUUGCAUGGUGUGCCAAAUACUAUUGUUUCAGAUCGUGAUACUAAAUUUCUUAGCCACUUUUGGAGAUGUUUAUGGGCUAAGUUGGGGACUAAACUGCUUUUUAGUACUACUUGUCACCCCCAAACUGAUGGACAAACUGAAGUAGUCAAUAGAACGUUGUCUGCUAUGCUUAGGGCUGUUUUGAAGAAUAAUAAGAAAAUGUGGGAGGAAUGCUUGCCUCAUAUUGAAUUUGCUUAUAAUCGUUCAUUGCAUUCUACUACUAAGAUGUGCCCUUUUGAAGUUGUGUAUGGUUUCCUACCUCGUGCACCUAUUGAUUUGUUGCCUCUUCCAUCUUCGGAGAAGGUUAAUUUUGAUGCUAAACAACGUGUGAUAGAGGCAAAGGUGUCCCGUCUUUCGAUGAGAUGAUGGAUAUCGCUUUGGUGGAAGUCGACUUUGACGAUCCGACUACGAACGUGCGAGGACGUCGCGCCUUAGCAAUCGCUAAACCAACUCCGAGAGGUUAUUGACCACGCCGGAGCACGAUCAACCUGACCACGAGGGUCUGUUUCCUGCGAGCAAACGAAGAACAAGCAAGAAACUAAGAUUGCAAUCUGGAUAUUGCGAAUAUAAGAUGAAAGCUUUAUUGAUCAAGGUGGGGUUCUGUGACGCCUUUGUCUGGUCGUGGAACACAAACGAAGUACGCGAAGUUGCAGCUAUGGCGAACUUUUAAUCUAAACAAAACCCAAAGUCUAAACGAUGCCCUAAGGGCUGUAUAUAUGGAGGAAGAGGGGGGAAUUUCGUGGCCCUUGGUGGAGGGGUCCGAAAUCAACCCUAUCUCUUGUUUCCCCACACAUACGGACUCUAAAAAUAGCCUAUACUUAUGUAUUUCGAAAUUACAUGGGCCUGGCCCAAUAAUAAGGUGACGCAGCACCUAAAAUAGCCUCUGGACGAAAUUUAUGAAGUGGCAUCUUGUAUAUUUCGUCCAAGGCUUCAUGCACCCAUUAUGGUGGCUUCAAAGUCCUGAAAUCAUCACUUGUAACUCCGUUCUUGUUCCAAUGUUCAUCCUUCUCCAAGCUAGGCCCUUCAUUUGUAAGCAAAACAAAUGUAUCCAAUUUAGGCAGCAUCAUAUUCUCAUGAACAUUAGAAUCAUUACCAAGAAACGAAAGUACCUGGUAAUUUAGUUGGCGUGCACGAGCUCCAGUAAUUGGUCCAGUAUGUAUAGCAGCAGGGGCUGUGGGUGUAACAAUUGUAUUGAUGUCCUCAUCAUCCUCCCCUUCUUGAAAAGAAGUCGUCCUCGACGGAAGUUCAUCUUCCUCACCCAAAUAAGGCUUCAAAUCUGCAAUGUUAAAAGUGGGACUAACCCCAAAAUCUGCAGGCAGCUCAAGUUUAUAUGCAUUAUCAUUUAUUUUCUCUAACACCUUAAAGGGACCAUCAGCACGUGGCAUUAACUUUGAUUUGUGCAAAUCAGGAAAUCUAUCCUUACGCAAAUGUAACCAAACAAGAUCUCCAGGUGCAAACACAACAUGUUUUCUACCCUUAUCUCCAGCAAGUUUAUAUUUAGCAUUCAUGCGCUCAAUGUUUUCCUUAGUUAACUCAUGCAUUUUUAAAAUCAAUUCAGCACGUUGUUUAGCAUCAAAAUUAACCUUCUCCGAAGAUGGAAGAGGCAACAAAUCAAUAGGUGCACGAGGUAGGAAACCAUACACAACUUCAAAAGGGCACAUCUUAGUAGUAGAAUGCAAUGAACGAUUAUAAGCAAAUUCAAUAUGAGGCAAGCAUUCCUCCCACAUUUUCUUAUUAUUCUUCAAAACAGCCCUAAGCGUAGUAGACAACGUUCUAUUGACUACUUCAGUUUGUCCAUCAGUUUGGGGGUGACAAGUAGUACUAAAAAGCAGUUUAGUCCCCAACUUAGCCCAUAAACAUCUCCAAAAGUGGCUAAGAAAUUUAGUAUCACGAUCUGAAACAAUAGCAUUUGGCACACCAUGCAAGCGAAUAAUUUCACGAAAGAACAAAUCAGCAACAUUAACAGCAUCAUCGCUUUUAUGACAUGGUAUAAAGUGUGCCAUUUUCGAGAAUCUAUCCACGACAACAAAUAUGCUAUCCCUCCCCUUCUUUGUUCGAGGUAAACCUAAAACAAAGUCCAUAGAUAUAUCCUCCCAAGGAACACUAGGUACAGGCAAAGGCAUAUAUAAACCAUGAGGAUUGAGUCGUGACUUAGCUUUUUGACAUGUAGUGCAGCGAGCAAUAAAACGUUCAACAUCCCGUCUCAUCUUUGGCCAAAAGAAAUGUGUAGCAAGUACGUCCUCCGUCUUCUUCACGCCAAAGUGUCCCAUUAAUCCUCCUCCAUGCGCCUCCUGCAACAACAAAAGACGAACGGAGCUAGCUGGAAUGCAUAGCUUGUUAGCACGAAACACAAAUCCAUCAUUAACAACAAACUUGUUCCACAUUCUUCCUUCUUUACAAUUCUGCAUUACAUCUUUAAAAUCAGCAUCAUGCACAUAUUGAUCUUUGAUGGUCUCCAAACCAAAUAUUUUGAAGUCAAGUUGUGAAAGCAUAGUAUAGCGACGAGACAAUGCAUCAGCAAUAACAUUUUCUUUUCCCUUCUUGUGUUUAAUGACAUAAGGGAAAGUCUCAAUGAAUUCAACCCAUUUAGCAUGUCUACGAUUCAGUUUAGCUUGACUUUUCAUAUGUUUCAAAGAUUCAUGAUCAGAAUGUAUAACAAAUUCUUUGGGCCAUAAAUAAUGUUGCCAUGUUUCUAAAGUCCGAACAAGAGCAUAUAAUUCUUUAUCAUAAGUAGAAUAAUUCAGACUAGGCCCACUCAAUUUUUCAGAAAAGUAUGCAACAGGUUUGCCAUCUUGUAAUAACACACCUCCUAAUCCAAUUCCACUAGCAUCACAUUCAAGCUCAAAAGUCUUAUUAAAAUCGGGAAGUUGGAGUAAAGGAGCAUGUGUCAACUUAUCUUUCAAUACCGUGAAGGCUUCUUCCUGUGCAGUACCCCAAAGAAAAGGCACAUCUUUCUUUCUAAGCUCAUUGAGAGGUGCAGCAAUGGUGCUGAAAUCUCUCACGAAACGCCUAUAGAAUCCAGCGAGGCCAAGAAAACUCCUCACUUGUGUGACCGUUUUGGGCUGCGGCCAACUCUCAAUAGCUUCAAUCUUGGCUUUAUCAACUUCAAUUCCCUGUGGAGUAACAACAUAACCAAGAAAAGAUACUCGGUCGGUGCAAAAGGUGCACUUCCCAAGGUUACCAAACAAACGUGCAUCACGUAGAGCAAUAAAAACAGCACGUAAAUGUUCCAAAUGUUCUUCCAAAGAUCUGCUAUAAAUCAAUAUGUCAUCAAAGUAAACUACCACAAAUCGUCCAAUGAAAGCACGUAAAACUUCGUUCAUUAAUCUCAUGAACGUACUAGGUGCAUUAGUUAACCCAAAAGGCAUGACUAACCACUCAUAUAAUCCAAACUUAGUUUUAAAUGCUGUUUUCCAUUCAUCUCCCAAUUUCAUACGAAUUUGAUGGUAGCCACUACGCAAAUCAACUUUGGAGAAUAUUGUAGAGCCACUCAAUUCAUCAAGCAUAUCAUCUAGCCUAGGAAUAGGAUGACGAUAACGAAUAGUAAUAUUAUUAAUGCCUCUACAAUCAACACACAUACGUGAUGUACCAUCCUUUUUCGGCACUAGAAUAAUAGGAACAGCACAAGGACUAAGGGAUUCGCGUAUAUAACCUUUGUCGAGAAGCUCUUGUACUUGACGCAUAAUCUCCUUCGUCUCCUCUGGAUUGGUACGGUAUGGUGCACGGUUUGGCAGUGAAGCACCGGGAAUUAAGUCAAUCUGAUGCUCAAUCCCUCGAAUAGGCGGUAAUCCCGGUGGCACGUCUUGUGGAAAAACGUCAGCGAACUCCUGCAAAAUGUUAGUGACAGCAGGAGGCAAAGAGGAAGGCACGUCCUCGAAUGAAAAUAAUGCCUCUUUGCACACAAAAGCAUAGCAAACAGAUUUGCUGUAAUCUAGCUCAUCAAUAUCAGAUUUGGUGGCAAAUAAACAUGCACUUUUUAAUUUAACUUCAGAAGCAACACUAGAUGGUUUAUUAUUAGGCUUCAUUUGUUGCUCAAAUUCUUUUGCCACAAUCUGAUUUUCACUCUUAUUCUUCUCCUGUUGUGCUUUAUUAGCUCUAUUAAUAUCAUCUUUCAAAAUGGAAUCAGGAGUCAUAGGAAGCAAAGUAAUAUUUUUAUCCUUAUGAACAAGAGUAUAGUGAUUGUUUCUACCAUGGUGUACAGAAUUUUUAUCAAAUUGCCAUGGUCUACCAAGUAAUAAGGAACAUGCUUGCAUAGGUACCACAUCACAAUCAACAUAAUCAGCAUAUGUAGAGAUACUAAAAUGCACACGAACAGUACGUGUUACCUUAACCUUGGCGCUGUUGUUGAACCAUUGGAUGUAGUAAGGAUGUGGAUGUGGUCUUGUGGUGAGAGAAAGCUUCUCCACCAUCUCCAUGCUAGCCAAAUUGUUGCAGCUCCCUCCGUCUAUUAUGACGCGCACAGAACGUUCCUUCACAACUCCCUUGGUAUGGAACAAAUUGUGCCUCUGAUUUUGCUCAGCUUGUGUGACCUGCACACUCAAAACACGUUGAGCAACUAAACAUUCAUACCUGUCAGCGUCUUCAGGAGCCAUGUAUUGCGUCUCAUGAUCAGAAUCAUCUCCACCAUGUUCUUCACGUGUAAUAAGAGCCAAAGUCUCCUCAUCAUAGUCACUAGCGGACUCAUAUCCACCAUCCGCGGUAGCAAUCAUCACACGCGGAGAUUUGCAUUCUCUCGCAUAAUGACCUCCUCCCUUACAACAACGACAAAUAAUAUCACUUGUGUGCCCUGUUGAUGCCAUGGAAGAAGAAGAACGCUGUGCAGGCCCCGCAGGUGCGCUCUUGGCAGAUAAUGGUGGUUGUGCCUGUUUUCUUGUAUCACGGCUGGAGGUGGCACCGGAUGGAGGUGCUGGUGCAGUUGAAGUAGAAGAUGCACGUGGCGUCCAUGAUGAAGGUCGGCCUGCAGAAAAGUUAGUUCGCCCCAAUGCUUGUCGAUCCUUCACUUCACGUUCAGCUUUACAAGCAAGAUGGAAUAAACGAGUGAUAUUAGUAUACUCCUUAUAGUCUAGAAUGGUCUGAAUCUCUCUAUUUAAUCCACCCAGAAAACGUGCAAGCAUAGCUUCAUUCUCCUCAACAAUACCACAUCUAAUCAUGCCAGUUUGUAAUUCCUGAUAAUAUUCUUCUACAGAAUUUUUUCCUUGUCUUAAACGCUGCAAUUUUUGAAGCAAUUCACGUUGAUAAUAUGGUGGAACCCAGCGCGUACGCAUAGCAGUUUUCAAAGCAGCCCAAGUAGUUGGAAUAGGAUAUAAUCUACAAUGUUCAGACCACCAUACACAUGCAAAACUAGUGAAAGCACAAACAGCAGCAGCAACUCGUCUCUCCUUAGGAUAUUGUAAACAUGUAAAUCGUUGUUCAGUUUCUAACUCCCAAGUAAGAUAUAUAUCAGGAACAUAUCUACCCUCAAAUGGUGGAAUAUUCAAUUUCAGUUUAGGAAUAUGAACAUCAUCUCGUACCUGAGGUGGUGGUGCAGGCCUACCAUUACGAAUAUAUACCUGAGGUCGACCUGCUGGUGGUGGUACAGGUGGCUGCACGUAGUGUUGAUUUUGAUCAACCUCAUCCUCAUAAUCUCCCACAUAAUCAUCCUCCUCCACAUCAGCAGCAGGAGCCACAGAAGUAUCAACAGCAGCACCAACAGUUUGGCCAAACGCAAGAGGAACACGGCUUGCUCGGCGGAGGUCUGCUUCGCGACGUGGAGGUAGUCGUUGUUGUUGUUGUUGGAGAGGUGCGUUAGGUGCAGCGGGUUGUGGUGGUGGAAGACGCGCGAGCAAUUCAUUAAACUUGUUAUCGAGCUUUGUUUCGAACGUCUUCUCAAGGCCAGUGAUCUUCUCCAUGGCCUCUUCAAAAUUGUUCAGCACAUCUUGCACCUGUUCAGUCAUCAUUUGCUGAAACUUAUCAUGAAGCUCCUUGUUCGAUAAAUUCUCCCAGUUAAUCUCGUCGGCUUGUGAUCCUGGCAUGGUUAGCAGCAAUAGAAACACACAAGAAUAUGAUCCUACAGACUACGAACAAGUGGUGGUGGUGGGUGUCACAAAUCCGUCAAGCAAAUCUCAAAUUCUUACCAGUUCUUACCCAGCAGUAGGCGGUGAUCGGCAACCGUUGUAGUCAAAAACUCUCAAAGCUUGGAUAGAGCGAUUACCAGGGAGAGUCAAACGCACGACGUAGAUGUAUGUGGAGCUGGGAAGGCUUAUAAUAUGGUAGCAAAAAGGGUCAGCAAUAAUCAAUUCAGAGAUGCAAAGUUGAAUAAACGCUCAACGACGGUACUGUGCUGGUCCUAGGCUAGACUGUGCUAGAGACGCGAGCCUAGAACACUAACAAAAUCACGGCGCGGCACGUAAACAAGGGAAAAGCACACUCUGGAAUUUUUUGUUUCGCUCUUUUUUUUUGCGCUCUCUUUUUUUUUGCGCAGUUUUUUUUUGCGCUCUCUUUUUUUUUGCGCUGCUUUUUUUUUGCGAAAAAUCACUAUAAUGGCGAGUGUCUCAAAACUCUUCUUAGCACAAACUGACAGGAUGGGCACGAAAUUUUUUCGACUAAUUUUUUUUUUGACUGCCCGGACCCAAAAACUGGAAACGGGUCAAAAAAAACUUCCUAUAAUGGCACCUGUCUCAAAACACUCAGAAACACCUAAAAAUAGGAUAGCCAGAAAUGUUUUCGAAAAAUGCGUUUUCGAAUUUUUUUUUUCCGAGACCUACUCCGGCAAGGAAACACGAAUCGGAAUCUAGAUGGAUCUCGAAAACAAACCUAAUAUGACAAGAACUCGGAUUGGUGGUGGAUAUAUGGUGGUAGAUGGCAGCGGUGGCAGAUAAACGGUGGUGGUAGAUGGCAGGGGCGAUGAUGAUGGUGCGGCGGCGGCAUGACAACUUAUGACCAGAACUCGAAACUCUAAAAGACUAGACUCUAAAACCAGCAACUAGACCGACGAUGCAACCGCAAAUUCAACAAAGCAAAACCCUAAAAAGAUUAUGCAAAGGCUCAGAUUGGUUCGGAUAUGAUAAACUAACCCUAAUUUUUUUUUGUGUGGCUUUUUCGUGGACUGUAGGUAUGAAGAACAGACUCGAUCUAAACGACGAAAAACUGUAAAAUCUCACCGAGCAACCUGGAAAUCUGAUACCACUUGAUAGAGGCAGAGGUGUCCCGUCUUUCGAUGAGAUGAUGGAUUUCGCUUUGGUGGAAGUCGUCUUUGACGAUCCGACUACGAACGUGCGAGGACGUCGCGCCUUAGCAAUCGCUAAACCAACUCCGAGAGGUUAUUGACCACGCCGGAGCACGACCAACCUGACCACGAGGGUCUGUUUCCUGCGAGCAAACGAAGAACAAGCAAGAAACUGAGAUUGCAAUCUGGAUAUUGCGAAUAUAAGAUGAAAGCUUUAUUGAUCAAGGUGGGGUUCUGUGACGCCUUUGUCUGGUCGUUGAACACAAACGAAGUACGCGAAGUUGCAGCUAUGGCGAACUUUUAAUCUAAACAAAACCCAAAGUCUAAACGAUGCCCUAAGGGCUGUAUAUAUGGAGGAAGAGGGGGGAAUUUCGUGGCCCUUGGUGGAGGGGUCCGAAAUCAACCCUAUCUCUUGUUUCCCCACACAUACGGACUCUAAAAAUAGCCUAUACUUAUGUAUUUCGAAAUUACAUGGGCCUGGCCCAAUAAUAAGGUGACGCAGCACCUAAAAUAGCCUCUGGACGAAAUUUAUGAAGUGGCAUCUUGUAUAUUUCGUCCAAGGCUUCAUGCACCCAUUAUGGUGGCUUCAAAGUCCUGAAAUCAUCACUUGUAACUCCGUUCUUGUUCCAAUGUUCAUCCUUCUCCAAGCUAGGCCCUUCAUUUGUAAGCAAAACAAAUGUAUCCAAUUUAGGCAGCAUCAUAUUCUCAUGAACAUUAGAAUCAUUACCAAGAAACGAAAGUACCUGGUAAUUUAGUUGGCGUGCACGAGCUCCAGUAAUUGGUCCAGUAUGUAUAGCAGCAGGGGCUGUGGGUGUAACAAUUGUAUUGAUGUCCUCAUCAUCCUCCCCUUCUUGAAAAGAAGUCGUCCUCGACGGAAGUUCAUCUUCCUCACCCAAAUAAGGCUUCAAAUCUGCAAUGUUAAAAGUGGGACUAACCCCAAAAUCUGCAGGCAGCUCAAGUUUAUAUGCAUUAUCAUUUAUUUUCUCUAACACCUUAAAGGGACCAUCAGCACGUGGCAUUAACUUUGAUUUGUGCAAAUCAGGAAAUCUAUCCUUACGCAAAUGUAACCAAACAAGAUCUCCAGGUGCAAACACAACAUGUUUUCUACCCUUAUCUCCAGCAAGUUUAUAUUUAGCAUUCAUGCGCUCAAUGUUUUCCUUAGUUAACUCAUGCAUUUUUAAAAUCAAUUCAGCACGUUGUUUAGCAUCAAAAUUAACCUUCUCCGAAGAUGGAAGAGGCAACAAAUCAAUAGGUGCACGAGGUAGGAAACCAUACACAACUUCAAAAGGGCACAUCUUAGUAGUAGAAUGCAAUGAACGAUUAUAAGCAAAUUCAAUAUGAGGCAAGCAUUCCUCCCACAUUUUCUUAUUAUUCUUCAAAACAGCCCUAAGCGUAGUAGACAACGUUCUAUUGACUACUUCAGUUUGUCCAUCAGUUUGGGGGUGACAAGUAGUACUAAAAAGCAGUUUAGUCCCCAACUUAGCCCAUAAACAUCUCCAAAAGUGGCUAAGAAAUUUAGUAUCACGAUCUGAAACAAUAGCAUUUGGCACACCAUGCAAGCGAAUAAUUUCACGAAAGAACAAAUCAGCAACAUUAACAGCAUCAUCGCUUUUAUGACAUGGUAUAAAGUGUGCCAUUUUCGAGAAUCUAUCCACGACAACAAAUAUGCUAUCCCUCCCCUUCUUUGUUCGAGGUAAACCUAAAACAAAGUCCAUAGAUAUAUCCUCCCAAGGAACACUAGGUACAGGCAAAGGCAUAUAUAAACCAUGAGGAUUGAGUCGUGACUUAGCUUUUUGACAUGUAGUGCAUCUAGCAAUAAAACGCUCAACAUCCCGUCUCAUCUUUGGCCAAAAGAAAUGUGUAGCAAGUACGUCCUCCGUCUUCUUCACGCCAAAGUGUCCCAUUAAUCCUCCUCCCUUACAACGACGACAAAUAAUAUCACUUGUGUGCCCUGUUGAUGCCAUGGAAGAAGAAGAACGCUGUGCAGGCCCCGCAGUUGCGCUCUUGGCAGAUAAUGGUGGUUGUGCCUGUUUUCUUGUAUCACGGCUGGAGGUGGCACCGGAUGGAGGUGCUGGUGCAGUUGAAGUAGAAGAUGCACGUGGUGUCCAUGAUGAAGGUCGGCCUGCAGAAAAGUUAGUUCGCCCCAAUGCUUGUCGAUCCUGCACUUCACGUUCAGCUUUACAAGCAAGAUGGAAUAAACGAGUGAUAUUAGUAUACUCCUUAUAGUCUAGAAUGGUCUGAAUCUCUCUAUUUAAUCCACCCAGAAAACGUGCUAGCAUAGCUUCAUUCUCCUCAACAAUACCACAUCUAAUCAUGCCAGUUUGUAAUUCCUGAUAAUAUUCUUCUACAGAAUUUUUCCCUUGUCUUAAACGCUGCAAUUUUUGAAGCAAUUCACGUUGAUAAUAUGGUGGAACCCAACGCGUACGCAUAGCAGUUUUCAAAGCAGCCCAAGUAGUUGGAAUAGGAUAUAAUCUACAAUGUUCAGACCACCAUACACAUGCAAAACUAGUGAAAGCACAAACAGCAGCAGCAACUCGUCUCUCCUCAGGAUAUUGUAAACAUGUAAAUCGUUGUUCAGUUUCUAACUCCCAAGUAAGAUAUAUAUCAGGAACAUAUCUACCCUCAAAUGGUGGAAUAUUCAAUUUCAGUUUAGGAAUAUGGACAUCAUCUCGUACCUGAGGUGGUGGUGCAGGCCUACCAUUACGAAUAUAUACCUGAGGUCGACCUGCUGGUGGUGGUGCUGGUGGCUGCUCGUAGAUCUGAUUUUGAUCAACCUCAUCCUCAUAAUCGCCCGCAUACUCAUCAUCCUCCCGGGUACCAGCAGGAGCAGUAGCAGGAGCCAAAGAAGCACCAACAGCAGUAACAGCGGCACCAGAAUUUUGUCCUGGCACAAUAGGAACACGCUGUGCUCGUCCAUACUGAUUCGGAAGGGGGCGUAGUUGUUGUUGUUGCAGAGGUGCGACAGGUGCAGCCGGUGGUGGAAGACGCGCAAGCAGUUCAUUAAAUCUGUUAUCGAGCUUUGUUUCGAACGUCUUCUCAAGGCCAGUGAUCUUCUCCAUGGCCUCUUCAAAAUUGUUCAGCACAUCUUGUACCUGUUCAGUCAUCAUUUGCUGAAACUUAUCAUGAAGCUCCUUGUUCGAUAAGUUCUCCCAGUCAAUCUCGUCGGCUUGUGAUCCUGGCAUGGUUAGCAGCAAUAGAAACACACAAGAAUAUGAUCCUACAGACUACUAAGAAGUGGUGGUGGUGUAUCACAAGUCCGUCAAGCAAAUCUCAAAUUCUUACCAGUUCUUACCCAGCAGCAGGUGGUGAUCGGCAACCGUUGUAGUCAAAAACUCUCAAAGCUUGGAUAGAGCGAUUACCAGGGAGAGUCGAACACACGACGUAGAUGUAUGUGGAGCUGGGAAGGCUUAUAGUAUGAUAGCAAAAAGGGUCAGCAAUAAUCAAUUCAGAGAUGCAAAGUUGAAUAAACGCUCAACGACGGUACUGUGCUGGUCCUAGGCUAGACUGUGCUAGAGACGCGAGCCUAGAACACCAACAAAAUCACGGCGCGGCACGUAAACAAGGGAAAAGCACACUCUGAAUUUUUUUUUCGCUCUUUUUUUUUGCGCUCUUUUUUUUGCGCUGUUUUUUUUUGCGAAAAAGCACUAUAAUGGCGAGUGUCUCAAAACUCUUCCUAGCUCAAACUGACAGGAUGGGCACGAAAUUUUUCGACCAAUUUUUUUUUUCGACUGCCCGGACCCAAAAACUGGAAACGGGUCAAAAAAAACUUCCUAUAAUGGCACCUGUCUCAAAACACUCAGAAACACCUAAAAAUAGGAUAGCCAGAAAUUUUUUCGAAAAAUGCGUUUUCGAAAAAUUUUGGGCCUAAACGGAGCGUGGCUACCCGACUCCGGCAAGGAAACACGAAUCGGAAUCUAGAUUGAUCCCGAAAACAAACCUAAUAAGCAAGGAACUCGGAUUGGUGGUGGAUAUAUGGUGGUGGUAUAUGGCAGCGGUGGUAGUAUAUGGAUAUGGAUCGGUGGUGGUAUAUGGACACGGAUUGGUGGUGGUAUAUGGAUACGGAUUCGGAGCGGUGGUGGUAGAUGGCAGGGCGAUGAUGAUGGUGCGGCGACGGCGUGACAACUUGUGAACAGAACUCGAAACUCUAAAAGACUAGACGCUAAGACCAGCAACUGAACACGACGAUGCAACCGCAAAUUCAACAAAGCAAAUACAGAAAAGAUUAUGCAAGGCUCAGAUUGGUUCGGAUGGGAUGAACUAACCCUAAUUUUUUUUUUGGCUUUUUCGUGGACUAUAGGUAUGAAGAACAGACUCGAUCUAAACUACGAAAAACUGUAAAAUCUCACCGAGCAACCUGGAAAUCUGAUACCACUUGAUAGAGGCAAAGGUGUCCCGUCUUUCGAUGAGAUGGUGGAUUUCGCUUUGGUGGAAGUUGACUUUGAUGAUCCGACUACGAACGUGCGAGGACGUCGCGCCUUAGCAAUCGCUAAACCAACUCCGAGAGGUUAUUGACCACGCCGGAGCACGAUCAACCUGACCACGAGGGUCUGUUUCCUGCGAGCAAACGAAGAACAAGCAAGAAACUAAGAUUGCAAUCUGGAUAUUGCGAAUAUAAGAUGAAAGCUUUAUUGAUCAAGGUGGGGUUCUGUGACGCCUUUGUCUGGUCGUUGAACACAAACGAAGUACGCGAAGUUGCAGCUAUGGCGAACUUUUAAUCUAAACAAAACCCAAAGUCUAAACGAUGCCCUAAGGGCUGUAUAUAUGGAGGAAGAGGGGGGAAUUUCGUGGCCCUUGGUGGAGGGGUCCGAAAUCAACCCUAUCUCUUGUUUCCCCACACAUACGGACUCUAAAAAUAGCCUAUACUUAUGUAUUUCGAAAUUACAUGGGCCUGGCCCAAUAAUAAGGUGACGCAGCACCUAAAAUAGCCUCGGGACGAAAUUUAUGAAGUGGCAUCUUGUAUAUUUCGUCCAAGGCUUCAUGCACCCAUUAUGGUGGCUUCAAAGUCCUGAAAUCAUCACUUGUAACUCCGUUCUUGUUCCCCUUGCGCAUGCCAUCAUCUCCAUUGAUGAGGACAUCAAUACAAUUGUUACACCCACAGCCCCUGCUGCUAUACAUACUGGACCAAUUACUAGAGCUCGUGCACGCCAACUAAAUUACCAGGUACUUUCGUUUCUUGGUAAUGAUUCUAAUGUUCAUGAGAAUAUGAUGCUGCCUAAAUUGGAUACAUUUGUUUUGCUUACAAAUGAAGGGCCUAGCUUGGAGAAGGAUGAACAUUGGAACAAGAACGGAGUUACAAGUGAUGAUUUCAGGACUUUGAAGCCACCAUAAUGGGUGCAUGAAGCCUUGGACGAAAUAUACAAGAUGCCACUUCAUAAAUUUCGUCCAGAGGCUAUUUUAGGUGCUGCGUCACCUUAUUAUUGGGCCAGGCCCAUGUAAUUUCGAAAUACAUAAGUAUAGGCUAUUUUUAGAGUCCGUAUGUGUGGGGAAACAAGAGAUAGGGUUGAUUUCGGACCCCUCCACCAAGGGCCACGAAAUUCCCCCCUCUUCCUCCAUAUAUACAGCCCUUAGGGCAUCGUUUAGACUUUGGGUUUUGUUUAGAUUAAAAGUUCGCCAUGGCUGCAACUUCGCGUACUUCGUUUGUGUUCAACGACCAGACAAAGGCGUCACAGAACCCCACCUUGAUCAAUAAAGCUUUCAUCUUAUAUUCGCAAUAUCCAGAUUGCAAUCUUAGUUUCUUGCUUGUUCUUCGUUUGCUCGCAGGAAACAGACCCUCGUGGUCAGGUUGAUCGUGCUCCGGCGUGGUCAAUAACCUCUCGGAGUUGGUUUAGCGAUUGCUAAGGCGCGACGUCCUCACACGUUCGUAGUCGGAUCGUCAAAGUCGACUUCCACCAAAGCGAAAUCCACCAUCUCAUCGAAAGACGGGACACCUUUGCCUCUAUCAAGUGGUAUCAGAUUUCCAGGUUGCUCGGUGAGAUUUUACAGUUUUUCGUAGUUUAGAUCGAGUCUGUUCUUCAUACCUAUAGUCCACGAAAAAGCCAAAAAAAAAUUAGGGUUAGUUCAUCCCAUCCAAACCAAUCUGAGCCUUGCAUUAUCUUUUCUGUAUUUGCUUUGUUGAAUUUGCGGUUGCAUCGUCGUGUUCAGUUGCUGGUCUUAGCGUCUAGUCUUUUAGAGUUUCGAGUUCUGUUCACAAGUUGUCACACCGUCGCCGCACCAUCAUCAUCGCCCCUGCCAUCUACCACCACCGCUCCGAAUCCGUAUCCAUAUACCACCACCAAUCCGUGUCCAUAUACCACCACCGAUCCAUAUCCAAAUACUACCACCGCUGCCAUAUACCACCACCAUAUAUCCACCACCAAUCCGAGUUCCUUGCUUAUUAGGUUUGUUUUCGGGAUCAAUCUAGAUUCCGAUUCGUGUUUCCUUGCCGGAGUAGGUUUCGGAAAAAAAAAGAGCGGAAAAAAAAAAUUCAGAGUGUGCUUUUCCCUUGUUUACGUGCCGCGCCGUGAUUUUGUUGGUGUUCUAGGCUCGCGUCUCUAGCACAGUCUAGCCUAGGACCAGCACAGUACCGUCGUUGAGCGUUUAUUCAACUUUGCAUCUCUGAAUUGAUUAUUGCUGACCCUUUUUGCUACCAUACUAUAAGCCUUCCCAGCUCCACAUACAUCUACGUCGUGUGUUUGACUCUCCCUGGUAAUCGCUCUAUCCAAGCUUUGAGAGUUUUUGACUACAACGGUUGCCGAUCACCGCCUGCUGCUGGGUAAGAACUGGUAAGAAUUUGAGAUUUUGCUUGACGGAUUUGUGAUACACCACCACCACUUCUUAGUAGUCUGUAGGAUCAUAUUCUUGUGUGUUUCUAUUGCUGCUAACCAUGCCAGGAUCAUAAGCCGACGAGAUUGACUGGGAGAAUUUAUCGAACAAGGAGCUUCAUGAUAAGUUUCAGCAAAUGAUGACUGAACAGGUGCAAGAUGUGCUGAACAAUUUUGAAGAGGCCAUGGAGAAGAUCACUGGUUUUGAGAAGACGUUCGAAACAAAGCUCGAUAACAAGUUUAAUGAAUUGCUCGCGCGUCUUCCACCACCACCACCCGCUGCACCUAACGCACCUCUCCAACAACAACAACAACGACUACCUCCACGUCGUGAAGCAGACCUCCGCCGAGCAAGCCGUGUUCCUCUUGCGUUUGGCCAAACUGUUGGUGCUGCUGUUGAUACUUCUGUGGCUCCUGCUGCUGAUGCGGAGGAGGAUGAUUAUGUGGGAGAUUAUGAGGAUGAGGUUGAUCAAAAUCAACACUACGUGCAGCCACCUGUACCACCACCAGCAGGUCGACCUCAGGUAUAUAUUCGUAAUGGUAGGCCUGCACCACCACCUCAGGUACGAGAUGAUGUCCAUAUUCCUAAACUGAAAUUGAAUAUUCCACCAUUUGAGGGUAGAUAUGUUCCUGAUAUAUAUCUUACUUGGGAGUUAGAAACUGAACAACGAUUUACAUGUUUACAAUAUCCUGAGGAGAGACGAGUUGCUGCUGCUGUUUGUGCUUUCACUAGUUUUGCAUGUGUAUGGUGGUCUGAACAUUGUAGAUUAUAUCCUAUUCCAACUACUUGGGCUGCUUUGAAAACUGCUAUGCGUCCGCGUUGGGUUCCACCAUAUUAUCAACGUGAAUUGCUUCAAAAAUUGCAGCGUUUAAGACAAGGAAAAAAUUCUGUAGAAGAAUAUUAUCAGGAAUUACAAACUGGCAUGAUUAGAUGUGGUAUUGUUGAGGAGAAUGAAGCUAUGCUUGCACGUUUUCUUGGUGGAUUAAAUAGAGAGAUUCAGACCAUUCUAGACUAUAAGGAGUAUACUAAUAUCACUCGUUUAUUCCAUCUUGCUUGUAAAGCUGAACGUGAAGUGCAGGAUCGACAAGCAUUGGGGCGAACUAACUUUUCUGCAGGCCGACCUUCAUCAUGGACACCACGUGCAUCUUCUACUUCAACUGCACCAGCACCUCCAUCCGGUGCCACCUCCAGCCGUGAUACAAGAAAACAGGCACAAUCACCAUUAUCUGCCAAGAGCGCACCUGCGGGGCCUGCACAGCGUUCUUCUUCUUCCAUGGCAUCAACAGGGCACACAAGUGAUAUUAUUUGUCGUCGUUGUAAGGGAGGAGGUCAUUAUGCGAGAGAAUGCAAAUCUCCGCGUGUGAUGAUUGCUACCGCGGAUGGUGGAUAUGAGUCCGCUAGUGACUAUGAUGAGGAGACUUUGGCUCUUAUUACACGUGAAGAACAUGGUGGAGAUGAUUCUGAUCAUGAGACGCAAUACAUGGCUCCUGAAGACGCUGACAGGUAUGAAUGUUUAGUUGCUCAACGUGUUUUGAGUGUGCAGAUCACACAAGCUGAGCAAAAUCAGAGGCACAAUUUGUUCCAUACCAAGGGAGUUGUGAAGGAACGUUCUGUGCGUGUCAUAAUAGACGGAGGGAGCUGCAACAACUUGGCUAGCAUGGAGAUGGUGGAGAAGCUUUCUCUCACCACAAGACCACAUCCACAUCCUUACUACAUCCAAUGGUUCAACAACAGCGGCAAGGUUAAGGUAACACGUACUGUUCGUGUGCAUUUUAGUAUCUCUACAUAUGCUGAUUAUGUUGAUUGUGAUGUGGUACCUAUGCAAGCAUGUUCCUUAUUACUGGGUAGACCAUGGCAAUUUGAUAAAAAUUCUGUACACCAUGGUAGAAACAAUCACUAUACUCUUGUUCAUAAGGAUAAAAAUAUUACUUUGCUUCCUAUGACUCCUGAUUCCAUUUUGAAAGAUGAUAUUAAUAGAGCUAAUAAAGCACAACAGGAGAAGAAUAAGAGUGAAAAUCAGAUUGUGGCAAAAGAAUUUGAGCAACAAAUGAAGCCUAAUAAGAAACCAUCUAGUGUUGCUUCUGAAAUUAAAUUGAAAAGUGCAUGUUUAUUUGCCACCAAAUCUGAUAUUGAUGAGCUAGAUUUCAGCAAAUCUGUUUGCUAUGCUUUUGUGUGCAAAGAGGCAUUAUUUUCAUUCGAGGACGUGCCUUCCUCUUUGCCUCCUGCUGUCACUAACAUUUUGCAGGAGUUCGCUGACGUUUUUCCACAAGACGUGCCACCGGGAUUACCGCCUAUUCGAGGGAUUGAGCAUCAGAUUGACUUAAUUCCCGGUGCUUCACUGCCAAACCGUGCACCAUACCGUACCAAUCCAGAGGAGACGAAGGAGAUUAUGCGUCAAGUACAAGAGCUUCUCGACAAAGGUUAUAUACGCGAAUCCCUUAGUCCUUGUGCUGUUCCUAUUAUUCUAGUGCCGAAAAAGGAUGGUACAUCACGUAUGUGUGUUGAUUGUAGAGGCAUUAAUAAUAUUACUAUUCGUUAUCGUCAUCCUAUUCCUAGGCUAGAUGAUAUGCUUGGAUGUGAUGCCAGUGGAAUUGGAUUAGGAGGUGUGUUAUUACAAGAUGGCAAACCUGUUGCAUACUUUUCUGAAAAAUUGAGUGGGCCUAGUCUGAAUUAUUCUACUUAUGAUAAAGAAUUAUAUGCUCUUGUUCGGACUUUAGAAACAUGGCAACAUUAUUUAUGGCCCAAAGAAUUUGUUAUACAUUUUGAUCAUGAAUCUUUGAAACAUAUUAAAAGUCAAGCUAAACUGAAUCGUAGACAUGCUAAAUGGGUUGAAUUCAUUGAGACUUUCCCUUAUGUCAUUAAACACAAGAAGGGAAAAGAAAAUGUUAUUGCUGAUGCAUUGUCUCGUCGCUAUACUAUGCUUUCACAACUUGACUUCAAAAUAUUUGGUUUGGAGACCAUCAAAGAUCAAUAUGUGCAUGAUGCUGAUUUUAAAGAUGUAAUGCAGAAUUGUAAAGAAGGAAGAAUGUGGAACAAGUUUGUCGUUAACGAUAGAUUUGUGUUUCGUGCUAACAAGCUAUGCAUUCCAGCUAGCUCCGUUCGUCUUUUGUUGUUGCAGGAGGCGCAUGGAGGAGGAUUAAUGGGACACUUUGGCGUGAAGAAGACGGAGGACGUACUUGCUACACAUUUCUUUUGGCCAAAGAUGAGACGGGAUGUUGAGCGUUUUAUUGCUCGAUGCACUACAUGUCAAAAAGCUAAGUCACGACUCAAUCCUCAUGGUUUAUAUAUGCCUUUGCCUGUACCUAGUGUUCCUUGGGAGGAUAUAUCUAUGGACUUUGUUUUAGGUUUACCUCGAACAAAGAAGGGGAGGGAUAGCAUAUUUGUUGUCGUGGAUAGAUUCUCGAAAAUGGCACACUUUAUACCAUGUCAUAAAAGCGAUGAUGCUGUUAAUGUUGCUGAUUUGUUCGUUCGUGAAAUUAUUCGCUUGCAUGGUGUGCCAAAUACUAUUGUUUCAGAUCGUGAUACUAAAUUUCUUAGCCACUUUUGGAGAUGUUUAUGGGCUAAGUUGGGGACUAAACUGCUUUUUAGUACUACUUGUAACCCCCAAACUGAUGGACAAACUGAAGUAGUCAAUAGAACGUUGUCUACUAUGCUUAGGGCUGUUUUGAAGAAUAAUAAGAAAAUGUGGGAGGAAUGCUUGCCUCAUAUUGAAUUUGCUUAUAAUCGUUCAUUGCAUUCUACUACUAAGAUGUGCCCUUUUGAAGUUGUGUAUGGUUUCCUACCUCGUGCACCUAUUGAUUUGUUGCCUCUUCCAUCUUCGGAGAAGGUUAAUUUUGAUGCUAAACAACGUGCUGAAUUGAUUUUAAAAAUGCAUGAGUUAACUAAGGAAAACAUUGAGCGUAUGAAUGCUAAAUAUAAACUUGCUGGAGAUAAGGGUAGAAAACAUGUUGUGUUUGCACCUGGAGAUCUUGUUUGGUUACAUUUGCGUAAGGAUAGAUUUCCUGAUUUGCGCAAAUCAAAACUGAUGCCACGUGCUGAUGGUCCCUUUAAGGUGUUAGAGAAAAUAAAUGAUAAUGCAUAUAAACUUGAGCUGCCUGCAGAUUUUGGGGUUAGUCCCACUUUUAACAUUGCAGAUUUGAAGCCUUAUUUGGGUGAGGAAGAUGAACUUCCGUCGAGGACGACUUCAUUUCAAGAAGGGGAGGAUGAUGAGGACAUCAAUACAAUUGUUACACCCACAGCCCCUGCUGCUAUACAUACUGGACCAAUUACUAGAGCUCGUGCACGCCAACUAAAUUACCAGGUACUUUCGUUUCUUGGUAAUGAUUCUAAUGUUCAUGAGAAUAUGAUGCUGCCUAAAUUGGAUACAUUUGUUUUACUUACAAAUGAAGGGCCUAGCUUGGAGAAGGAUGAACAUUGGAGCAAGAACAAGCAUGGAGAUGAUGGCAUGCGCAAGGGGAACAAGAACGGAGUUACAAGUGAUGAUUUCAGGACUUUGAAGCCACCAUAAUGGGUGCAUGAAGCCUUGGACGAAAUAUACAAGAUGCCACUUCAUAAAUUUCGUCCCGAGGCUAUUUUAGGUGUUACGUCACCUUAUUAUUGGGCCAGGCCCAUGUAAUUUCGAAAUACAUAAGUAUAGGCUAUUUUUAGAGUCCGUAUGUGUGGGGAAACAAGAGAUAGGGUUGAUUUCGGACCCCUCCACCAAGGGCCACGAAAUUCCCCCCUCUUCCUCCAUAUAUACAGCCCUUAGGGCAUCGUUUAGACUUUGGGUUUUGUUUAGAUUAAAAGUUCGCCAUAGCUGCAACUUCGCGUACUUCGUUUGUGUUCAACGACCAGACAAAGGCGUCACAGAACCCCACCUUGAUCAAUAAAGCUUUCAUCUUAUAUUCGCAAUAUCCAGAUUGCAAUCUUAGUUUCUUGCUUGUUCUUUGUUUGCUCGCAGGAAACAGACCCUCGUGGUCAGGUUGAUCGUGCUCCGGCGUGGUCAAUAACCUCUCGGAGUUGGUUUAGCGAUUGCUAAGGCGCGACGUCCUCGCACGUUCGUAGUCGGAUCGUCAAAGUCAACUUCCACCAAAGCGAAAUCCACCAUCUCAUCGAAAGACGGGACACCUUUGCCUCUAUCAUCCAUGCUUGUUCUUGCUCCAAUGUUCAUACUUCUCCAAGCUAGGCCCUUCAUUUGUAAGCAAAACAAAUGUAUCCAAUUUAGGCAGCAUCAUAUUCUCAUGAACAUUAGAAUCAUUACCAAGAAACGAAAGUACCUGGUAAUUUAGUUGGCGUGCACGGGCUCUAGUAAUUGGUCCAGUAUGUAUAGCAGCAGGGGCUGUGGGUGUAACAAUUGUAUUGAUGUCCUCAUCAAGUUGAGUGACAAGUGUGCAUAUGCGUGGAAGUGCAUCCGCAACUACAUUUUCCUUACCCUUAAUGUACUUGAUCACAUAAGGAAAAGAUUCAAUAAAUUCACUCCAUUUGGCAUGACGCUUGUUCAACUUAGUUUGACCAUUUAAGUACUUAAUUGUUUCAUGAUCGGUGUGUAUGACAAACUCAUGAGGUCGAAGGUAAUGUUCCCAAACAUGUAGCACAAGCACUAAAGCAUACAAUUCUUUGUCAUAGAUGGGAUAGUUAAGUUGAGCACCGGAGAGUUUUUCACUAAAAUAUGCAAUGGCUCGUUUUUCUUGCAUCAAGACUCCGCCAAUUCCGGUACCACUUGCAUCACAAUGAACCUCAAAAGUUUUCUCAAAGUUGGGCAAAGCAAGAAUCGGAGCAUGAGUAAGCAAAGACUUGAGCUCAUCAAAAGCGGUGGAUUGCAAAGAUCGCCAAACAAAAGGAGCAUUCUUCUUACUCAAGGCAUGCAAAGGAGCGGCAAUUGUGCUAAAGUUUUUCACAAAGCGGCGAUAAAAUCCUGCAAGACCAAGAAAACUACGCACUUAUUGCAAAUUGGUGGGUUGGGGCCAAGUUUUAAUUGCCUCAAUCUUAGUUUCAUCAACAUGGACACCCUUGGAAGAGACAACAAAACCCAGGAAAACCACUUUGUCAAUGCCAAACGUGCAUUUUUUCAAGUUUGCAUAAAGGCUUUCCUUGCGAAGGGUAUGCAAAACAGAUUUAACAUGAUUAAUACGCUCUUUCAUGGUUUUGCUAAACACAAGAAUAUCAUCAAAGUAAACCACAACAAAGACUCCAAUGUAAGGUCGAAGCACAUGAUGCAUAAGACGCACGAAAGUACUGGGUGCUUGCGAUAAACCCAUAGGCAUCACUAACCACUCAUAUAAGCCAAAUUUGGUUUUGAAAGCGGUUUUCCAUUCGUCACCCUCUUGAAUGCGGAUUUGAUAAUAGCCACUCUUAAGAUCAAUUUUUGAGAAAAAGUUGGCUCCGCUAAGCUCAUCAAGCAUAUCAUCUAAGCGAGGAAUGGGAUGCCUAUAGCGAACGGUAAUAGCAUUUAUAGGUCUACAAAUGGAACACAAGCGGAAACUUCCAUCGGGUUUAGGCACAAGUAUAACGGGAACGACACAAGGGCUUAGGCUUUCACGUACAUGACCGUUGUCGAUGAGUUGUUGUACUUGCCGUUGAAUCUCCUUGGUUUCUUCGGGAUUGACACGGUAUGGAGCUUUGUUUGGAAGUGGCGCUCCGGGGAUGAGGUCUAUUUGAUGCUCAAUGCCUCGUAGUGGAGGUGGACCCGGAGGUAGCUCAUCGGGGAAAACAUCUUGGAAUUCCUGCAAAAGAGAUUGAAAGACUAAAGGUAGCUCGUGAGAGGUGUUAGUUGUUGGCUCUCCAUCCUUGCACACUAGGACAAAGUGCAUCACACUCGAUGGGUUCUCACACACUUCUCUCAUCUCACUUUUGGUGGCAAAUAGGAUGAGGUUUUUCUCUCUAGGCGAAGAGGCGCUCAAGUUUGGCUUGUGGCUCUCACUCACUUUUGGGUGGAUCACUUUCUCACUCUUCUCUCCAUGAUGGGUGGCUUGCUUGUCGGCUAUCACUUGACUAGGAGAGAUAGGUCAUAGCACAUAUUCCUUCCCUUUCAUCUUGAAGCUAUAUUGAUUUGUGCGUCCAUUGUGGAUGACACCACGGUCGAAUUGCCAUGGUCGACCAAGAAGGAGGUGGCAAACGGUCAUUGGGACCACAUCACACUCCAAAGUGUCCUCAUAAGCACCAAUUUUGAAGGAGACUUGGACCGUAUGCUCGACUCAUAUAGUGUCGGAGUCACUUAGCCAUUGAACCUUGUAGGGUUGUGUGUGCUUCCUCUUGACCAAUUGAAGCUUGACGAUUAGUUCUUCACUUGCCAAAUUAUGGCAACUACCUCCAUCGAUGAUGACCUUGACGGACCUUCCAUUGAUGUCGGCCUUAGUGUGGAAGAUGUGGCAUCGUUGCUCUUCUUCUUGUUGAUGUUGAAGUGUCAAGACUUUGGAGACAACGAGAGCGGGGCUUGAAUCCUCAUCACAAAAGACUUGAUCAUCUUCAUCCUCAUUCACGCGCCGGUGCAUGGCCACUUGCUCAAGGGCUUCCAUCUCCUCAUCACUCAUGGAGUCGUAUGUACCAUCGUUGUUGAGGAUCAUGGUGCGCUUGUUCAUGCAUUGAUAGGACUUGUGGCCUCGGCCGCCGCAAGUGAAACACUUGAAGGAGCUUGUUUUGACGGUCUCAUCGGUCGGAGUAGAUGAUGAAGCACGUGGCUUGAAGUUGCUUGUAGUAGGAGGAAGACGACUUGAACUUGCCGAAGUUUUCUUGUAACUUGACUUGUCGUCGUUGCGUGGAGAAGGCUUGGUUGAUGUAGAUGUUGGAGGAGUCGUUGAAGCUUGGUUGGAGAAACCAUAGGUCUUGGAUGAGUACUUGCGUACUUGAAGUCAUCAUGCACUUGACGUUCGGCCUUGGUAGCUUGAUGCACGAGCUCAAUGAGGUUGGAGUAGGGUUGGAAGUCGGCAAUCUUCUUGAUGGGAUGAUUGAGUCCAUUCAAGAAACGUGCCAUUGUUUGCUCAUCAUCUUCCGUGACAUUGGCUCGAAUCAUGGCUAUCUCCAUUUCCUUGUAGUAUUCUUUAACACUCUUUGUUCCUUGCUUGAGGAGUUGUAACUUCUUGAAGAGAUCGCGGUUGUAGUAGGUUGGCACAAAACGUGCUCGCAUGACAUCCUUCAUUUGAGCCCAAGUGGUGAUUGGUGGUUCACCUCUUGCUUGACGGCGCUCAAGGACUUGUUCCCACCAUAUGAGCACAUAGUCUUGGAACUCAAGUGAUGCCAUAGCGAUCUUCUUCUCUUCCUCAUAGUUGUGCAAACGAAAGAUCUUGUCGACCUUCAAUGCCCAUGAGAGGUAUUCUUCGGGAUCAUUGCUUCCAUUGAACUUGGGCAUUGUGAACUUGGGCUUGCCAUAGCGUUGCUCUUCAUUGUGUUGUUGGCGAUGGUGAUGAUGACGCCCUUGACGUGGAGGGUAAUCAUCCUCAUGUUGCUCUUGGCAUGGAGGAAGUCCAUGAUCAACUUGCUCUUGUUGAACUUGAGGUUAAAGUGGGGCUUGACGAGCUUGAGCAGCUUGAGGAGCUUGAGGAACUUGACGUUGUACUCGCGGUUGGUAGUCCCUCUCUUGGAUUUCUUCUCGAAGGGCUUCCUCUUGAUUUCGCCGUUCGUGAUUGCGGUUGGCGAUCGCUCGACUUGAUUCUUGAAGGGCACGUUGCGCCUCAAGAGCUUGCGCUUCACGUUGUUGUUGUUGAAGACGUUGAGCCUCGGCAUCUUGUUCCUCUUGGUGUAGACGCGCUCGUUCUUCCUCUUGGCGCCGUAGUCGUUUUCGUUCUUGAGCUUGAGCAAAAGCGACUUGGUUUGAUUGAUGACGAGGGUCUUGCUCAUCGACUUGUUCUUGUGAAUGCUUGUCAUGUAGUGGGUUGCGAGAUGCAUGACGGUCUUGACGCACAGCUCGUCGAAGAGUGUUCGAUGACGGUGUACUUGAGUCGGAGAAGGUGUCGUCGGAGUGUCGACUCGAGCGGCUCCGUCUUGAGGAUGAAGAAGUGGAAGGACGGUGGUUCCUCAUGAGGACGCGGAUCUCGUCCAUUAUUGCAUCGUUCUCUUGCUUGUGAGCGUCGAAUUUGGUGUCGAAGUAGUCCCUCAUUGCUUGUUGCUCUUGGUGCAAUGCCUUUUGAGCUCCAAAUAGGUGGCUCUUGGUGACAAAUGAUGACAUGUCGUCGUCGUUCUCGAUGAGAGGUGGAGUGGUAGAAGAACUUGGCCUAUCCAUCAUUCCAAGUAAAAUGUAAGUGGUAGAAGGAAAAGAACGUGUACCAAAUGUACCUUGACCGAAGUUGAAGAUGAAUCAAGUUCACUCAAAGGCGGACAAUGAAAUAGCACUGUUGGUACCAAUUCUUGUCGGUUCUCACACCUACACACGUAAAAGCUUAUGGUGGAACUUAGUUAGGAUGGUGGCACAAAAUUUGAUGCAAUAGUAAGUGAGCUUCAAUAAUGUUGGAGAAGGUUCACAAAUUUGCAAAUGCAACAAGUAGACCAAGCAAGUAUGGGUACACGGAAACACACACGCAAAAUAGAUAAAGGGGAUUGUACAAUCCAAAAGUGAGCCAAAAUGUGGAAACCACGAAAAUGCUCUUGUUGCACAAUACUAGAGAGACGCUAGCACGAUUGCACAAUAGGCGGAUAGGAACUUGUGCACAACCUACUAGGCAAAAAUGCAACGAUCUCUAUCCCAAGUAUGCUAUAUGUAUGGUAUUUCGGUGCGAUGAUCCAAGAUGAUCCAAUAUGACAAUCUUAAUGUAGUAUGAUGCUAUGGUUCUUGUUCGUAAGCUAUUUGCUUAUCUUUCCUCUUUGCUUAAAAGCUUGGUUGGUUCUUUCACUUUUGAGCUCUUUUCUCAUCCAAAACUUCACGAACCAAGAUAGCAAUUGUGUAUGCUAUGUCAACUUUGUGACGCACAAGUGGAUCCCAAGAUAUGCACCACUAUGGUAUGGUAUGUAUGCUAUGGAGUAUGAUCACUAAUGUGCACAAGUCACGUUGCCGGCAAUACUCAAUGGCUAGUCUCGAUGGGUAAGCUACGCAAAAGUAGGGACAUGUGGGGUAUCAAUGCAAUUGCAAGGUAUGACAAAGAUGUCAUCGAUGUUACCAUCCUUGGUGAUGAUGAAUAGUCGAUGGAGAUGAGCGGUGGUGAUGUUGACGUCGAACCGUACCUAUAUAGCCGAAACACAAUAGGACACAGGAAACCACAAUCCAAACUCUCAAAGACCAAAACGUGUCACAAUCGACAUAGGAGGUAUUGGUGAUCGGUGGUGGUGUUUGUGGAAAGUGGUGUGGGUAUGCGGAAGUAGGCGUGGGCUCCGGGCAAAAUUGGGCGAAGAUAUGGUGGAUGGAGGCGCGGGGGUGGAGUUUCUGCUGCCAGGGGCCGGAUGUCCGGGCCAGACGCCGGAUGUCCGGUAUGUCGGAUGUCCGGUGGACUCGGCGGAUGUCCGGGCUCCUGGAUCAGGGACGAACACAAUUAACUCCGGGGCAAAAUUCGGACGAAUUGGUGGAUGGAAAAGGGUUGGGAGGGUGGGGAAAGCUAGAUCCACACGCAGCAACACAAAUCCAACAAAAUCUCAACUCACCAACAAAUCACAAAAAAAUGGGGCUAUUUUUGGCGGGGAUUUUCGGAUUUAGGACGAAAACAACAAAAUCAAGCUAGAAAACAAAGGGCAGGGGCUCCAAAAACGUGAUCAACGUGGCUCAUGAUACCAAGAUGAUGUAUAGCGGAACCCUAUGGUGACGAUCUUUCACGUUUGGAGUGGAUCAUAUGGGGAAUCAUGAAGAACACAUGGAAGCACGAAGGGGAAACACGGGGAAAACAAGAGAGAAACACGAAACCGACAAGGAAUCAAUCACACGAGUGCUAGGUCACCAAACACAAAGAGUAACAUAUGAUCCACAAUCAACAAAGGUAAGGAUACAAAGGUAACCUAUCUUCUCCGCGAGGAGGUCUUGAAUCCGCGAGGGGAUCUUCCCUUAGAGGGGUCUUGUAUCCAAGUGGAUCUUCUCCGAGGAGGCCGCGGUCUCUCACGAAGAGGAGAUUCGAUGGAUGAGCGAGGCUCUAUGAUGCGGAGCAUCCUUCGGUCAUCCCCAUGGACCUUCCGUCGCCUCACCAAGCACCAAGAGGACCCAUGACUAGAGCACGAGCUCGAGCUCUCGA
rnacentral:lncRNA from 1 species